GGCGGGCAGGUCGGGGCGACGGCGGGAAGACCUCAGGGCGGUGGCGGGGACCGCGGGCCGCGGUGCUACGACCCAAAGGGGCGGUGCAGCGCUGGAUCCCGGGUCGGUGCAACUGCGUGAACGGUCUGGGAUGGCGGUGUGGACCGCGUGCCACGCUCGCUCUGGCCCGACGGGGCGACACAGCGGCGACGUGAGGGUCGGUACAGCCACAGGGACAACCUGGAGCGGAUGCCCUCAGGAGGCGGUGGACCAUGGGCCGCGGCACUACGGCCGAAGGGGCGACACAGCGGUGACACGGGUCAAUGCAACCAGGAGAAGAACCACGUGGUGGCCGCGCUGCGGCCCGACGGGGCGACGCAACAGCAGCCUGUUCCUUGAUCGAUGGAGGGGCGCGCUGAACUCGGGGGCGAUCUUCACGGGACUUGCGAAGGCGCGCGCAACCAACGGGCCAGGUUGGUUGCGUUGCGUAGAUGAGGCGUAUCAUGGCGGCGACCGGGUGAUCAAGCCGAUCAUGCGCGAGGUCGGGGACGCCGCUUGGUUGAGACGGGGUGACGGCUGAGUCCGCGAUGAAGCCGGCGAUGACGAAUGGGGUGGGAUGUCAUGCGGAUGAGCAUGUCAGCACCGGCACCAGGGCUGCCAAAGCAGCGUCGGCGCUUGGGCAGCGAGGCCCGAGCGACCAACGUAGCAGCGGCGCCCGAGCUGAGGCAGCCGACGAGCCUGACGCAGCCGGGGACGAGACCCGUGAGGCAGACCGCAAGGCCGCCUUGCGGACGCAGUGGAGGCGGGCUAUGAUGGGCCGCCGCAUGGCGCGAGGCCUCCGGGUCAGGGCGAUGCAGGUGUCCCGGUCGGAGAGGGCGGUGAUGGCCGUCAUAGAUCGACGAGCAGGCCGACGCGUGUAUGAUGCAGCCGCCUGUCGCGUGAGGCUGCCGGUUCGGUGAAGAGGCCGGCCGGUCGCGCCGGUGUUGGAGUAGAGGCGCUCAGGGGUCGACGACGGCGGCGAGCGACGCAAACCGAUCAAGUUUAGAUCGGAAAACCAAAAAAACGCCGAUCAAGGUGACCAGCGGGAGAGAGAAAAGCCCGAAGCAAGGGCUCAAGAAAAUGACUCUCUAGGGCGGCCGGUCAACAUCUAUCAAGUAUAUGUCUAACCGUCUCCUACUAUUUCGAAGGAAUUGGGACACCACGGCUCGGAAGGUGGAACGCCAGCACUGGUGUGCGCCACUGCUCCAGCCAAUGGGCUGCAGGCCGCACUCGCGUUGUCUCAUCUCGGCGGCUCCCGCCGAUUCAGCACAAAUUAGAGCCAAACAAACCACCGAAAUCCAUACCAACAAGCAAGGAAAAACACCAGAAUAUUUGCUAAAAUCAAUAGCCCAUGCAAUCGGAUAUAUACAGCUAGCAACAACCACUUUUUACCCAUAAACAUCAACCACAAUCUCCAUCCACCCACAACGUUACGCUAACUGUACAACUUCUGGGAAAAAAAGCAAGAACAAGUAAUCCAACGUCACCACCACAAAUCUAACAAUCUUAAGAAGUUGAUCCCUACUACUACCAAGUCUCUUAACAUGCACACUGUCCACAUCAUCAUCAUGCCACAUCAUCAUUCAGUUUGCAAAUUCUCUUAACAUGCAUCUACUCAACUCAACCAUGCAGCCACAUCAUCGCACAGCUGGCUGGCUUUCUCCCCGAAGCUGAAGGGUUCUCAACGAUCGCUUCCUUUCUUCUUCAUGCUACGGGCCAUUAUAGUUGCCAUUUCAAUCUUCCACUAUCCCAUACAUACAAGAUUAAUUAUCGAGGUAAUCAAGCGGCUGGCCAACGGUCCCCGUCCCGUACUUUAUAGUUGUACGUCCCCUCACGUCUUCCUCCACUUCCCAGUCUGCAUCUCUACUCAGGACGGCGGUGUCGAUCUGCAUCAUCGUUGUGUGGUUGCAACGUUGGCCGGACAAUUCACUUGCAAUUCCGCGAGUGCAGGUGCCACUGUUGCUCCCCGUCAACCUCAAAGGUCUGCCUCAUGAUUUGUUUGUUUUCUGCAUCCAUUAUUCCAUUGAUUGUUGAGAGUAUAUAUGCAGAAUAGCAAAACACGCGCAGACACGCUUGCUUCUGGUAUUGACGAGCAUAUUCUCCCGGAUCUCAUUCGUAGCAGCUUAAGAUUCUUUAACAAAGGCACCAAUAUUUCUUGCAUUGAUUUAGAAGACAAUUCAUUACAAAGGAAGUAUAAAAUGGAAGAUUGGAGGUAUGAAGAAUAUUUAUAAAUUAGAAGAGUGGAUGAAAGAAAUUAUGUAUGUAAUGCCAUUUCCUUCAAGUUGUGGAGGCCAGCCAUCCACAUAUCAGUGGAACUAAAGAUUCUGUCGUUUCUUUUCAUUCCUCAGGUGCCACCAAAUUAGCAUAACCAAAGCAGGGAAAUCUUUUUUGCGAGGUGGCUAAAAUGACAAUUGGUACAUCAGUCCUCCACGUUGUUAGCCAGUAGAGAAGAAGCAAGAUCAGCUAGGAAACUACAAAAACGCAAGGCAAAAUCCCAAACUGCAGAGGAACCUUUUUUAAUUAUUCAUUCAGUUACCUCUGUCUCUGUACAUUCUUAUCAAAAAACUGUGAGUGGAACACUUGUCAACAUUGAACAAAUACAAUUUCAUGGAUUUGAGAUAAGCUCUACAGACGUUGUUAGAUCUAUGAAUAUUUGGCCGACCACAGUAGGCAGACGCCAAGACGCGUACCAUCGUAUUUUAAUGUUCUUUUAGAAUAUUAAUAUUUUCAGGUAUCAUGAAUACCCAAUAUGUUAUGAAUUUUCAGGGCGCUGACAUACAGUCUUUGUCAUAUGAAAAUGAUAUUCUUAAACUAUCAAAUCUCAAAUAAGUCAUCAAAAAGUCCCGCAGCAAUGCGCGGGGCAUCGUCUAGUAAUAACAAAAUGAAGAUCCACCACCGCCGCACCACUACAACGUUAACACCCCACCAGCCCAGAGGAGAAAAAAAUUAACAAGGGGAGAACGGCAUACUGCACAGGCCCAGCUAGAUAUAACGGAGGAAGACAGCGAGGGAGCCGCCCGAGAAGACGGCCAGGAGUGGCAAUACGACCAAAACAACACUCGCACCACCUAACUUCUUACAACAGCAACAAUGGCGAUAACGGGAACCCAACACGGCACCAAAUCCUCCUAUUGCGCCCACCCAACCCUCCCCUAUGCGACGCCGCCCACCGUCGAGAUCCUGCCCGUGCUGCAGAUGCGCCAUUUGGUGGCCACACAAGGUGUGCCGGCGAGCAUCUGGGACGCAAGCAGCUGCAGGAGGAUGCGGGGCCGUGCAGGGAAGCAGGCGGCUGGGACACACAGGGGGUCUAGUUAACAGCGAGCUAGGGGGCCAUAUCGCGCUGGGGCAGAGACGGCGGCGGCUUGCAUGAGGAGGAGACGAGCGUCGGUGUGCUAGGGGCUAGGCUGGCUGUUUGGUGGCGCGACUUGGGUCAGGGACCGUUGGUUUGGGAGGUUUGGAAUAUGGGCAGGGUUUGGUCGGUCGGGUAGUCUGGCUCAUACUCUAGUUCGUCCUUCGCGAAGAUGUGCACCAGUGGCUCUGACUCAUACUCCAUUGUAAGCAUCUCGAAUCGGUCUAGUUCGUCCUUGGCGAAGAAGUGCUCCAAUGGUUCUUGCUCGUUCUCCAUGCUAAGCAUCUCCAAUGGCUCCGGCUUGUGAUUGUGCGUCGAAAAACCCUGAGCCCAGUUUAUUUGUUACAUGGAUGGCAUGUCGUUGUACAUCAUUGUGGAUCCAUGGAAGUUGUGCUAAAGGUAGGAUCACUGCGAUGAUAGUUGUGGCAUACCACUCUGGUUUGCCUAGUUCUAACUGUUCCAACAGGGAACACUGUGCAUAUUUGUUUCACUCCAAUAUCUCAUACAAGUUGUAUGUACAUUGCUAAUAACCCUGUAAUGCAGGGAUUAUUUUCAGACAAGUAAUAAUUACUAGAGUAUCUAGCUACAAGUCCAGGACUAGAUGCUUCAAUCUAAAGCUAUACUAUAUGGCUACAUGACUAUUACAUCCUAUAUUUAUUAGUGGAGGAAGAAAGUUACAUUAUGAUGGACAACAUAUAUAUACCAGCGAAAGGCCUAGAUCAUCCGAAAGGCAUGCAUGUAGUCAUGAGUGUAUUACUGCAUAGCUGCAUGCAAUUCGUUCGUGAUGUUCAUUGUUUCUCUUUCUCUUCACAUGAAGAAUACAUGCAGAGUUGAUUACACAACAUACAUGUGUGAGACACUUACAGCUGGAAACGGCUGCUUCAUUUGGGCCAGACCAACUUUAGAGAAGUUCCAGUUUUCCAAACAACCAAGCCGUAGUAGGCAGAUGGCCCAAAAAAAUCAGGAUCACAUGGAAUCUUGAGUGAGUUCCAAUUCAUGAUCGAGUUUACCUACUCAAGGACGAGCAGGAAUUAAGUUUGGGGAUGCUGAUACGUCUCUAACGUAUCUAUAAUUUAUGAAGUAUUCAUACCAUGUUUGCAACAAUUUUGGUAUGAGUUGAAAGGAACUAACCCGGGCCGACAUUAUUUUCAGUAGAACUACGGUGGUGUUUUUUUUUUGCAGAAAUAAAAGUUCUCAAAAUGAGCUGAAACUUUUUGACCAUUUUUUAGGAACAAGAGGGAACCAGGAAGCUUCGGGGGAGCACUAGAAGACAAAGGGACCCAACGAGCCAUCUGGGUGCGCCCGCCGCCUGGGCGCGCCCUGGUGCCUCAUGGGCCCCUUGUGGCACCUCUUGACGUGAGACCGACGUAAAAAAUUCCUAUAAAUAUAGACACCUCCAGAAAUAACCCUAUAACUUUGACUCCGCCGCUGCAAGCCUCUGUACCUUCGAAAUGCCAUCUGGAGCCAUGUUUCGACACCCUCCUAGAGGAGGAAAUCAUCACUAGAGGCCAUCUUCAUCAUCCCUGCAGUCCUCCUGACGAGUACUGAGUAGUUCACCCUCGAGGCUAGGGGUAUGUACAAGUAGCUAUGUCUUUGAUCUCUCUCUCUCUCUCGUGUUCUUGAUUUGUCACGAUCUUGAUGUAGCACGAGCUUUAUUAAUGUAGUUGGAUCAUAUGGUGUUUCUCUCUCUCUAUCUUGUUGUGAUGAAUUGAGUUUUUACCUUUGAGUUUUACUAUUAUCGGAUUGAAUACAUGUUGGAUUUGAGAACACUUGAUGUAUUUCUUGUAUAUGAAUACCCGUGGGGAAAAUGUGGUACUAUAUUGAUUCACUUGAUGUAUCUUUUCGCACACAAUUUACGGAUUCCCGAGGUGACAUUUGGGUAAUCUAUGCAUUGGGGUUGAUGCACGUUUUCAUCCUACUUUUUCCGGUAGUAAUCUUGGAGCACUCUUCGUCCAUACUACACUUGUAUCACCAUCUCUUGAUUGAAACUAGUGCACAUAUACAAUUUACCGUUGUAUUGGGUGUGUUGGGGACACAAGAAAUUUCUGGUAUUUGAUUACAGGAUAAUUUGAGAGAGACCAUCUUCAUCCUACGCCUCCCACGUAUUGAUAAAUCUUAGGUCAUCCACUUGAGGGAAAAUUGCUACGGUCCUACAAAACUUUGCGCUUGGAGGCCCAACACAAGUCUACAAGAAUAAGUUGUGUAGUAGACAGCAGCGUACGCGCAUAAACUUCUAGAGAAGAGCGGCAUGGCAGGGUGCAAGGCGUGUCACAUGCCGAUGGAGCCACGGUUCAAGCUGUCAAGGGAAAGCACGGCGUCGGUCAUCGACGAGAUGGAGUACCGCAGUAUCGUCGGGAGCUUGCGGUACCUGGUGCACACACGACCUUACCUGACAUUCUCGGUUGGGUACGUGUCUCGGUUCAUGGAGGCGCCAACGAAGGAGCAUCUCAUCGCAAUCAAAGCACAUUUUGAGGUACAUCGUCGACACACUUCAACUGGGUUGCAAGUACACCAAGGGAGAGAGCACUGCCCAGCUCGUCGGGUACAACGACAGUGAUCUGGGCGGUGACAUCAACAACCGCAAGAGCACCACCGGCACCCCAUUCCUCCUGGGUGGCGGUGUGGUUACUUGGCAGUCACAGAAGCAGAAAAUCAUGGCUCUCUCAAACUGUGAAUCGGAGUACGUCGCUGCAACCACGAUGGCUUGCCAGGCGAUCUGGCUCUUGCAGCUACUCGACGAGUUCAGAGAAACAAAGGCAGAAGUGGUGAAGCUCAAGGUGGCCAACAAAUCAGCAAUUACGUUGGCCAAAAAUCCUAUGAUGCACAACAGAUCGAAGCACAUCGAGCUCACAUAUCAUUUCAUCAGAGAUUGCAUGUCGACAAAGAAGAUCGAGCUUGAUUACGUGGCAACAGAGUUGCAGCUUGCAGACAUGCUAUGACAAAGCCUCUUGGUCACAUUCGACUGCAGCAGUUGCGAUCAAGCAUCGACAUGAUCGACUCGCUACCUGAACCUUCAGUUUAGGGGGUGAUUGUCGGGAUAAACUUCAGUUUCACGUUUAGCUGGGUUUUAGGUGUCAUGUUUUUUGAAUUUCAGAUGAAUUUUGGAUUUACUAGAAUUUAAAAAUAAAGUACUCAACGUUUUGCCGGCAAUCAACGAUGCCCUGGUGUUUGAAAUUCAUUUCCAUUUCUUGCAUGUGACCUAAGCAUGCACCCAAGGACACAGAUUUGUUUUUCAACCAAUUUAUAUGCACUCGAGCAUGUGGAUGUAGUUCAAAUUUGAAUUAUGCACAUAAAUGCAUUGAAAACUCAGUUAAUGCAUAAACGUGUCCAAAUAAACCCCGAAAAAUAACAAAAUUGACACAACACUCCUGUUGUUCUAUCUUGACACGAGAAAAAAUUUGAAAGCAAUAAGAGGCAAUGAAUAUCCCCAAAGGUGGGACGUUCCCUAUCGAAACCAUCAUGCUUAUUGUGAGAAGCUCUGGUUUGUGAGAAGCAUAUACCCAAACCUGCCCCAAAUGGGACAAAAUUUUUACCACGGCAUGUUGAUGCCGCUCCAUGAUAGCAUGCCAAGUUUCAUGAAUUUCAGAUGAGUUUUGGAUUUACUAGAAUUUAAAAACCAGGCAUCUCAAUGUUUUCCCGACAAUCAAUUGUGCCCUGGUGUUUGAAAUUCAUUCCCAUUUCAUGCAUGGGACCUAAGCAUGCACCCAAGGACACAUAUUUGAUUUUUCAAUCAAUUUAUAUGCACUGGAGCAUGUGCAUGUAGUUCAAAUUUGAAUUGUGCACAUAAAUGCAUUGAAAACUCAGUUAAUGCAUAAAAAUGUCCAAACGAACCCCAAAAAAUCACAAAAAUUCACACAACACUCCUGUUGUUCUAUGUUGACACGAGAAAACAAAUUGAAAGCAAUAAGACGCAAUGUAUAUCGUUUCGUCCCUAAAGGUGGGACGUUCCCUACCGAAAACCAUCAUGCUUGUUGUGAAUUUUAGACAAACCUGCCCCAAAUGGGACAAAAAAUUUACCAUGGCAUGUUGAUGCCGCUCAAUGAUAGCAUGCCAAGUUUUAUGAAUUUUAGACAAGUUUUGGAUUUACUAGAAUUUAAAAACCAGGCAUCCCAAUGUUUUGCCGGCAAUCAACGGUGCCCUGAUGUUUGAAAUUCAUUCCCAUUUCUUGCAUGGGACCUCAGCAUGCACCCAAGGACACAUAUUUCAUUUUAAACCAAUUUAUAUGCACUGGAGCAUGUGCAUUUAGUUCAAAUUUGAAUUAUGCACAUAAAUAAAUUGAAAACUCAGUUAAUACAUAAAAAUGUCCAAAUAAACCCUGAAAAAUCACAAAAUUGACACAACACUCUUGUUGUUCUAUGUUGACACGAGAAAACAAUUGAAAGCAAUAAGAGGCAGUGGAUAUCGUUUCGUCCCUAAAGGUGGGACGUUCCCUACCAAAACCAUCAUGCUUGUUGUGAGAAGCUCUGAUUUGUGAGAAGCAUAUACCCAAACCUGCCCCAAAUGGGACAAAAAUUUUACCACGGCAUGUUGAUGCCGCUCCAUGAUAGCAUGCCAAGUUUCAUGAAUUUCAGACGAGUUUUGGAUUUACUAGAAUUUAAAAACCAGGCAUCUCAAUGUUUUGCCGGCAAUCACCGGUGCCCUCGUAUUUGAAAUUCAUUCUCAUUUCUUGCAUGGAACCAAAGCAUGCACCCAAGGACACAUAUUUCAUUUUUCAACCAAUUUAUAUGCACCGGAGCAUAUGCAUGUAGUUCAAAUUUGAAUUAUGCACAUAAAUGCAUUGAAAACUCAGUUAAUGCAUAAAAAUGUCCAAACGAACCCUGAAAAAUCACAAGAAUUCACACAACACUCAUCUUGUUCUAUGUUGACACGAGAAAAAAAAUUGAUAGCAAUAAGAGGCAAUGGAUAUCGUUUCGUCCCCAAAGGUGGGACGUUCCCUUCCGAAAACCAUCAUCCUUGUUGUGAGAAGCUCCGGUUUGUGGGAAGCAUAUACCCAAACCUGCCUCAAAUGGGACAAAAUUUUUAUAUCGGCAUGUUGAUGCCGCUCCAUGAUAGCAUGCCAAGUUUCAUGAAUUUCAGACGAGUUUUGGAUUUACUAGAAUUUAAAACCAGACAUCUCAAGUUUUGCCGGCAAUCAACGGUGCCCUCGUGUUUGAAAUUCAUUCCCAUUUCUUGCAUGGGACCUAAGCAUGCACCCAAGGACAGAUAUUUGAUUUUUCAACCAAUUUAUAUGCACUGGAGCAUGUGCAUGUAGUUUAAUUUUGAAAUGGCUAGAAAACCAAUUUAAUGUAUAAAAUGUUUGAACGAACCCUAAAUAAUUACAAUUCUUUUACGACACACAUAUAGUUGCAUGUUCACUCCAGAUAAAAAGGUCUAGCAAUUCAAACACCGUCCAUUGCCGUUGUGUCCCCAUUAUGUAAUUCAAAUCAAGAUGAAAAAUCAAGUAGAUCGCACGCAGUUUAUUAUCAGCAACCGUGUGAGAUGCAACACAAGAUAUCCUGGAGCACCGUCGGCGUAUAGUACGCCUAUGAUUUACGCGAGAAUGUGCGUCGGCUACAGUCCACAGCCGGUGUCUCAAGCACACUAGCUCUCUCCCCAAAUAUCAUUUCACUGUUCAAUCGUCGCCAGCGAAAGAUGGGCACGUGGACCCGUGUCGUGAGGGCAACUCCGGUGGCCCACUCCGGCGAGAGCGUGGCCGCAGCCGCCAUGCGCGUGCUAACAAGGUGCAUGAGCGUGGCCGCAAUCUGCGGCCGGGCGGCAAAGGCAGCCCAAACGGCCGUUGUUGCUUCUCAGGUGGCGGCAGCAACAUCUGCCUCGGGGAUAGCAACUGGCGAGAGCGGCACAGCAGCUGUCCAUUCUGCAGCGGGGGCCUUAGCCCUGAUGGAGGCCGCCCACGACCAUGUCGAGGCCGCCCACGGCCAGCUCCUAGCGGUCACCGCCCAAAUCGAAUGAAGCCUCUCCGACAACGGUCGACGACCCACGGCCGAAGAGCUGGCAAUCGCCGAGAGGAUUCAAGCAACCUCCGUUCCUGCGCCGCAUACCUUGCAACGACGGAGCCUGUCCAAGCCUAGAUUGCAUCCGCCCACGCCCAGCUCGUGGCGGCCUUUUCCAAAGAGAUGGCGGACGCGGAUGGCGAGAUGCUUGCCGAGUAUGGUGCGAUGGAUGCCAUGGAGCCCCUUCCCCAGGAGACCGUCGGGCGCGAGGUGGACAUGGAGGCGGCGGCGGAGGUCAACGAGCACCAGCCGUAGUAGUAAUCUUUAUUUUGUUUAAUUAAGAGCGCCGGUCUUUAAUUUGUUAGAGUAAUGUUUAGGUCAGCUAGCUCUGUUUAAUUGCUGAACUUGCUCGAUUAAGAAGUGUGGGUUUGCUGUAGUCUCCUUUGUGUACUCAAAUUAUGCAAUGACGUGGAUGAACACUGUAACCAUGGAAAUUCGAACCAAAACUUUUAAGUUAUCUGAAUCGUUUGUGAUGUCCACAUAUCGUACACAGUUCUGAAUAAGGGACCGUGUCUGAUGACACUUUACGCGCCAGUUUUUUGGCUGAAGCGAUUCCAAAUUUUCGGCUUCCGCGGAAAUAUCUACCUCCCCGCCCCUCCCCCUUACCAAAAGCCACAUUUACCCUCUUUCCGCCUUCCUUUCCAAGUUGAAACCUUCACUCCUUGCUUGCAGCGCCGCCUCCUCGUCGGUGAUCCUCCUUCACGCUGCUCGGCCUCGUCUAUCCAGGCAGGUAAUCCACACCAGACCCUCAUCCUCCUCCUCCUUCCACAUCUCACAUGCCCCGACCACCGACGCGAGCGCGACACCUUCCACCCAAAUCACCGACCCCUCCACCAAAUAAGCACCGCCCUAAGCCAUGGUGCACGAAGUAUAGCCAGGAUCUCAAGGAGCAUUUGGCAGUGGAGAAGCAAAUCGCGGCCACACGUGCGGAUGAGGUCGAUGGCUGCCAUUCGUGCCGACCCCCAGAUCUUGGAGGAGCACCUUGCCAUUUGCUAGCUACGCCCGUUAAGCAUGCUCGGCUUACCCAUUGCGUGUGCUGCUCCUGCCUUUCCUUCACAAAUUCUAGUGAAUUGUGCUAUCUAAUUUUACCAUGCAACCUGUUGUUCCAGUGUAUAUGUUCUAUAUGUACUGCAGUGUGGUGCUCACUUAUUAACUGUUUUGUUAAUUACUUGUCAUCUUCAGUUAACUGUUUGGUUCAAUUCUGCAAAUGUGAUGUUCAAUUCUUCAGGCAGCAAUUUUGUAUUGUCUUCCAUGUGAGAAAUAAAUCGAAUUUAUCUUUACAAAAUACCUGAGAAACGAAUACAAUUGCUAUAUUUCCAAGUUGUCAAGCAUGGUUGGUUUGGUUAUACAUUGUGCAAUGUGGUUCUCAGUUAACGUUUGGUUCAUUUGUGUUGUGGUGUUCAGUUAACUGUUUGUUUCAAUUCUGCAAUGCGAUGUUCAAUAGUUGUUGGUGCAUUCUGUUAUUGUAUACCAUGUGAGGAAUAAAUUGAAUUUGGCUGUAGUAAAUACAUGAGAAACAAAUACAAUUGCUACAAUUGGCUGUAGUUAACUAUUUGGUUAACUGUCUGAUCUUCUAUUAGGAGUAUGUUAUAUUAUGCAAUGUGGUGCUCAGUUAAUGUUUGGUUCAUUUGUUGUGGUGUUUAGUUAACUGCUUGGUUCAAUUCACAAUAUCACACACAAGAGCUUAGAGGAAAUUGUGCCCAAUGCAAACUUCAAUACCACUCGUAAAUUGUUCAGGAAACGUGUGAGAUGGUUUCAUGCAUGGCAGACGAUUGCCACAUAAUACUUGUGUGCGAUGGGGCACAUAUCACACACGGUUUCUAUUAUGGCCCAUGUUCCUUAGGUACAGUUUCGCAAACAGUCCAAUAUGAAACACCGUUUGGUUUCACUGCGUAAUUACAAACGUUUGAUCACCAAUCCCACACGUGUGCCAGAAUGUAGAGUGUGCGAUAUGUUGUUGCAUCACAUACGAUUACAUUUGGCAUCGCAUGUGCAACAUCUAUGCCUAUCACCAACGGUUUCUGGGUCGUGUGGGAAAAAAACCCCUGUCGUACAAAUAGACAAGGCGAUGGACAAACAGACAAGGCGACGGUUUAAAACUCCAUCGUGGAAAGGGGUUAAAAACCGUUUGUAUAGGAGCUCGUUGUACAAGUGGUUGCACAUCAAAGAUGGACUUGCAUAUGGGAGAACAACACAAAAAUAUGAUACCAUUUGCGAGUCAAGGGUGGACUUGCAACUGAGAAAAUAACAAAUUACAAAGCCCAGUAAUGAGUUGAGAGUCGACUUGCAAGUGGGAUGAAAAACAAAAACACAUGCACAUUUUCAAGUCGAGGGUGCACUUGCAACUCGGAAAACUACAAGCCCAAUUGCGAGUCGAGGAUGGACAUGCAACUGGGACAACUACGAAACUACGAGCACAAUUGCAAGUCAAGGCUCAAGUUGCAACUGGGACAAAAUAAACUAUGGGCCUAGUUGCGAGUGAAGGGUGGACCUGCAACCGGGAGGAAAACUAAACACACGCCGAUUUGCCAGUUUAAGGUGGGUUUGCCACUGUAAUGAAACAAACUACAUUCCUAGUUGCGAAUCGAGGAUGGACUUGCAACUGGGACAACUACACAAAACUACGAUACGAGCUGCAAGUCAAGGGUGGACUUGCAACAGGGACAACUACACAAAACUACAACACGAGGUGCAAGUCGUGAGGGUGGACUUGCAACUAGGGCAACUACAAAACUACAAGGCUAGUUGUGAGUCAAGUAUCGACUUGCAACUGGGAUGAAACAGACUACGGGCCUAGUUACGAGUCAAGGAUGGACCUGCAACCAAGAUUAAAAACUAAACACAUGUCGAGUUGCGACUUAAGGAUGGGCUUCAACUGGGAUGAAACAAACUAUGGGCCUAGUUGUGUGUCGUGGGUGUACAUGCAACUGGGAAAACUACGCAAAACUACGAUACGAGUUGCGAGUCGGGGGUCGACUUGCAACUACGACAACGACACAAAACUACGAUACAAGCAAGUUCCGAGUCGCGACGGUGGACUUGCAUCUGAGGCAACUAAGAAACUACGACCCUAGUUGCAAGUCAAGUAUCGACUAUGGGCCCACUUAUGAGUCAAAGGGUGGACUUAGAACCGGGAGCCCAGUUAUGAAUCAAUGGUGGACUUGCAAUUAGGACAACUCUGAAAUAUGAGCCUAGUUGCAAGUCAACUUGCAGCUAGGAUAAAACAAACUACGGGCCCAGUUGCGACUCAAGGGUGGCAGCAAACGGGACAAAAAACUAAACACAUGCCAAGUUGCGAGUCAACGGUGGGCUUGCAACUGGGAUGAAACAAACUACGAGCCUAGUUUCGAUUAGACUGUGUAUUUGCAACUCGGACAACUACACAAAGCUACGAUGCAGGAUGAGAGUCGAGGGUUAACUUGCAACUGGGACAAGUACACAAAACUAUGAUAUGAGUUGCAAGUCAAGGGUGUACUUGCAAAUAGGACAACUACAAACUACGAGCCCAAUUGUGAGUUGAGGGUGGAGUUGCACUUGAGCUGAAAAUUAUACUACAUGCCUAGUUGCGAGUCAAGAAUGGGCUUGCAACUAGAAUGACACAAAUUGUGGCCCUAAAUCGAGUAAAGGGUGAACUUGUAAAUGGGACAACUAUACAAGGAAAUAGAAGAACGAAAAGCAAAAUAUAAAAAGAAAAAUGAAAAACCGAACCAUAGCUCGACGGAAGAGAGAGAGAGAGAGAGACAGAGAGAGAGAGAGACAGAGAGAGAGAGAGAGAGAGAGAGCAACGACUCAUGUUACUCUAUACAAAAACGGAACCACACCCACAAAAUAGAGUGAGAAGAGCUGCAGCCUACACAAAGUGAAAACUGACACAACCCCGACAACAAAUUUGUGCCACGAAACGGCCCCUAGCAUGCGACGAUACAUAACCUACCAACAAUGGACGGAAGCCGCGAAACGGGUCUAGACCCUGAUGCGGAUCAAAACCCCGCACGAAAAUUUCAGCAACAAAAGAUCAUACAUUUGAACAUUUAGAUGAGACAUUGCUAGAUCUCAUCCCGAUGAAUUACAAUCUAUGUGAAAAAUAGGCUCAUAUACUCACACAUACGCAAACAUGGAAGACAAUGAGAAAAAUGGCCAGCAGUGUGACACAAAAAACCGGCUUGACAACGCAAACACCAGCAGGACCCAAGGCACAUGCAUGUGAACAAAACAAUUUUGCACGAAACAUACAUGUUUUGAUCAAGUGAUGAACAACUUAGGUGUGACAUAGCUAAAAAUCAUCCAGAUGAGAAUUAACAAAUCAAGAAGAAAAUAAAUGAAUAUAAAAAUAUUUAAAAUAAAAGUAAAAAAAAAAAAACAUACGUGUGGCAUGUCCAUUUUUAUCAUUUUUCACCUCGUGCGGUAAGACAACAAAUAAGGAAAUAAAAUAAAAUUUUAAAAGUGCAACUAAUAGUGUGCAGGGUGUGUUUGCACGAGCUACAACCCAUGCAUACAGCUAGACAUACAUGCAAAUCGACCACAGCCACCAAAUCGAUGCGAAAGAAAAAGUAAACAGACGCUCAAUAGAGCCCCAUGAGUCUAUACGUGAAACAAGCUCAUUGGCGCGGGCUAUGGAAGAACAAUAAGAAGAAAAAACAACGCACUAAGCUGAGAAAAAAGAAUGAAUCUUAAAGGGCUUUCAUCAUAUCAUGAUAGAGUUAGAUGUGAGGUAACUAUUUCACAUCUAGACGUGAAAUAGCAUAUAAUCAAGUGCAUUUCACAGUGUUUUCUGCGCCUAGCUAGUUGUAAAGAACAAGUUCAAUUCAGUCUAAUUUAGUUCUUAUGAUGUUAUUAUUGAUGCCUUCCUUCCCACCCUGAACCUCUCAUAUAUCCCCUUCGAACGUCACGUCUUGCUUCCUCUCGUAGAUGGUCUUGGGAAGAAGGUCUCCGAGCUCUUCAUCGGGUGCGGGCAUAUGUCGACAGCGGCCACUCCAGCCUUCCCGUCAACACAAGCAAAAAAUUAUCAACCAUGUUUGUCCGUCUCUUCUGCGAUUCGGUUCACAUGAAUAUUAAGGGGCACACCCAUUUGCAUAUCAGCUACAUGAAUCAGGAAGGUCAUGGAGCAGAAUUCAGUCUUGUAGCCUGACAGUCAUGUACAUUUGUGCUUUGCUAGCUGAAUAACUCCUGCUCUAUAUAUGUGGAUGUCACUUCAAAUAAUCACCAAAUUUUUGCCUACGCACGGUAUGCAGGUGGAGGAGAAGCAGUGGGUGUGGAGGUUCCAUCCCUUUUCGACGUCUGAGAAGAAAAUUCAUCCAUUCCGUGGUCACUGGAAGGAUAUCCAAGUUAGUUACAACAUUAAAUCCUCCGUAUGUCUCGGCGUCCUUCUGUUUUGCACUGUCAAAUUUCAUAUGUGCAUCAGAGGAAAUGUGCUUUCUAUGGGCAUGUUGGAGCGAACCGAGUUCCAGACCACAUCUAUAUGGCUAUAGGCAAUGAUCAAUAAAAGGGCACUGCAUUUUAUAUCUUCUAAAACAUCACUGAAAUUUUAGCGCUAUAUCUUUAUUUUUGUUGCUUCCGUUCAAUGUUUAGAAACUCAUUAGUACAAUAAAAAGAAUUCCAUUUGUCCCUUUAUCCGUCUUUCACUAUCUCACAAUAACAGCACAUAUUAGGCUCACCAAACUGGAUCACAUACUCAUACAUAUCUUUCAUCGUCCAAUAGCAGGAGAUUGUCAAGUUGCCUUUUAUCAUGUCAGUAUACUGAGUAUUAUGUAUGUUUGUAUGAACAAGAAAUAAUCAUCUACCAGCAGAUUAGGAUCACUUCUGAGGUCGAUCAUGUACUCAAUCUUACUUACUGGUGUCAUUAAAAAGGACAAGAAAGUGACCACUUGCUACCGGGUCUUCUCUAUUCCGCAGUAAGCAUGUGAUGCAUUCUAGAUUCAAUGAUUUCACGUGAACUAAUCCUUGUCGGGUAGGUUCUUGAGAUAAAUUAUAUUUUGUUGUCGCACAACAGGUGUGUUAUUUCAUGUCUAGUCAAUGGAGGUAAUUGCUUAAUUUGCAAUCCUGCAACUUUUUGUAGUAUUUGGAAAGAAAAUUCGUAUCAUUUGCUAAGGUCAUAGGCUCAUAGCCAUUGGAACAUCAUUUUGAAAAACUGCACUGGAUGUUCUGAAUACAUAAUAUAGUGCUCUACUUGCAAUAUUCUGGAUUAUAUGCUCAUGAUGUCUCAUAUGUCUGCUGGUGCCUCAUUUUAGCCAUUUGACUAAUUAAAAACCUGCAUCGUUAAUGUCAUCACCUUGUUUAGUUUGGCACUGUGUAUGGCUCUCUGAUCUCAUGAGGGCUAUUGCUUUCCAAUUAAAAUGAUGUAAGGAGGAGGAUGUGAAGUUGACAACACCAAGUCUCAAGUUUUAUGGUUUCUACAUGCGUUUCUUAUUUUGCUUUCCAUCAAGUAAAAAUGUGGUAUUGCAUAUAAGAUCAUCAAAAGAACAAAAUAAAAUAAUGCACAAAUCAUACACAUGCAACAACCCCCCUCCCCUUCCCCACACACACAGACUGUUCUAGCUGGUCUAGGGCAUAACCAGCAACUUAUUUCAAAUUAACUAUCUAGUGGUGUCUGUGAAGUUCAAGAAAAAGCUGGCUUUUUUCUUGAAAAAUAAGUUAAUGUGCAAAGAAUCAACGAACGUAUUUGCAAAAAAAUCUAGCAAACUAUGAAACCAGUUGUGGUGGUCAUGUAGACAAUGGUAGUAGCAAACCAAUAAAAAAACAAGAUCUCCAACCAUUAAAGAGUUGUAUGUAUGUCCUUGCUUCAGUUCAACCAAAAUUUCACAAUAACACUAUUAUAUUUAAAUCUAGAUUAUUGCAAGCAUGGUAAUACACCAGGUUGAGGUUGUGAUCAGGCAAGACGAAGUUAUGAACUUGCAAGCAUGGUAGUCAGAUCGAUGUCCACACGACGCUGGUAUGAACAUUGUCUAGAGAAAACUUUAUUUGUAUUUUAUUCCAGAAUUUAACUACUAGUUUGGGUGUGUCACACAUGACAUUGUGUGACACUUUAUUUUUCACCGCUUCCUCGACAUGUCCAUCGAGAAAAUGACGGUGGUCCAACUAUAUAUUACUAGAGAUCUUUUCUUAUCAGUAGGCACCAACUCGGCUGCCAACGCCUAAUGGCGCACUAGUGAUGGAGCUGUACAACGGCACAUUGACACUGCACAUCGUUGGCAGGGUACGGAGUGCAAUGGAAGUCAUCACCUCAAGGCGAGCUAUCUGGUGUGGCUGCAAAAAGGUACCCUUUUGUACCUGUUGUUGUUGAGGUUGUUGACCCAGUUGUUGUUGAGGUUGUUGGAAAGAACAUUGUCCGAGCUGCUGCUGCGACUGCUGUUGGGGUUGGUAGACACCUUGAACCGACUGUUGGGGUUGUUGCUGCUGAGGUUGGACAAAACCCUGUUGUUGUUCUUGUAGGAUGAUGGAGAAGAUGAUAGCACGGAUUGCCUCAUAGCGGGAUUGUUCGGGGAUUCGUGGCAAUUGUUGGCAACAUUGUUGCUGCAUCACAUUGCAACUGCUCUGCUGCCACAUCUGCGACCUAGCAAGAUGUUGUGGCAUUGCCACAGGGCUACACUGCUGCUGGAGGAAUACCUUGCACGGGUUUAGCUGCUGCAAAAUGGAUGGAUGAACAAUAGGGAUUUGUUGUUGCAGAAGCUGUUGGUGUUGUUGCUGCGAAAAUGCUGGUUGUUGUGGUAGAACUGUUUGUUGUUGCUGCGAAAAUGCUGGUUGUUGUGGUAGAACUGGUUGUUGUUUCUGUGAAAAUAGUGGUUGCUGCGAAAAUGAAGGUUGUUGCUGCAAAAAUGGUGGUUGUUGAGGAAAUGGUUGUUGUUGUUGUGAAGAUGGUGGUUGUUGUGGAAAUGUCUCUUUUUGUUGUAAUGGUUGUUGCUGCCAUGGUCUCUCCAAACCAGGGAUGCAGCUAGUCUCCAUCUGUGCAAUGGCAGAUGUCGCCACAACGGCUAGAAGGGCAAAGACGAGGAAGGUCUUCAUGAUGGAUUGGUGCUAACUAGUUUUGCUUGGUUUUGAUGCUUGUGCUUGUGAUGAUCUUUAUACUUCAUGCCUAUUUAUAGUAGUCCGGGCACCACCUCUUUCCUUCUAUGCAUCAACUUUAAUAAUUCUGUUUGCAUGCAUCAGAAAUGAUUUUUUGGUACAUUGUGGUAGGUUGCACUAGCUACAACGGUACUUUUGGAUUGAUCAUCAAAGUUGCUUUUUAGUUGUGCAUAUGAUCAUACACAAAGUACAGAAAUCCUGAUGUGUGGUAUAUAUGACUCGCCUUAUUCACUUUACAUGUCAAAUACUUAUAAGAAUAGUAUCACUUUAGCAACUGAGUUUGGAACCUUGUAUAGGCUGUCAACCAUAAACAAGAAAGGCAAAACUCGUGUAGAACCUUGUGGGAUGUUAAGAUAUGUUCGAUUAUUAAAGCCCUGCAUGUGGAGGGUUUGUCUAGACUCGGUUGCUUUUUAUAAAACUAACUUUGUAUUGUUCUCUAAGAUGAUAAGAUGAACUGCCGUAUAGAGCAUGACAUAAUUCACAGAAUUCCCUUUACAUGUAAGGAUGGUAGUUGCUUACAAGUUACUAGCAUAUAUCCGGUCCUCACUCUAGAUACGUCAUCAUCAGUUUGAUCUAUUUGUGAAGGAUUUUUCUAGAUAAGAUGAUUCUUUUGGUGGACUAAGUUUGUACUGUUAAGUAAAUAUUUCAUUGGGGCCGCCAGGUCUCUUUUACUAAAUCUUACGGGCAUGAGGUUGAUACUUAAUUGAAUUGUGUAGAACAUAUACACAGAUAACCUAUUGGAAAAUAUUAUAUGUUUGUUAUACUUUUAGGCAAACAUAGUUUGGUUUACUAUGGGGCAUGUUCAUGUGUAUAAUAAUGCAUUUACAUGUAUCGAGGUAUUUCAUCAACCCAAAAGGAAAAGUGCAAACAUUUUAAUAUUUUUCAUGAACAAACCUUAAGAACCUAUUCGUAGCUACCCUGCUAGAUCAUGGACAACAAGCACAUUUUAUUUGUUGGAUUUUGAGAAGGUCUAUAUUGUUCCCCGCAAAAAAAGUUCUAGAUUGUUUCAUGGCAACUUGUUUGUGACCGGCUAUUCUGAAGCAUCUUAUCUAGGUCAUACAUAUGUUUUUUUGUUAUUAAUCUAUUAAUGGCUGAAUGAACAGAUCCUAAAUGAUAAAGAAAAACAAUUCUAGGAUUAUGGGGCAUCUCCACCGCUUGUUUGAAUAAAACCAGAGGAUUUUAUGAUUAUGAUUUUGGUCCGAAAUAUGUUAAUGAUAUGUGCACUCGAUCUGAGCCAAUAUCCGAUGAGCUGAAAACUGUUUAAUGGCCCGUGAAUAAGUUUCUUUUUCUUCAUAUGUAUCAGAAAUCUGGAAUGGUAAUACUACAUACUCAAUUCAAAUUUGAAAAUACAUCAGAUCCCAGCUACAGAGGUCGCCGUGUGUUUCAAAGGGGCCUCUAUCGCAACUCUGGCCGUCCGCAAUUACAUUGGAUGGCACGCUAGUCCGCCAUUCAUCGUGGGGAGCCGCCGGCAGAGCAGGUCAGAGGUCCUGCAAUUGCAACUAGCAGGUUAUUCAUCCAAUCUAUGUCCAUCAGUUAAUGCUUGAUCCUGGAGUAAAUGGUACUUGUAUGGAUAUAUAGUUGCUGAGAGGAAUUUCUUUGCCUAGUGUUUGUUCUGAUUGCUAGCUUGGUUGGUGGAGAAAUCGCUACUUCUUCGUGGUAGGGCAGCAGUGGAGAAUUAGUACAGACAAACUUUGCAAAAAAUUCCGGUGGGUUGAGAAGUACUCCUAGAUUAAGUGGAGAUAGUACUAGAUCUGAUGGCUGCCGGAGAUAGUAGUAGAUGUUAUACUGUACACUAGCACAGUAUGAGGUCAUUCUGUUGUUAUGUACAAAGUCUAUCACUGAGAUGUACAUAUAUGAGUGAUAGCUGCAUAUAAUUUCUUGCAAAAUCCAUGCUUCCUUGCAGGUAGGAGGCCCUCAUGGCGCCCCGUGACGAGCCUGAUCCCUAUUUGGUAUGGUGAGUAUCGAAUCGAAACUCAAAUAUGCUUUCAUCGAUUUGCCGAUCUCACAUUAUAUGAAUCUAAGUGUUGAAUCAGAACUCAAAUAUUCAUUUAUUGAUUUUCCGAUCUCGUAUUGUAUGCAUCUGGCAGGAGAGAUUAUCGCCAGAGGCUGUGGAACAACCUGAAGGACACUUGUGGUUAAGCAGCAGCAGCAGCAGCAGGUGAGGUGUUCAUGCCAGUCAGUUGGUGGUCAGACUGGCACUUGUUGGAUUUGGAUGAUACAGGUGAGGAAGAAACUAAACAAAGACUAGUUAUGUGGUCACCUGGGACUCCGGAUUGUUUUUUGGUGCCAUGUAGUCUUGUUUUGCUGUUAUACACUUGAUAAAUGCCAUGAGCCGUUUUGGCAGUGUUAGAGAUAAUCACGAUUAGGCAUCUGAGUCCGGCACGGACUCGUAGCCCAGGCCGAGUCGGCUGUGUAUAGGUAGAUAGGUAGUGCUAUAUAUACCUGUACGUGGUUCCCCCUGUAAGGAUUAGAUCGAAAAGUAAUAAAAAUCAGCAGGACCGAUACGGCCCUGUAGCCAUCAAGUCGCCGCGUGUGUUUCGUGUGUGUUCCCGGCAACUAGUACUUCGUACGUGAUUGUUGUCUAGCCAGCCAGAGCAAUCGAACUACUUGUGAAUCCUACACUAGCGUUCGUCCAGAAAGAAAUCGGCCGUAGCUAGUUCGUCGUCCAUUGUUCCGCCGGAAAGUAAACAGCGGAUCGCUGCGUCGACAUCCGGACCAGUGCUAACAAUUGGUAUCUAGAGUUUUGGUAUUGACGUGAUUCUCGGGAAGCAAUCGAAGGAUCAUGUAGACCACACGCAAGGAGAUUGUGACGGCGGCAGCGGGAGCACCGAUGCCGAUGGUGGGGGGAUCACAAUUCCCCCGUCUGGAUCGAGAGGACUACGCACUAUGGGCGAUGAACAUGGAGGUCGCGAUGGAGGGAGCUGAGUUCUGGGAAGCCGUCGACCCGGGCGGCGCCGAGUACGCAAAGGGCGCGGCGAAGUACCGGAAGGAUCGUCAGGCGUUAACAGCGAUCUACUCCGCCAUGCCGAAGGAUGUGCUGCAACACCUCGUCGGAAAGAACUCGGCGAAGGAGGCAUGGGAGACCAUCAAGAUCCUGCACCAGGGUCAUGACCGUGUCAAGGAAGCACACCUUCAGUCCCUGAUGAGAAGCUACGAGUGCCUGAAGAUGGAUGAAAGUGAGACGGUUGAUCAGUUUGCCGCCCGUCUCAAGACCCUCGUCAAUGGCAUACGCAGCUAUGGUUCAACCCUAGAAGAAGUUGCGAUCGUACGACGAUUUUUGCGCGCCGCGCCUGCACGCUACAUCCAGAUCGUCACGUCGAUCGAACAAUGUCUCGACCUAAAGACUCUCACGGUCGAGGAUCUCGUCGGAAGGUUCAAGGCCCACGACGAGAGAAUUCGUCUCAGCUUCGGCGAUUCGAAGGAGAGUGAGCAUCUCAUGCUUACAAUGGCUCAAUGGAUGGCCCUGAUGAAAGAAAAGCAAGGUGGAUCCUCGAGCGGCAGUAAAGCAAAGGAGAAGCAACGCCCGGCGAGAAAGGACUUUGCUGGACAGGAAGAAAAGGCUGGAAAACCAAGGAGAAAAUUUGACAUAAAGAAAGUAAAGUGUCACAACUGUGGAAUCCUCGGUCACUUCAAGUCUGAUUGCAAGAAUCCACCGAAGGAAAGAGCUCUCAUGGCCAAGGGAGGCGAUGAUAGCGACAUGAUGCUCAUGGUCGAAGUAUGCGAGCUUAUGGACAAGGUGGGUCCAGCUCCAAAGGCGCCGGCUAUCGAGGUUGUCACGCUCAACGAAGAGAAGGUUUAUCUUCAUGACAAGCAGAGGACGAACACGGCGGGACACGUGUGGUACCUCGACACGGGAGCAAGCAACCACAUGACUGGCGACAAGGACCAGUUUUCUGAGCUAAAUCUCUCGGUGGGAGGCACGGUUCGGUUCGGUGACGGGCGAACCGUUGGCAUCACAGGGCGAGGCACUGUCCUGUUUGAGCUGAAGAACGGCGGUCACAAGGUACUCACAGAUGUGUACUAUAUUCCCAAACUAAAGAGCAACAUCAUAAGUCUCGGCCAGCUUGAGGAGCGUGGUUGCAAGAUUGUGCUCGAAGAUGGCUAUUUAUGGGGGUAUGACCGUCAAAGGAUGUUGAUCAUGAAAGUGCAGAGGUCGCCGAACAGACUCUACAUCCUCAACUUGGAUCGUGUGGAUCCAGUAUGUCUCUUGUCAAGCAUGGAAGACUCGGCAUGGAAGUGGCACGCGCGCUACGGUCAUCUAAAUUUUCAAGCUCUUCGGCAACUUGGACAAAAGGAGAUGGUACGUGGUCUACCGUGCAUCGAUCAUGUUGAGCAAGUGUGCGACGGUUGCCUUGUUGGGAAACAAAGGCGGGCCUCGUUCCCUAGAGAGGGAAACUUUAGAGCAAGUAAAGCUCUUGAGUUGGUCCAUGGAGAUUUGUGCGGCCCUAUUACUCCGGCUACCCCAGCUGGGAACAAAUACUUCUUGCUCAUCGUCGACGACUUCAGCAGAUACAUGUGGAUUGUGUUGUUGAAGACGAAAGAUCAAGCUUUGCAAGCCUUCAGGAAAGUAAAGAUGGCGGCCGAAGUCGAGUCUGAAGCCAAGCUGAAGGCCCUCCGUACCGAUCGGGGGGGUGAGUUCAAGUCUCGUAAAUUCACGGAAUUUUGCGAAGCACAUGGGAUCAAGCGGUAUCUUACGGCGCCAUAUUCACCACAGCAAAACGGUGUUGUGGAACGGAGGAAUCAAACUGUGGUGGCGAUGGCACGAAGCAUGAUGAAGAGCAAAGGGAUGCCGGGCAAGUUUUGGGGUGAGGCGGUCAACACGGCCGUUUAUUUGCUGAAUCGGGCUCCAACCAAGAGUGUGGUUGGGAUGACGCCGUAUGAAGCAUGGUACGGGCACAAGCCCGCGGUUGAUCAUCUUCGCACUUUUGGGUGCGUCGCGCAUGUGAAGACGGUGGCCGGGCAUACUAGCAAGUUGGCGGACCGGAGUACUCCAAUGAUGUUGGUUGGCUAUGAAGCGGGCACGAAGGCAUAUCGUGCAUGCAACCCCUCUAACAAUAAGGUGGUUGUAACGCGUGACGUGGUCUUUGAAGAAGCAAGGUCAUGGAAUUGGAACUCCACCGAGCCGGUAUACCCGAUCUCUGAUGAAAUCUUUCACGUUUUUUACAACGAUUCUGAGCGUGCAGAUAAUAUUGAUCAACCGGACACUUCGGCGGCACGGAGCGAUGCUCGAGACGACGACGCGCGGCGAGACGCGUCAGGGAGUUCACCUAUAUCUGGUGGCGUGCCAGGAAGAGACGCUGCGAGCGGCGCUACAGGCAGCAGCAGCAGUGGAGAGAGAGCCACGUAUCCUGCACCCGGCAGCCCAGCCAGGUGCGCUGGAGGCAGCAGCGGCCCAGCACCAGGCUCUCCACCAGGGAGUUCUUCCCACGAGCCAGAAAGCCCAGCCGCUACCCAAUCUCCACAAGGCCACGUGACAGGAGGUCCAGAAGUGCAUGCACGUGAAGCAACUUCAGAUUUCGUGGCUGGUUCUUCUGGUGCACGUGCAGAUAGCUCAUGAGAGCCCCAAUCGCCAGAAAAUAGAAGCUUGGCAACUUCAGAUGAAUUUUCUUCGUCUUCGACAGAACAGGAGAGGAGGGAACAUCCGCCUACGCCAGUCCGUCUUCGACCAGUGUUAGAUUUAUAUCCGAAGAAAGCGCUUCAGAAGGUAAAUCCAGUGCAUCAUGAUAGGACGAAGCACAUCGACAUACGGUAUCACUACAUACGGGAGUGCGUGGAAGAAAGCAAGAUUGAAGUCAACUAUGUUUGCACCGACGACCAGCUUGCAGAUAUCCUGACCAAGUCUUUGGGGCGGCAGAAGUUUACGGAGAUGCGGGGAAGGAUCGGUGUCAAAGCUGUGAAGUGAGGACAUCGUGCUUAGGGGGGUGAUUGUUAGAGAUAAUCACGAUUAGGCAUCUGAGUCCGGCACGGACUCGUAGCCCAGGCCGAGUCAGCUGUGUAUAGGUAGAUAAGUAGUGUUAUAUAUACCUGUACGUGGUUCCCCUUGUAAGGAUUAGAUCGAAAAGUAAUAAAAAUCAGCAGGACCGAUACGGCCCUGUAGCCAUCAAGUCGCCGCGUGUGUUUCGUGUGUGUUCCCGGCAACUAGUACUUCGUACGUGAUUGUUGUCUAGCCAGCCAGAGCAAUCAAACUACUUGUGAGUCCUACACUAGCGUAUCGUCCAGAAAGAAAUCGGCCGUAGCUAGUUCGUCGUCCGUUGUUCCGCCGGAAAGUAAACAGCGGAUCGCUGCGUCGACGUCGGGACCAGUGCUAACAGGCAGCACUGGUGUCAUUUCAUUGUUGUUUUAGUAGGUGCUUUGGCUAAAAUAGAAAAGAAAAAGAUUAUGCACGCCUAGGUUGUGUCAUGAUUGUUAUCGGCUUUGUUGAACUUCGACCUCUGUCUUCUUCAGAUACCUGUAAUGUGAAUUAAUAAUCUCCUUCCACAUUUCCCAGGUUUAGUAGAAGAUGGUAUGUUCUCGCACCUGUGAAGUAUUUAUCUUGCCAGUUAUAGUGUCAUUAUUUAGUUGAAAUGACAAGGCAUUGACUUUUUAUCUUGUGUUCGGAUAGUACUAUUUGAAGCUGUGAUUUAUCUGUUUCAAUACUGAUGGUACCCUAGUAGUGCUGGUUACUGGGGAGGUGUAUGCGGCAUGUCGAAUCAUUCUUCCGCAAGAGGCCCUAAAGCUUCAAAUUGUUUAGAACCUGUCUGCACUCUGCAGUUUGGAACCUUGCGGAAGGAUGCUGUGAAUUUCUUGGAUAGUGGGCUUCCCUGAUGGCUGCUAGCUUAGGAAUGGCUUCUACAACUGAACUGUACAACAGUCUCUUGACUGAGAAUUGUUGGGGCCUGUGGUGUAGGGCGAUUGCUUGGCGUCAAGUUGAGCUGCAACGCUGAAUCAUACCCUGUCCGACACAGACGAUCUGAUCUCGAUUUAGUUUGCAGCUGAUCCUUUGGGUUGGUGCCCAUGAGGCCAUGACAGGCAGGGGUCAGCAGCAGUUUACUGUCAUCCAUGUUGGCUUUAACCCUGCAGUGCUCUAGUUAUCUGAACAACUUCUUGUUUUUGAAAUGUCAACCGCGGGGGGAUUCCCCCACCUGAACAUAUGUAUAUUUUCAAAAAGAGGCAAUCCUUAGAUCGCGAUCAUACAGAAAAUGUGAAGAGAGGGAUACUGGCAGUUACACAGAGAUUACAAGAUACAGAGAGCAGCCGCGUCAGGUAGCGGGUCCGCUAGAACGGUCUGACUAACCUGCACCACAUUUCCUCUCAAGAUCAUGUUUUUUCUACCCAACCUAAUGAUUUCUGCCUAACAACUUUUCUACAAGGUUUCCAUAUGAAAUUGCAAUCCAAAUUUGUCUUUUCAUCUACCACCUUCAGAUGUACUUCAUCAGGCUGUAGAUGUAUAUCCCGCAGAAAACAUGCUGCAGCAGUGCAGCUGAAGCUAAAAAAUAUAUAUGUUGGUUACUGAAGCUAGGUUGUAAGCACUUUCCACAGUGAAGAUCCAGGCUUUGCCUUGUUUCCGCAUAAUUACCUGAGUUGAACGAUCUGCAUUUCUCUUGUAUCGCUGUUUUCAUAGAGGUCCACGACUCCACAUCACCAUUGUUGGUUUGGAGGGGCGAAUAGCUCCCAUGCGACGUCUUUGGUGUGAAUUGUCUCUCAUGCGACGUCGUUGGUUGUAAUAGCUCUCAUGCGACAUCUGAGUUGGAAAAAAUAGCUCCCAUGCGACACUGCUGCCUAAUCCAAAGACACAUGUUUAAAACUCGAAUCAGGUGAGCAGGACCCACAGCGUGGGACCCACUAACUUAUCCAACUCAGCAUUGGUCAGGUGAGCGGGACCCACAGCAUGGGACACACUAACUUAUCCAGGUCAGCAUUGGUACAAGAGGACACCGAGCCGUGCCCCGAGCCGUGCAGCACCCGAGCCCAUCCUCCCCCCCCCUCCCCGACCGUUGUUGUUCUUCUUCUCCGGCGACGACGCGCAGCAACGCCGUUCCGGGCCGCGACCUAGCAAUGUCGAGCUCCGCUUCAGCCUCCCGCCGCUCAUGGCCGCGCUAUGGCGCAGUGCCCAUGACAAGGUGCCCUGCAUGCCCACGUAUCGCACCCCUGAAGCGGCUAGUCACAACGACCGACAAGAAUGGCAACCUUGGGCGGGAAUUCGUGAAAUGCGAGAGCAAACCAGAGCAGGGAAAGGUGAGAUUUUACUUCUCAAUAUGCCAAUUUUGGUUUUUGUCUCCCAAUUUCAUAUUUGCCCAUUUUUCAUCGGAUUUGGGAUUUAGGGUUCAUCUUUCCGAUUUCAGAAAUUGAAGCAAACCCAUUUUGAGUGGCUAGAUUAGUACAUAGAGUGGAUUCAACUGGAGGGUGCAUCAGGGGAGCUCGAUUUACCGUUGGAGGCGGAGAAGUUGGGCAAGUUUGGAUCGGGCGCGUCUGGAUCUGGGGCCCCUGGAUCUGGCAAUUCCAUUGGGGGCGCCCAUUCCAUUGGUGCUACUGUGGGGGAUGCAGGAGUGACGGCAGAGCUGAAGAAGCUGAACAAGCAGAUGAAGAAACUCAUCGAAUUGCAGAAGCAGGGCAAUUUGAUGGGGCUGAUUGCCGGACUUUUUUAUGUUUGUGUAAUUGCUCUCGCAUUUGUUUAUGUGAUGAUAAUUAGUCGUAAGUGAAUAGACUGGGCAUCAUUUGUAAUCGUAAUGAUAUGGAUAUUUGAAUAAAAGUGUUGAGCUGUACGAAUUCGGCAUGUCUUCUCCACUAUGUUUCGGCCCCGUUUUUUCAGUUCUUCAGUUCGUCAUCAGUUUCAGUUUCAGUGGUAGAGGGAGAAACGGAAAAAAAAGGUUCGUCCACAGUUGCCCGAAAAGGCCAGGCCCAUAUAGAAGUUAGGCAGGGCCGAAUAGAACAUAUCCAGGACCAUUGAUAAAACAAGUGUAGCUAGUGCAAAAAAAAGUGCACACGGUCAUUGACAUGGCGGGCUAUUUCACAAAUUUUAAGUUUCCUGCAGUCACCUUUUUUGAGAUAACUCAUCUGAUAAUUAUUUGAGCUAUUUUUAUGCAUAAGCUAUCGUGUCCGAUGGUAGGGUCCCGUGUUGUUUCGGCUAAGACAAAAGGUUGGUUCUAGUUAGCAGUCUAACUUGCAGUAUUUGUGAACCAAAAAAGUUGCAAGUGUUUGGUUCUAGUUUAUUUCAACCAAGCAUCAUUUUUUAUUUUUUUAUUUGUGCUAUGGUGUUUUCAAAGUUUUUACUCGUGUGUUUCAACCGAAAAAGGUUGUGCCCCUCUCAAAAAAAGAAGACAUCUAGUGUGCCCCUAAUAGCAUCUCCUUACAACAUAGAGGGGCAUCCCCUUACAACAUAUAGUGCAUAAAACAUAAAAAGAAGAUAAUUAACUAGACACGUGCUAACAACAACUUAUAUGAUUGGAUCAUGUUUUAGUGCAUUUUUUAGUUCACAUGGCCACAUAAAUAAAAUGCAAUGGAGAAACUUUAGGCCCGAAAAAACAUUAAUAGAUAGCACGAUAGAGGGGCAUCGGGUACCCUAGUAGCAUAGAUAGAUAGAACAUAUAGAGGGGCAUCCCCUUACAACAUAUAGUUCAUAAAACAUGAAAGGAAAAUAAUUAAAACUAGAUAGAUAGAAGACACGGGCACACACGCCCGAACCAACACAAACACAAGCUAGAUAGAUAGAAAGACUCGCACUCGAACAACUCCUUGGCCCCUCCUCCUUAGCCGGCGCCCCUCACUCGUCGUUCUCCGGCAUCUGGGAGGGGAGGGUGUGCAUGCCGUUGGGGUGAGGGAAGAUGUGGUGGAAGUUGGUGAAGAUGUUGUAGGUCAUGAACGCGAUAAACUCGCAUCCACACCAGGACACCUCGCCGAGGAGGUGGUGAGCGUCGUAGGGGUUGGUGAAGGUGACGUAGAGGCUGAUGACGAAGCCGUUGGCGUUGCCAUCGUACUGCUCGUGGAGGUGGAACAUGGGCAGAGUGCCCGGAGGGAGGUGGCGGUAGCCGGCUUGGAGGAAGAAACGAGCCAGCUCUCUAGGGCCCCUCCACCUUGAGAUGGCCCACACCCUCAGGCUAUUCUCGACGAUGACUCCGGCCGGGUACUCCCUCUCUGGCACGGUGCGAGGGCGACGGUAGGUAGGGCCGUUGAACUGCAUGGUGGCUCGAGUGGUGGAUUUGGCUCGAAAAGAAGAAGCGGAGGAGGCUUGAGAGAUGAGUGUGAGAGGGAUGAGGAAAUGGUGCCCUUUUAUAGCCGCGUUGCAGCCGUGGUCAAUGUGUACACGGUGCCUUCUCGAUCGUUUUCUCUUCUCCGUUCGUACUAGCAUAAGUAAUUGCGGGCAUUAAUUCAAAAACGGCGGGUAGAGCAUCCAAAGAGGCACGGGCAGCACAGGCGAGAUGCAUCGUUUCGUGCACUUGCAUCGGUGACGCCGCGUGGGAAACAGGCCCGUUCAUCCACGCGUGACACUGAAAAAGGAGCUGCACCACCGACGCGUCCGUCCCGUGUCUCAGGUUCAAACAUGCAUUUGUUAAAAUAGCUUAGAUGCGACGUACCUAUACGCUGCGCCCCUGCCGCUGCUUUACUGCGUUGAUGCGUGCAUGCAAGCCCGCAUGCAAAUGGCUAGGCUGCGUUCACGAGCACAGAAUAGCUAGGCUGCGACGUUGCAUGGCAUGCAUGGGACAGGGAUGGCCCACAUGUCAUUGACCCUCUCGCAUGCAGCCCAUCCCCCCUCUCGACGGCCGUGCGCACGCACGCCAGGCUCUGCCGGGCCCGAUCCGCUCGGCCCAACGGUCACUGAGAUGCUCCCCCGCUCAACGUUAUCUGUUCGCCAGAGAGAAAAACGGUGGCCAAUCAGAUUGGAGAAUCAGGGCUCCCACUGAUCGCCCCCGCGGAAUCCUUCUAGAAGGCCUAUCCGACGGCCGCAGUUUGGCGUUAGGGUUAGAUCGACGGUGGACGUUUGGCGCUAGGGUUACAUGGGUUUUGGAGGCAGUCAACGGGGUUUUGAAAGGUUUGACCGAACAUUCAAAUGUGUUUAACUAAUUCAAAAAAAAUCUAAAAAAUGAAAAACCUGCGCAUAUAGUCUUGUUAUGUUACAUAGUUAUGAUAUAAAAUGAUAAACUUGAUCUAAUGAUCUUUGCAUGAAAAAACCUUCACAAAUUGGACUAUCUCGACUCAGGUUGCAUAGAGUUCGAAGGAGUGAGAAGAGGGUUUGAGGGUUUGAAAAUGCAAAAAAUCAAAAACCUCACCUUAGCUUCAUUUUGGAGUGACUAAGGAGGAUCUGAAGUUAUUUUGCAUUUUAAAUUUUUAAACUUGUUUUAUUGCUGACUUUGUAUUAAAGGGUGUUUUUUCAAAAAUAAAUUAAUAAUAUGAAUACUUAUUCAAAAAAAGGUGAGACUUCGUAUUGAUCCUAUAUAGGUAUAAUAUAAGCUAAGAAAAUCUUUUUUUGUGAUUUUGAGAAGGUCGAAAAAAACUUGCUUAGAAAUGGGGUCCUUUUCCCUUACUUUGGAGCCUGUUUGGACAACAUUUUCAGUGACUAUGAGUUGGACUUCACAAAAAGGGUUGGAUUUAUGAACUAAAGUGCAUAGUAGUACAUAAAACAAUGCCACAUCACAGAACAAACAAAUGAACUCCAAAAAUAUUGGAGAUAGGUUCAAAUUUGAAUGUCGUUUCAAAUUUGAAUUUUAUUUCAAGUCAAAUCAACAUCAUAGCACAUAAGUUUUCACAUGAAAGAACAUAAGUUUUCACAUCAAAUGACAACAAACAUAAGUUUUCACAUCAAAUUUGAAUGAUUUCGACUCUAUUUCUUUUUCUUCUUUCUACCACUCGAUUUCUUCUCCUUUUUUCCACCGUUUGGUCCCACGGCGCAUAGUUUGUUGAUGCUGAUGCUCUUGCUUUUUGGCCCCUUGGUUUUCUUGCCAACUCCACUAGGCCCCCUCAACUUUUGCCCCUCACCAUGUCCCACUUCUUCAGUUUGCACUUCUGCGGCUUGAGUAGAUGGCACACAUUGUUCAACUACUUCAGUUUGCAACUCAACGCUUGGCAGCACAACCUCCAAACAUGGCAACACAGCUGUCAAAGCAGAUUCGCAUGGCAGCACAACAGUUGCUUCAUCUGCAACAGUUUCAGAUUGCCCUAGCACUAGGCCCCCUCAACUUUUGCCCCUCACCAUGUCCCACUUCUUCAGUUUGCACUUCUGCAGCUUGAGUAGAUGGCACACAUUGUUCAACUACUUCAGUUUGCAACUCAACACUUGGCAGCACAACCUCCAAACAUGGCAACACAGCUGUCAAAGCAGAUUCGCAUGGCAGCACAACAGUUGCUUCAUCUGCAACAGUUUCAGAUUGCCCUAGCGCCUGCAAAACAGAUUCAGUAUGCAUCACAUCGUCCAAAACAGAAACACUUAGCUCAUGUUCAGCAGUAACAGUUUCAGUUUGCUCCAUAUCUUUGUCACCAAACAUUGUCUGCUUAGUGCUCUUCCUUCUAAAGCCAUUGAGUCUUGCUUUUUUCACUGGCCAGCACUGUUCAACAACAAGAGGUGGGGCUUUUUCUGCACGCUUCCUCCUAAAAAAUAAAGCAUUUCACUUGGUUAGAUACUAGAACAAGUAGCAAAAUCAAAAACUUGCAAAAACAGUAACAUAAACAUACUUUGGCCUCUGAGGAGUGUAGAUGCAUUUGGAUGAACCAACUCUGUGCCCAAGUACUUCACACAACUUGCACCUAUUUUUGUUACCUUUUUGAGCCCUUUUGGGCUUAUCAUUCUUUUUCUUUUCCUUUUUCCCCUUCUUACUACAACCACCUUUCUCAAACCAAGGUUUGAAUCUGCUCUGUUUUGGCCUCCCAGCCUUUCUUCUAGUGACAGGAGGACACAAGGUAAAUUCUAUUUCCACCUCAGGCCACUGAGAUUGGUCAGUCAGUGCAGGAAUUGGACUUGCAUAUGCAGCUUUGAAUUUUUGUACUGAAUAAUACUCAUGCAAAUAUGGGUGCAUAUUUAACCUGGGUUUAGAUGCCAAAAAAAGUAUGGAAUGCUCACAUGGUUUUCCAGUGUGUUGCCACUCUUGGCAAGUGCACUCAUGCAACUCAGUAUUUACCACAUGCCUCUUGCCACUCUUUGUAUCUCUAACUUCAGCACCCCACAAGGAAGAUUUCUCAACAGAUAGAUGUGAAAGAUUUCUACUCCUGUUGACCACCUGUCGUACCACUGCUGGAAGCUUGUCCCCUUCCAAAAUAUUAGCAAUUUUUCCUCUCAACUCCCACAAACGCAUGAUCAUGAUCCUUAUUUGGUCCACCAUGUCAUGCACAGGCAAGUCUUUCAAAUGCUUCACUUUGUUGUUAAAACUUUCUGCCAAGUUGUUAUUGAUAUGAUCACAUUUUAUGGCAGUAUUAAAACCUGAUCUAUACCACAACAGAGAAUGGUGUGUGUUCAACCAUGAAGCAAAUUCAUUAUCACUACAUGAUGCCAAUAUCUUACCAAGGUGAUAGGAAUGUGUCUGUCUGGUGUAGGAUCUUGCUGCUGGCCACAUGCGCCCAAAUUCAUCUCCUCUGAAUUUUUUUAUCAGAUUCAUGCACAUAUGUCCGAAGCACUCCCUCUGCUCAGCAUGGGGGAAAACAUUUUUUACUGCAUUUUCCAACCCUUUACAUGCAUCUGUGUGGAUGGCCAAAGGAGAAACUGGCCCUAUGCAUCUUUUCAGUUGCAUCAUGAACCAUAUCCAUGAUGCCUCUGUCUCUGAUUGAAACAUUCCUAUUGCAAUUGGGAACAUCCAGUUGUGUUCAUCUAGAGCAUUGCAUGCAGCCAACUGACCAUUCCACUUUCCAGUCAAAAAAGAUGAGUCUAUGCUCAAAUAUGGAUGACAACCUGCUUUGAAUCCAUCUAUGCAAGGCUUCAAACACAUAAAAAACUUGCUGAAUAAAACCUUGCCAUCCUCUGUUACCUCUGUAUCUAUCUCCACCACACUUCCAGGUGACCUCUUCUCCACCUCUGCUUUAAAACUAUACAACAUCCUAAAUGUAUUUGCCCAGUCACCAUACAAUGAUUUCAUGGCCCUUUUUUUGCUUUCCACACUGUGGUAUAUUGCAGCUGGAUGGGGUACAACUUCUCCAAGUCAACUUUAAGCCUCUUUGCAGUAGUGUUUGGAGUCUUGGCUAAAAUAGGAGUAAUCUUCUCUGUAACCCAAAGCUGUGAUGUCAUCUUUGAAACUCUCUGUGAAGUGGUCAUACAUGUAUGCUGGUGUGGUAUUUGAUUUACCCUUACUGUACUUCCAUCAGGUUGUAGUCUGGCAGACAAGUACCAUUUGCAAGGAUUGCCACCACCAUCAUAACCUUUGCACCGAGCAUAAAAUUUCUUUCGAUCAGUCCACAUAGUCUUGGCAUCAAACUCUUUUUUCACUGCAUAGGUCCUGAAAGACAUCCUAAACUCCUUCAUGCUUGGCCACAACUUUCCCACCUCAAUAACUGGGUUCUCUUUGUCAUACAAACAAACCAGCUCAUUACCAUCUGCAUCAUCCACAUCAUCUGCAGCCUCUCUCAUCAGCUCUUCUUCAUCCUCAUUUGCAUUUCUAGGGCAUGUGUUACCAUCAGCAGGCAAAGAACUGUCAUCCUUCUCCUUAUCUUUGUCAUCAACUUGAAUGCCAAACAUUUCGGCCAUAUCAAUGUCAGAUAUUGGUGUAAUGACCAAAUCUGUUUUUUCAUUGAACUCUACUACAUUCCAGUCAACAACAAUCUUCCUAGCACCAUGGGUUCCCUCCUCUCCAUCUGCAUCAAUCCCUGUAUCUUCAGCUACUAUAGUCGGUUCAGUAAACAAUGCCAACAUCUUCUUUUGUGAAACCCACUCAUUAUCUUCCACCUGUGUAGCCAUCUUUGAUGGCACAUAACCAACUCUGGAAUGAGUUUGCAGAUCAAUUAGCUCAGCAUAAAAUGUUACUUGUUUGCUUGCCCACCCUUCUUGCUGAUCAAUUUCAGCAACCAUGGAUUCUCCAUCUUCAAUUCUCACAUAUUCACCAUUAUAGUUAUCGAAACGUUGCAGAGAUACCUCUUGUUCUCGACCCCAAACAAUACUCUCCCCAAUUCUCUCCACCAAAUUGCCCAUAGCCUUCUCCUUCAUGCUCUCCAAUUCCUGGGGAUCAUCAUCUGCAAAUUCGAUAUCCAACCUCACAGUGGUAUCUCUAUCAAUGUCUUGGACACUGCCAUCACUGAGCUUGGCUUUACAGGGAAAAAUUUCCACUAUAAUUGCAAAUGUGGUGGCAGAACCUGAACCUCCCCUGUUUUGUCAAUGGCAGGCAGCGGCAGCAGUGUAAGCGACAGUCACUACCAAAUCGAGUUCGAUAACAGCUAAAAUAGAAAAGAGGGCGGCAUUACUGAUUUGAAGCACUGUCUCCUCGCUCCAUCUCAUUCAGGGGCCCCGCGCUCCUAUCCAAUCGAGAUUCUAAAACGCCAAGAAACAGGGGCAGCAUGAGGCCACAGAUUUAUCCAAAAUUUCGGGGAAUGGGACUAGGUUUGGAAAAUACUCACUCGCAAUAGCCGCUGCCGAGAAAGGAGUGGAGUUCCCGGAGAAGAAACAGCCCCCGGAUCCAAUCGAGAUUCUAAAUCGCCAAGAAACAGAGAGGCAGCAUGAGGCCACAGAUCCCCCAAAAUUCUGAGGAGUGGGACUAGGGUUUCGGGCUCACUCGCAAUAGCUUUGCCGCUACCGAGAAAUGCGCUCCACCACCGCGGAGAAGAAACCACUGCCGGAGAAGAUGCUUACGGCGGCGCCGCUCGCCCAGUCCAGCACGGGCGAGUCGAGCACGGUCACACAGUCACCGGUCGAGUCGUGGACGGUUGACUCUUGACUACGUGGCCCUAGGUGGACCCCACCAGUCAGAGCACAUAACCCCCGGUGUCCUAACCAAACCUCAGCCUAACUAACAGCCAACUAGCCGCAUAAACGGGUUGUCUUGCUUGAGCUAUUUCUGCACUGGGAGACGUCGCAUGAGAGCCAUUACAACCAACGACGUCGCAUGAGAGACAAUUCAACUCAAAGAUGUCGCAUGGGAGCUAUUUGCCCGGUUUGGAGAGGGAGGAAAGAAGCAGCGGGAAAGGCUCUUUUGUUCUUGUGGAGUUAUAUCCGGCUAACGUAACUGCUACGACAUUUUGGCUCGUAACGCCCCGGUCGCUCCCUCUCGGGCGAUCUAGGCGUGCAACCUUAGCCGCCGCGAGCCGCCACAACCCACCGUCCUUCUCCACGCCGCCGGGCAAAGCUUGCUCGGCGUCAGUGGCGGCGGGACCACUCGAGGGGGGGGGGGGGUCAUCCAUGUGGAGGCACAAGGCGACAUGGCUCAGCGGAGCGCGCUGGCUGGUGUAGCACGCGCAACACGUGGUGCUUCUGGGUCGGCACCUAAUCGGAUCCCAGCUUCGCGAGCAGGCGGCCAGACUUCUCCCAAGGUGACACAGAUGGCAUAUGGAGGCCACGGCAUAGUGGCAGCCGGCUGGUCCAAGGCAGCGACCGCAGGUGGUGUCUCCUUGAGCAGAUCCGCAGUGCAUGCGCGGACGGCGGCCUCAACUAGGUUCUGCUCGGUGGCGGCCUAGUGCCGGUGUGCUGGCGGCCGGAGUCUUGGAACCGGCGACUGUCUGCAGCAUGGCACACGCUCGGAUCUAUAGUCAUGCGGCCGUAACUUGGUAUGGCCUGGCCUGGUUGUUGAUUCACAUUUGGAAGGCUUGCGGGUGGUGAUCCAGAUCCUGUCGGCCGUUUGGUUGUGACUUAAGACUGUGGUGCAGUGACCUCCUGCGGCUCGAUGAAGAUGGUGGCCAUCCGAAGGUCUUAGGGAGGGUGCAUUUCUCCGGAUCCAGUGGCUGACUUCAGUGGUGAGAUGCAAAGCCACGGACUAAGACUUGAUGCAAAGGGAUGGUUGUGCCACGGCAACGACAAAAAUCGCAUGUAGCGGCUGGGAUUGCGGAAAAGUGGUGGCAACAACACAUUAGUGAUUUCAAUGGUGGUGCUACUCGAGCACCCAGUCUAGAGCUACGGGGUGAAAGUCUAGGUUAAACAAGAGUUGGUUAUACCUAUCAAUGGUGAUGUUUUUUUGACGUCAUUACCUUUUUGAAUGCAUUGCUAGAACAUGCCCCGGACUGAUUCUUCAGGGUGAAAACCUAGACUUUGGCCUUAGUGGCUGCAUCCGGUGACAAUGACGCUUGAGCAUGGCUCCCUUCCUGAAGGCGUUACUGUUGACGACCUCGUCGUCCAUAUAGUGUCAUGAUAUGGUUGGUGCAGAUAUGGUCAUUGUUGCAGUUUUGACAAUCGCGGAUCUGAUUGCUUUAUUUUUUUUAUAGCCUAUGCAUAGCUUUGGUCUUAUGACUUUGCUAGUUGUUGUAGUGUUUGUGUUGGUGUUGACCGUGUGCAUCUUAACUAUGCAGAGGCCGGGUGUGGGCUCAUCAUGUUCUGUAUCUUCUAUAUGCUUUAUUUUGAGUCAAUAAAAUUCACCCUUAUCGAAAAGUUAGGGGGGUCAUCCUGAGUGGAAAUCAAGAUGUCAGAGGAGAAAUCCGAUGACCAUCUAUGGGUGGGUCCAUGGAGUUUUCCUUCUCUCGGUGCAUCGAUUCAGUGUUGUCGCCGCAAUGCCGGUCAGUGGUGACAUGGGUGGGCACUUGUAACCUUUGUCUGACAAAUUUCAUCUUACUAAAAUGUUCAUUCACUCAAAUGAAAUGUCCCAACAACAGCUAAAGAUUGUUUAGAUAGAUAGAGAAUAGAAAAAUUGUUCAUGUAUUUAAAGAGAAAUAAUCACAUCUCUAGUUCAAAAUGUUCUCUAGUCCACUGUGCUAAAUUGGUAUUAUUAUCUAUGCAAACCAUAUAAGAUAAUAUAUAUACAUAGUUUGUACAUCAGUGAAGAAAAAUUUAUUACUUCCUAAAUACUUUAUAAGAUAACCGCGGUUUAGCACAUGAAAAAUUGUAAAAUAAAUUAAAUGGUUGAAAAACAUAAGAUAUUUUAAGGGAUAGCCAGUGAUGAGUGGUCCCUGUGUUCACCUUAAUGACUUGUCAAAUGUAUUUAAANNNNNNNNNNNNNNNNNNNNNNNNNNNNNNNNNNNNNNNNNNNNNNNNNNNNNNNNNNNNNNNNNNNNNNNNNNNNNNNNNNNNNNNNNNNNNNNNNNNNNNNNNNNNNNNNNNNNNNNNNNNNNNNNNNNNNNNNNNNNNNNNNNNNNNNNNNNNNNNNNNNNNNNNNNNNNNNNNNNNNNNNNNNNNNNNNNNNNNNNNNNNNNNNNNNNNNNNNNNNNNNNNNNNNNNNNNNNNNNNNNNNNNNNNNNNNNNNNNNNNNNNNNNNNNNNNNNNNNNNNNNNNNNNNNNNNNNNNNNNNNNNNNNNNNNNNNNNNNNNNNNNNNNNNNNNNNNNNNNNNNNNNNNNNNNNNNNNNNNNNNNNNNNNNNNNNNNNNNNNNNNNNNNNNNNNNNNNNNNNNNNNNNNNNNNNNNNNNNNNNNNNNNNNNNNGGCAUCAAAUGCUAGUUAUCCGCCUAUCCAUGCAAUUUGAAAAUUCACUGUUGAAUGCUGGUUGUUUUCUGCGAAUAAGUGAAUGCUGGGUGGUUAUUUGAAACCUCACCCCAAUUGUGGUGGUUACUUACAAUUUACUCCUAGAGCUUAAAGCAUACGUUUUGUGCAGUAAAUUGGAUAUAGGCAUUAUAGUUUCUUUCUUGAAAGCUAUGUGUUAUGUGACACUAAUCAGAUUAUCAGUUCUGAAAACAAAUACAUGUGCAGAUGCCAUGCCAGCUCAUGCAAGUUAUUAACAAUUUCGAAAAAUGAGUGGCUUUGUGCAUCACGGGCAUGGAGUUAACACUACUUCAGGAGUACCUAGCAGUGGCGGGUGGCAAAAGUCCAUCAGUGGCGGGCAAGGCUCUCAAGGCCGCUACCCACUAACCUCCCGCCACUCCUAGAACACCAUCAGAGGCGGGCGUCCGCCCGCUAGUGUUAGGCCACGAGUACUGGCGGGCUCUACGUCGUGCCCGCCACAACAGUCUGUGUUGCCCGUCACAUGAAUUUUGCGCUGCUAUGGCAGUCCUUUUCUACCGCUCGGUGCUGCUAUUGUUGCAUGCCAACAUGAUUGAAUUACAGCAUAUUCCACCCGGAUCAUAUCAUCAGAUUGCAUUUGAUACAUAAAUUCUGGUUUGAACCUUGAUCCACAUAAACAAACCACAUUACAAUGAUUUCAGAUUAAUGAAAAGUAGUAGUUAUAAAAUAUAACAAGUGAAUUACAAUAAUUAAUAAGCAUACAUAUGUCGCGCUCAUCACAUAAUUAAUGGUUUGACGAGUUUUUUUUAGUGAAAUGAGUGUUGGCAGAUGUUCAACACGCAGACCUUUAGUAGAAGCUGCACAUACUACAUGAAUUAGUACUUGAUGGAAUGAACGGGAACCAAUGGGCCGCUUGCUCUGGAAUUGGAGAUUUGGCCUCUCCCAGAGCCCAUUGUACAACCACAGCCGGCGUGGGUAUGGUAAUUGGACUCAUACCCGGCCAGAUCCUCUCUGGCGUUGCCUCCGCAAGGAUGCACACUGCAAGGUCAGUGAAGCGCCUCUCUGCAAUCUUAGCAAUCGCUAUGAAAGAACAAUGGACAUUGGAACACUUUUGACCCAAGCUAACAUGGCCUCCUUGAGGCGGUCGGCCCAAUACUUUUCAUGUUUCCAUAGAUAGUGCUUCUCCAUGUCCGCCGCAGAGACCCCCUCCCACAAAUCUUCUGGCGGCCCCAUCUGUUAUUUUUAGCAGACAAUGACAUUCAAAAUAUAUACAUAUAGAAAAGAUCACAAGGGUAUUAUAUAAACACAUAUGACACUCGUACAUAUAAAGUAGAGAUCACAAGGUAACAAUCAUUGUGUCAUGACAUAGUUUAAUGUUUUUCACGGUUUACUAGACUAGAAAGGAGCAUUUAUAUCGCCAUGUUGAUGUUUCAUUCUCAUGUCUCAUUCUUCUUGACUCUCUGCCCCACAGUAGAACAUCCCCUCGUCCCUCACUACAUGGCGAUUGAUGAUAUUCGUGAGCACUCUCUAAAGGCGCUCGUGCUCUGUCCAAAAGUGAGAUAGCUUAACUUCCUUCUCAUUCUCUUUGGACCAUUUCUGCAACAUUGAAUCACUUCCUAACAGUGGUCCUGUGCGCACAUAGUCAUCCAUCAAGACCAUGGCAUAGUAGCCAGACAUGCGCAUGGUUUCGCCUUUCAGUUGUUGCCGGCAACAAAAGCUAGUGUUAAAUUUGUACUGCGAAUGUGGCAUGUUCUUACGGUCGGACUAAUGACACAUAAGAAGAGCAGCAUUGAAAACUUUCUUCAGAUCGGUCCACAACUUCUUAGGGUCUCUCCUGGAAUCAAAGAAAUAAGCUCAGCCAUCCCGGGGCAUCAGUGACGAUCCGGUGUUCAUUGAUGUGCAAAAUAAUUGAACAACGCAACAUUAAUGAGAUUGACAUCAAUGUACCCAGGUGUAUAGUGCAAGCAGAAAGAAAUGAACUUAAGUUUCGAAGUAAGGCACGAUAAAGUUGUGCUUGGUCCGAGGACUACGAAGAAUGGUCUUGUGGAGGUAAUCCGUCAUAAGACGUUGGCCUUUAUCAGAAUCCACAUUGGUCGAAUGCAUGAGAUACGGAUCAAGGAAGCCAACUUCCUCAUUCUGGAGUAAUGGAUUGGUAGCAUGCCCGAGCGACCAAAGCCUCAUUAUAGAUGGCUUGAUUACGUCCACAUAAAAAAUAUUGUCGUUGACCACACUCUCAAAUCCAAGAUAUACUUUCUCAACAGGGUACUCGUCGACAAAUCCAAGAGGCCCUCUAUAACUUUGGCGGUGUAAUACAUCUCACCCUUUCCUGACCUAGCUACUACGUCUUUGUGUAGAAGCUGAAUUUCAACGCUUAGUGCACUCAACUUGUGUUGUGGCAACAUCGGUUAACCGGGCUUAAACAUUUGCAUGAAGCACCGGCUGACAGAAACAUUCACCACAUCUUCUCCUGGCGCCUUACUGGUAGUAGGUUCAUUGGCUGAUUUCUUCUUUCGCUUUCUUCCCUUUUUACGAUGCUGAGCAGAGGGGUCCAUAGAAGAUGGUUCUCCGGAAUGCAUUUAUUGGAUUUGCUAAAAUUUAGUAUGCAAUUAUGAGUCAAUGAUACUACAAUGGAUCCUACCAAUAUAAGCCAACGAUAUUACAAUGGAUCCUAGUUAAAAACUGAAAGAAAAAUUCGACAUGACCUUUGCUAACAAGAGGACAUAACAAGUGCAAGAAAUUCGGCAAAACAGAAAUGAAUCGACGUUUCACCAAAACAUUGGCACUCAUGUCAAUACCUGCCAAUAUAAGCCAAUGAUACUACAAUGGGUCCUAGUUAAAAAAUAAAAGAAAAAUUCGACAUGACCUUUGCUAACAAGAGGACAUAACGAGUGCCAGAAAUUCGGCGAAACGGAAAUGAAUCGACGUUUCGCCAAAACAUUGGCACUCAUGUCGAUACCUGCAAACAUAAGACAACGAUACAGCAAUGGAUUCUAGUUAAAAAUUGAAAGAAAAAUUGACAUGACCACACUAAUAGGGUUCCUACGCAUAAACUUACCAAAUAUUUAUGAACUACUAGUAUAUAUUUACCCUGAAACAGAUCUGACCAUCAUACAAAAUAACACUAAGAAAACAUUGGCAUGUAUUUCUAAACUAGCUACUCCAGCGACAACUAUUUCGGUACAGAUGGAGUAAUAUUUACACCAGGCCCAAAUCUGAAAAUGCAUACCGGACAGGUGGAACACUUGGAGUUUGAAUGCAACCCAAGGUCUUCGAUGUUGGCGGGGGAGGGGGACACGGCCGAACGGCCAGCCAUCGGGGUGGAGCUCGGCAGUGGCGAUGAGAUGCCUCCUGCGGUGUUGGAGGAUGAUGCCAUGCCCGCCCGCGACAGUGUGAGGAGGGGCGUGGCAACGAGGGUGAGAGGCGUCAACGAGGGGCGCGCGCGGCGGCGAGUAGCGACGGCACCGAGGGGCGCGGCGGCUAUUGGGCGAGAUUUGAGGGGGGACGAGACGGCANNNNNNNNNNNNNNNNNNNNNNNNNNNNNNNNNNNNNNNNNNNNNNNNNNNNNNNNNNNNNNNNNNNNNNNNNNNNNNNNNNNNNNNNNNNNNNNNNNNNNNNNNNNNNNNNNNNNNNNNNNNNNNNNNNNNNNNNNNNNNNNNNNNNNNNNNNNNNNNNNNNNNNNNNNNNNNNNNNNNNNNNNNNNNNNNNNNNNNNNNNNNNNNNNNNNNNNNNNNNNNNNNNNNNNNNNNNNNNNNNNNNNNNNNNNNNNNNNNNNNNNNNNNNNNNNNNNNNNNNNNNNNNNNNNNNNNNNNNNNNNNNNNNNNNNNNNNNNNNNNNNNNNNNNNNNNNNNNNNNNNNNNNNNNNNNNNNNNNNNNNNNNNNNNNNNNNNNNNNNNNNNNNNNNNNNNNNNNNNNNNNNNNNNNNNNNNNNNNNNNNNNNNNNNNNNNNNNNNNNNNNNNNNNNNNNNAUUGAACUCCAGCAUAGUGGAAUUAUGACUGGCGGGCGGGGUAUAGAGCCCGCCACACGUAUGGCAAGAAGCAGUGGCGGUCUGUACCAGGAGGCCGCCACUACUAAAAAUGACUUCCUGGCCCCCCAACAAAAAAGUUACUGUGAUUUUAGCUGUGGCAGGGCUAUAGACAGGCCCGCCACAUCUCAUAGGAAGAGCAGCGGCGGGCGCUGUAAGCCGCCCGUCACUGACGUAUUUCAUCACGAGAUAAGAUUUGGAAUGGUUCACCUGUGGCGGGCCAGAGGACUCGCUCGCCACUGCAACUCAUGUAGCUAUGGCGGGCUGAUUUUGCUAUCCGCCACCACUUGCUUUCAAAAAUAUCCGUGGCGGAUGCCCUGCUGUGCCUGAUACUAAUUUGUGAUCUCCUAUAAGCCUUUUUGUAGUAGUGUAACCUCCUUUUCGACGGGAAAAAUGCAAGUUAGUUAAUAGUUACGACCAGGUUAAGUAACUGAAGAACUUAAGCAGUUGACCGAAAUGUAGCUUUCAGGCUGCCCCAAGAAACAUUAAACUGGGCUUGCGUAAAAUACUAGUGCAGUUUAUGGUCAGAUGGCCUUGUCGAGAUCGAUGAUGGAUAUUUUAUUUUUGUCGUAUGUUUCGAUCUAAUCCAGGACUGAUGAUACUACAUGCAACUAGGACACGAGUGAAUAAUUUACUUAAGAGUUGCAUCAUGAAGGGAAAAUAAUUAAACAAAGUACAUGGAUUAGAGCAUACGCCAACAUCUCAAGUGGUUGACUUAAGACUAAUUAACAAGCUUAUGUUGUUUCUUAGGGAAGCUAGAGCAAAAUUGUAUUUCAAAGCAAGCGAGAAUGUAUAAAAGUCUUGCUCGCAUCUCCUUCCCCUCUCUUGGACCUAUAAUGCAAAAGCGGCGGCGACAACACAUGAAUGACCUCGAUGGUGGUGCUACUUGAGCACCCGGUCUUGAGCUCCGGGGUGAAAGCCUUGGUCUGGCCCGAGUUGGGUAUACCUGACAAUGGCGAUGUUUUGACGUCGUUACCAUGUUGAAGGCAUUGUUCGGAAUGUUCGGACUGAUUUUUUAGGGUGAAAACCUAGAUUCCAGCCUUGGGUGGCUGGAUCCGACGACGGUGACACUUGAAUGUCACUCCCUUCCAUAAGGCGUUGCUGUUGAAGAAUCUUGUCGCCCGCGUGGUGUCAUGAGAUUGUCCGUGCAGAUAUGGUCAUUGUUAUAGUUUGUCGAUCGUGAUGUGAUCGCUUUGGGGCUUUUUUUCUUUUUUCCUUGCCUACGCAUAGCUUUGGUCUUGUAUGACUUUGCUACUUGUCGGCGUGUUUUUGUGUGCGUGCGUUGGUGUUGGCUGUGUGCAUCCUAGCUAUGCAAACGCCGGGUGUGUGCUCAUUGUGUUUGUAUAUUCUUAAUGCUCCAUUUUGAGUCAAUAAAAUCCACCCAUUAUAAAAAAAACUAUAUAUCCCUCUAUUACCAGAUCAUCAGUAUUUACUUGUAUGACGGCACACAAUAAUAACAAAAGUUUUUUCACUGCAUAACCUCCUUUGGGCACAAAAUAGCGGCCCAAGGAAUAACGAAGUUGGUUUCAAUGAAAGUAAUUAUCUAAGGCGGAAGCCCCAAAGUGGGCACUGGACAGAAUGGAUAAGGGAUGCCGUGCCUUCUUCUGGGCAGGCUCGGAGGAAAUUCAGGGAGGCCAAUGUGCGGUGGCGUGGCGCCGGGUCUGCCGGCCUAAACAGAUGGGAGGUCUAGGGGUGGUGGAUCUAUAUAAACAUGGAAUCGCCCUAAGACUUAGGUGGGAGUGGUUGAAACGCACUGACAGCUCGCGACCUUGGUAGGGGCUCAACUACUGUUCCGACAAAGAUGUCAGGUUGGCAUUCGACAGCAUGGUCAAGUGGGAAGUAGGGGAAGGUUCGACGGCUUUGUUCUGGAGAGAUCGCUGGAUCAAUGGAUCCUGUGUGAAGGAGAUCGCUCCGCUACUUGUUGGCAAAGUGCGGCAGCAGGUGGUGAAUAGGAGGAAAGUGAAGGACGCCUUGUAUCUUCAUGCGUGGACGCAAGAUAUCGUGGGAGAGAUGAAUACCGAGGAGCUUUCGCAGUUCGUUAGGUUAUGGGAGGUGCUGGUAGACAUUGAGCUCACGCCUGGUUCGGAGGACACCCCGAUCUGGCAAUGGGAUGUAACUGGCAAGUACUUGGCAAAAUCGGCGUACAAGAUGAUGUGUGAGGGAGGGGUAAGAUUUCAAUGCGCCUCGGCUGUCUGGCACAGUUGGGCCACGAUGACCUGUAAGCUCUUCAUUUGGCUCGCACUCCAGUAUAGAGUGUGGACUUCGGACCGCAGACAGAGGCAUGGUCUGCAAGAUCAUAGCUCGGCAUGCUUCCUAUGUGACCAAGAAGAGGACAAAGUGGAUCACAUACUACUACAGUGUGUAUAUGCGAGACAAGUGUGGUUUCUGUGCUUCCGAGAGCUGGGCGUGGAUGAAGCUUUGAUUCCAACCACAGAGGAUACACUAGGUGAUUGGUGGGUAUCCGCUAGAAAGCGCAUUGACAAGAGACACCGGAGAGGAUUCGACACAAUCUGCAUUUCAGUCUGCUGGGACAUAUGGAAGCAGAGAAACGGCAGAGUUUUUCACAACAGCAACAUCGCCAACGAGUGGGGAACGGCCGAUACCAUCCACCAGGAACUUAGGCUAUGGGCAUUGGCGAGAGGGAGAGGAGUUCAACAUGGUAUAGAGUAGUAGCCUAGCAUGUGGAGUGGAGGGGUGGACGUGCAUGCCGUGUGUGGUAGUGCAUUCCGUCGUCUGUAUUUCUUGUACAUAGCUCUCUUUCGUCUAUAAAGCUAAGGUACGCAUUUUGCGUACUCUCGAAAAAAAUUAUCUAACGAGGUUUCAAUAUCCAAUGAAUUUAUGUAUCACUGACAAAUGGUCCUACUUUUACCAUAAUAUGUUGCUGGUUUACUUUGAUAAUGGUUUGGAAAGUGGGGAAUUUAGUAUGGUUUAAUCACAAGUGGCCUUCUGAUCCGACUGUUAUCAUGUUUAGGGUAGCUUAUGGAAUUAAUGACUGGUGCUACGACUGUUAUCACAAGUGGCCUUCUGAUCCGACUGUUAUCAUGUUUAGUUCCCUGUAGGUGACAGAGGGCGCAAAACUGGUGCUACGACGGGAUGCAAGACUUCUGGAAAGGAGUCUCAACUGAAGUUUUUCAAGCCAGGAAAAGCUGGGCACCAUGGAUUCCCCGCCUGGAAGAUGGGAGACUUGAUUUUGCGGUUGUGUCUGUUCCUUUAGUGGUGUUGUGCUGAUUAAUAGCUGGGUGUUGGCUUCAGCGUACUCAGUGUAAAACGCUCUGUUUUUUCGUGUCUUCGUGGUGUUGGUUGUUCCCCUAGUCUGUUGCUCAGCUAGGCUUGCGAGGAGGAAUGCCUUAAAGACUUAAGUCCAUGUCUUUGUUUUGUUGGUGGUGGUUGCGUUUUCGUUGUAAAAACAACUUGUUUUCAUUAAUGAAAUCAGCGGUACAAUCCCUUUUGAUCUAGAAAAAAUGUAUGCAUAAACCUUUUGGUGGAAUAUCCAACACGUCCGGGCCAACUUUUUGAGUGAACAUUUAGCGAUAAGAAAAUUUUGUUGUUACAGUCAGAGCUGAAAUGUUCUUAUCUAAUGCCCAUAUCAUCCAUUUAUUCUCUUGUGUUUAACUCACCAAUUUCGAACAUACUAUAGGUCGUCAAUGUAGCUCAUCUGAAGUGCGCAAUAAGUAAUGAUCCGUGGUAUGGGAGUAUGAUUCUUCAUAUUACAUUGACAACACAAAGGAAACUUUAUUAUCUGAUCCACACCGACAAGAUAUGAUCCCAAACACACAACCAAACAUAUAUCAUAACAAUAACAAACUCGUUUAAAAAAAUAAAAAUAACAAACAAACAGACGUGGAUUUUUGGAUUAAUAGAACAUCCCAGGCUAAAAAUCCACAGAUUACUUGAAAAGGAAAACAUUAACAAGCUUGUAUUGUUCCUUUCAUAGCUACCCGUAUAUGGGUAGCUACAGCCCACCUAGUUUUUGAACAUAUUACUGGAUGGUGGCGCCAGCAGAUGUAGUGUCCUGCAAAAAAAAGGUAUAAUCAACAUCGCUACAUACCAAGAAACCAGUCAUUAAGGUACUGAUGGAAAUUUGUCAGGAAAAUAUAAAUCAUAAUGCCAGAUGACUAAAACUAGUUUUGUUUGUGAACUGGCUUUGAAAUUUAUAAGCUUAUUAGUUACAUAACCUUAACUACAUCUACAUGUCCAGACCAUGACGUUUAAAUAUCUUUCAGCUGGACUAGAUAUACAUGCUAGAAACAAGAAGAAAUAUAUAUAUAAAGAUUAAGAGUUGAAUGUAUGUACUUACAGAAGGUUUGACGUAGAAUGCAUGGAUAUUAAGUUCUUUGAUAGUUUGAAACGUAGGGGGGUUGGCGAGCGCGUUAUACUUGAUGAUCCCACGUGCCAUAGCAAACUCUCCAGUUCCACCCAUAAUGGCCAUCUGGCCUUGGCCUGUUUGAAAAUGGAUCCCCAUCGCUUCGAAUGAUGAUCCAUUGUACCUGAUAUAGUUUUGUAGGGCAAUAUCACAUAUCAUAUGAAACUGGAAAAUCUUCAGUAUUUGAGACCUUUGUAACAAACCAUAUCUGCUAUAUAACUGGGAAAACUAAAACUUAUACUAGUCCAAAAGUAUAUAAAAAUGACCUAGAGUUCUUCUCGAACACCAUGCUGAAGUAGUUGAACCAGCCUGGACCGGCUACAUCAGCCUGCACUUGCAUGCCUUUGGUACGGGCAACAAUGGUGGCAGUAGCGGGGUUUGGUCCAUCAAUGACAGUCCAGUCGGUAACGGCAGUUAGACCAAACUCUGACGGUUUGCUGGAGGUAACAAUUGCUACCUGGUUGAUGCCUGGUCCGGCGGCGAUUUGGUGCAAGUACAAGCGCAUGUUAACCUCAGACUCACACUGAAGAACACAGGAUAGGGAUGCAGAUGCCAUGGAUAGAAUGGAAUGCAGGACUAGGAUCGUGGACAGGACUAAAAGGCUAGGGCUGGCCAUUGCUAGCUAGGAUUUUGUCUGGCAGAAGAAGUUGGUAGCUAGGAGGUGUGUCCGUAAACUGACUCUUUCCUUUGUCGUGUGUGUGAGCUGUGUGAGAGACACUUGAGUCCAGGGUACUAUUUGUAAUGCUCAGGACUAGCUAGCAUAUUCGUUCCAUAUCCUCUUUUUUCAUUUCUCUUUGGGAUGAUCCAUUCCAUAUCCUUUUUAGUUUCUUUUUUUUUAACUGCCAUUUCAGUUAGGAUAGACAACUACACAUGUGUGGCUGAUUCCUUGUACAUGUAUCAACCCUCGGAGAUCACAAAGGUCAAGUGCCUUUUGAGGAACUACCCUUUUAUUUCCUUGAAAUACAAUGUGUACAUUGUAAUGUAGCAUUGAAAAUGACUAAAAUGCAUUAGACGCCCAUUAUUAUCUUUACAUCUUAUUAUAUCUCCGGAAGAGCAGCAGCCUAGGUUUUCCACCUGGACAACGAGCACACUGUCAUUACUCGUACAAUACAAAGUUCAAAUCCAAGGAUUCAUGCUGCGNNNNNNNNNNNNNNNNNNNNNNNNNNNNNNNNNNNNNNNNNNNNNNNNNNNNNNNNNNNNNNNNNNNNNNNNNNNNNNNNNNNNNNNNNNNNNNNNNNNNNNNNNNNNNNNNNNNNNNNNNNNNNNNNNNNNNNNNNNNNNNNNNNNNNNNNNNNNNNNNNNNNNNNNNNNNNNNNNNNNNNNNNNNNNNNNNNNNNNNNNNNNNNNNNNNNNNNNNNNNNNNNNNNNNNNNNNNNNNNNNNNNNNNNNNNNNNNNNNNNNNNNNNNNNNNNNNNNNNNNNNNNNNNNNNNNNNNNNNNNNNNNNNNNNNNNNCUUGUUGAGGCAACCUUGAUGCUGAAGACAGGAGGAAGCUGCCUUGGCAACGUCGCUGGUCUUGUGGAGGCAGCCUUGAUGCCAAAGACAUGAGGAAGCGGCCAGGCCACACAACACUUCAGUUUGGUGGUGCUCUUCAAAUACACGAUCUCGAGUUCCAGAGGGGAAACUCUAGCUCAGGCCUUCAUUCACUGUACGUUGGAAUGGCGAUGUUUCGACAUUGUUCCCUUGUUGGAGACAUUGUCUUGAGAUUGCUCAGAAGUCCUAUUCGGGGUGAAAACUCGUGAUCUAGCCUCUAUUAGAAUGGUGACAACAGUGAUCAUCCCUUUCCUAGAGGUGUCAUUGUUGGAGAACCUUUCUCAUAGUUUGGAUAGUUCCAUUGGCGCAGAUAGGUGUUGGCCACUGAUGCGUGCCAUUGAUUGCUUCAACAUGAAUUUUGUAUGUCCUAUCUUUUUUUAAUAAUUUGGAUGUGUGCAACCCUGAUGUCUGGAUUAGCAUAUUGCUUCUUGUAGAGGCCGCAGGGUGGGUUGGGGUGGGGCUGGGGGCAGGGGUGCCGACCAAAAACUAGCAAAUUUACAAUCAUCUUGAUUAACAUAUUUUUAGCGGUUUGUUCCUUGCAAAAAAAAAGACUAUCAAUGUAUCAAUUAUGCAAGCUAGUUUAAGACCAUUCACAAAUUAUUAUCAAAUGGUUCUAUUAAUGUCAACUGCAUUCAGGAGUCAUGCAUGACGUCAACCAUGUCAAAUUAUUGAAGGUUUAACCUCUGGCUUAGAAACAAAACAAAUGCGUACCAUAGGCCGGCAAAAAGUAUACCACUAUAUAGAAGGAAAUUAAUAAUACUUAGUGGGCAAUCUCCGUACGUGACAACCACCUAAAUAUAAUACUUGGAAAAAAUUAUCAAUGCUACUUGUAUGUUUACUAAUAUAAGUAGUGACCUUUAUAAGGAAUUGCGUCGUUCCAAGGAUGACAUCUUAAUUAGCAUACUACUAAGAUUCGAAGAUAUAUACUAUCUUGAAAGUCAGUUGUGCCAUUAGUCAGAUGUGUAUGCAGUAUACAAUCCAAUUGUAUGUAUAUGUAUGUCAGUAUGUGUGCUCAUCAACAGUUCACCUUGUUUUGAAGCAACCCAGUCAUCAGUAUGAUCGAGUAUUCAGACAUAUCCAGUAUACACGUGUUUAUGCAUUUUAGCUGUGAUUUUCUGCCAAAUGUGCCAACGAAUUAUUGCAUUCACGAGUGCUCUUAUUGCUUGUGUGUAACCCAUGCAGUGUGUUAGAUGAUUUCUGCCAAAUAUGCGUCUAUAAUUGAAGGGAGAACCUAUCCUUCGAUUAUGGAUCAGUCAUUUUUCAUAGCCUACUGUUUAUCUUGUUUGCAUGCCCUUCUCCUCUUCUUUGACCCACCCCCAACCGCCUGCCACGCCGUCCGCGGUCGGUGGUGCUUCCAUGUGUGCCUCACUGCCCUGGCCUGCUCUGCUCAAACUGCCACCUCUACCAUCCCUCCAUGCCCCGGCCAUCCUAUAAACCUCCCCACUGUCCCUGGCACCGGUGAUCCUAUGAUCCUACCCCCUCCCCCGCUCCACAAACCUGUCAAGCCCUUUUCCUCUCCUCCGUCGGCAACCGUGAGUGAUAGAAAUUUGCAUGAUUAAAUAUUUCAUUUGACCAAAACCUUUCAUACAUUUCUAUGCAUGUAACAAGGAAACAAGAUGAUGAUGUGUCGAUGUCCCUUCGCAGGAUUGCAUGGCAGUAACAGAGAUCCAUGUCUUGAAAACAUGAGAAAGAAAGGAGCACGCGAUUGAAACAGAACACCUCAACAAACAUAUAAUAGUGCGUACUAUGUCGUAAGAGCAUCUACAACCACAACUCACAAAUGUGACACCUACACAUGCGUGGACACGCCCGCAGACAAUGACCGGUCAUCCCUAAUUUCUCCGCGUCCGCAGCCGCCCCCCUCAAAUCCAUGCUACCUACGCAAUGUGAUCAACAAUUUUACUCGCAAAAAAAAUGUGAUCAUCAUUUUACAUAGAAAUAACUUGAACAUAUCAGUAGCAAACAUAUAUAUAUUGGGAAUGGCAAGUUUCGUAGAAUCGGACACAAAAUGUCCAUCAAACCUAGAUAUAAUAAGCCUAAUAAAUAAAUAAACUCCUAUGCGUGGACGUUGGCGGCCAGAGGGGCUCGCCAUGCCGCUUACAUAGGAUGAUGAGGAGGAGAUGAUCCUGACCAGGAGCCGGGUGGCGCAGGCCUGCUCCUUGGCGAGUGGGUGGUUUCUGCCUAGGCAGCCGCCCCGUCCUUCACAAGGCGCCCAAAAUCCUCGAUGUCGAGCCGGAGCGCCAUUUGUUUUUGCGGCGGGCAUCCAUAUUCCUCGAGGUCGGUGACCGGAUGAUGAUGUUGCGGAGGAGCUCCUCCUCAGGGUUAGCCUGCGUGGACCUGGAGAACCCUCAGCCGUCCUGUGAGGAACCGGAUGUCUCACAGGCCUGCUGCCUAGCACGGUCGGUUCACGCCUCUACCCAUAUGUCCUCCUCGGAGGAUCAGCGAUGAGGGAAUGAGCACCCAGCUCUGUCCCGGAGGCGCAGGGCACAAAAGUGGUCGGGGGGUCGUGGAGGGCGCUGGAUCUUGACCGGCACAGAUUGUGACGGGCUGACGUGGUUGGCUGCAUUGCCUUGCCGGGCAAAGGAGGAGAAUGCAGAUCUCGAGCUCCCAUCGUCGUUGUCCAUUCGUGAGGUCCUCAUUAUCCAAAUCUUACUACAGCAAGGCAUCCCGGUCGAUGGGAUCCGCCUCGUUGUCGGAUCCGCCACUGAAAUCACUGCCAGAACCAACCACGGUAGCCCGGGAACGGAAGUGACGGGGAUGGGAGCGGACAGGUGUGGAGUGGAAGGGGAGUGAAGAUGCCGAGACUGAGCUAGUUUUGUGGGGAUGGGUUGGGCCAGCAUGGACCAGUCCAAGAUGGCAGUCGCGACUGGGCAUGUAGGUCUACCCCAUAUCCGCCCCAGACAUGAGAUGAGUUUGAGGGGUGCCGGUCGGCCCAGACAAUUGGGCAAACUAUUUGGGGCCCGGUUGGAUGGAAGUUUGUGCUUUGAGAAGUGAUCGGGCUGUCCACCCAGACGUUUUGGGGGAUUUGAGCGCUCCGGUUGUACAUGCUCAAAAUUUGGGCAUGGGAAGAGCUCGCCCGACAGGCCGUGUCUAGGCUGGGCUUGUGCCUCUCAACUCGUAAGACCCAAAAAGUCUAGGAGACCUUAUUUUUUGGAUUUUAUAUGAAAAAUAGUAUGAUAUUGCGCCAAGUAAUCAAAAAAUAAUUCAUUUAUUAUUUUUCAAUAAAAACUUAACCUUUUUCUUGCCCAAGCGGGGUGGGAUCAAACCGAGGGAGGCUUGGCAUUUUCAGGCUAGGUUCUGGCCAUUUUAAUCUAUUUAUUUAUUUCCUUUUUCCGGGACUAAGCCAUUUUAAGUACUUGGUCAGCAAUCUCUAACCAAUGAUAAGAUCACAAGACUAGGCCUAUUAUCUAUUUUUCAUUCAUAGUCAACUGUGUCGCUAAUCAUAUUACUCCAAUCCAGCUAUAUUUAUCCGUGCUCAACAUCAGUUCACCUUGUUUGAAAGAAACCCAGUUAUCUUUCGUUUUUUGCGAGAAAGCUUCGUAUUUAUACUAAAAGACUUCCAAUAUUCCUUUAAACAUAUCGUCGAUGCAUAGUUCAGUGCAUCACAGGUGGCGAGGAUGAACAGGAAGAAAUCACACCAUUUAAGGUAGUUGUUGGGGGCUGGGCCUAGUUUGAAGGUGAUGUAGGAGUGGAUGUUUGUAUUAUGGACGGAGGAUUGAGAGGGUAAGAAGAGAGAGUAGCCACAACAGUGGUGACGGGCGUCAUGGAGCUGGCGGAGCAGCUGGGAGAGGUGUGGGUGGUUUACAUCGGAAGGUUACACACCCUGUGUCUCUAAAGAAGAAGAAAACAAUACCUUGGGCCUGCAAAGUAAACCAACAUAUGGAAUUGAGAAGCAACUUAACAAUACUUAAUCGGCAAUCUCCGUGAAAACCAUUGAAAUAUUGCUAGCUGGUUAUCUAAUGUGGUGGGAUCAUUACUUUGAACAACUCUCUCAAUGAUAGAUGCAUGUUGUCUAACAAGUAGUGACAUUCAUAAGGAAUUGCAUCGAUCCAAGGAUAACAUCUCAAUUACCAUAUGACUAAUUAGGACCUACACAUAUAUACCACCUUGAAGGAACAAGUGUUACCGCAAAUCCAUGCAUCCAAUUCUUUAUGGCGGUGUAGGUUGAAUCUAAUUCCUUCACAACUUGUCUUCUUCUACAGUAAAACUAUGCCCUGAAUUUUCGUGUUUUUUUUCUUCUUAUUUACGAAUAAUACUUGUUUCCUUUGCGGUGUUUGGUCAUAAGAGCAUCUACAACUGCAACUCGCAAAUGUGACCCCUACACGUCCGUGGACGCAUCCGUGGACAGUGACCAGUCACCCACUAUAUCUCCGCGUCCGCUGUCGUCCCCCUCAUAUCCAUGCUAACAACGCAACAUGAUCAACGUUUUACGUAGAAACAACUUGAACAUAGCAGUAUAAAACAUAUAUAUUGGGAAUGACAAGUUUCAUACAAUCGGACACAAAAUGUCCAUCAUCACCUAGAUAUGAUAAGCCUAAACAAUAGAUAAACUCCUACAUGUAGGCAUUGGAUGUCGGAGGGGAUUCGUCAUUGUCGUCGCUCAUCGUGUCCCUGUCAUAGGACGACGACAAGGAGGUUAUCCCGACCAAACGCCGGGCGACACGGGCCUACUCCUUGGUGAGUCGGGCGGCUUUAGCACUGGCGGUUGCCCCCUCCUUCGCGAGGUUCCCGAAAUCCUCGAUGUCGAGCUGGAGAACCUUUACUGUUUUUCGGCGGCGGGCAUCCAUCUCUGACGAGAUCAGUGACCGGAGGAUGACAUCACGGAGGAGAUCCUCCUCCGGGUCAACCAGCGUGGACCUACAUAAUUCGCAGCCACUCUGGGAGGAACCAGCAGUCUCGCGGACCUGCUGCCUCUGAUUUUUACGUCCUCGUCGCAAGCUCGGUAGUGCGGGAACGAGCACCCUGCUCAGACUGGGAGGAGCGGGGCCCAAAGUGGUAGGGGAGGGUCACGGAGGGCGAUAUAUCUUGACCGGCGCAGACCGCGACGGGCUGACGUGGUCCGCUGCAUUGCCUCGUCGGGCAACGGGGGAGAACAGAGAGCUCGAGUUCCUUCCCUUGUCCAUCCAUGACCAGCGGAGCGCACUGCAAAGGGUGAGGUCUCCUCAUCAUCCAAAUCCGACAACCGCAAGGCAUCCCAGUCGAUGGGUUCCGCCUCAUUGCUGGAUCCGCCACUGAAAUCGCUGCUAGAACCAACCAUGGUAGCCCGAGAAGAGGAAGCGGUGGGGAUGGGAGCGAACAUGAGAGGUGUGGAAGGGGAGAGAAGAGGCCGGUACUGAGCUAUGUUUGAGCCCUAGUGGGGAUGGGUUGGGCGAGCACGAACGGAUCUGAUGUGACAGCCGAGUCCGGGCGUGUCGAUCUGCCCUCGACGAUAGGGCUAACUAUGUGGGGUCCGGUUGGGUGGCAAUUUAUUGGCUGAGUGGUGACCGGGCUGUCUGCCCAUACGUUUGGGGGGAUAUGAGCUCUUUGUUGUACAUGCUUUAAAUCUCGGCAGUUCACGUUGUUUCAAAUAAACCCAGUUAUGCUUCCAUUUUGCAAGAAAGCACCGCAUUUAUAUUAGAUGACUUCCAACAUCCCAGAAAACAGAUCGUCGAUGUGGUCCAGUGCAUCAGGAGAAUCUUAGCGGGAGGAUCUAGUUUGAAGGUGGUGUAGGAAUGGAUGUUGGUUUUAUGGACGGUAAUGGGGGCCUGGAGUUAAUAAAAAGGAUUGAGAGGGUAAGAAGAGAGAGCACCAGCUAUAGUAUUGAGGGCACCAUGGUGCUGAGAAACUGGGAGAGGUGUGGGUGGUUUGCAUCGGAAGGUUUCACACCCUCUGGUUCUGAAGAAGAAACAUAAUACCAUAGGCCUGCAAAGUAAACCAACAUAUGGAAUUAAGAAGCAAUUUAACAAUACUUAGUGGGCAAUCUCCGUGACAACCAUGAAAAUAUUGAUAUGUUGUUAAGGAAUUAUUUCUUUGAAUAAGCUCAGUACUAGUUGUAAUAGUUGCAUGUUGUCUAAUAUGUGACGUUGGUAAGAAAUUGCGUCCAGAAAAGUGUAGCAUCUCAAUUAUCAUAUUACCAAGACCUGAAGAUAUAUGCAACCUUGUAGCCUUAUAAAGAGCUAGAGCCCUUGCCUAUUUUUUCUCUUAGAAAUUGGACCAACGUGUCGCGUACGGAUUAAUUUAGUAAUUCUUCUGUAUUUUUUCAUCGAUAAAUAGGAAUAGGGCAGUGUAUAUGUGGAGUGCACACAAUCUUGUUUCACUUUUCUUUGCUGGAAAUAAGCUGUUUUAAGUACUUGGUCAGCAAUCUCAAAUCAAUGAUAAGAUCGUAAGGACUACUAUAUAUUUUCAAAGUAAACUGCGCCGCUAGUCAGAUGGCCAUAAUACAGUUAUAUAUAUCGUGCUCAGCACGAGUUCACCUUGUUUUAAAGCAACCCUGUCAUAAGUAUGAGUAUUAGUUCAAACAUAUUUGUGAAAGAACACUCAUUUAUACACUUUAGCUCUGUUUUUAUGCCCAUGAGUUAGUACAUUCACGAGUGGUUUUUUCUUCACGUAACUGGCACGGAGUGUUACUGAAUAUAACUUUAUUAUUUAUUACAUUUCUUAGGAUGCUUUCUAUCACGAAACUAGCGGUAUUGCCUGCUCAUUUGUGCGGCAAGAUUUUCAUUUCUCAUUUUAAAUUUAGAAACUAUAUUUUGGCAUUUUAAAUAUUACUUAACACUUUGUAAAUAUGUAUUGUUGUAAUUACCAAAUUGCGUAUGAGGGAUUCAUCAGCAAGGAGUGCCAAGAAACAGUCAAUUCCACACAAAAGGCUGAAAUUUAAAUGUUUUUAUUAGAAGACAUUCUAUUAAAUAUGUUAUGUAAGAAGGCCUAAAUUCAUCCAUACAUACGCAUUAGGUAUACUUGUGGGGUUAAGAAUUUUAAGCAUGUAUAUGUACAUCAUAUAUAUAAUAGCUGGACAACUAAGUUUGGGAGAACUUAUUGUGGAAGUACAUACUACGGUAGUCCCACGGUUAUACGAAGUGUGUAGUCGUUCUUGUCAUUGAGUAAGGAUGCUUUAUGGCUGAGCUCGGAUGAUACUGCCAGCCCACGUUGAUGAUAGAGAAACUCCUGAUUAAACAAGCUGAUAUAUGGGAGCGCAUCACCUUGUCGAUGCUAUGGAGGAACUUGAGGCCGAGCCCAUGAUUAGUCAUUGCCUGAUCAAUAUAUGUGAGGAACUUGAGCCGCUACCCGUACUUGGCGACAGACAUGGUGCUCUCCUUGAGAAUGUGGUACUUGCCGCUAAGACGGAUGAUGUGUGAGUUGUUAUUGUUGAGGAAGUACCGGCGGAGGCGAUUCCGUGCCGACAAGGCAGUGCCGUCAAAUCACAUAUCACAAGUCCAGACGACCGUCAUCAAACAUGGUGUAGAUCCACAACAUGAUCCUGAUGUCGGCACGCUGCCACUCGGGGUCAUCAAUUCCAAGUUCAGAUGUAUCAUUAAUGUGGUUGAGUGCAUCGGAGGUGACGAGGACGAACCAGAAGAAAUGCGCCAUUUAUGGUAGUUAUUGACACGUGGGUCGAGUUUAAAGGGAAGUAGGACUGGAUGUUGGUAUUGUGGACAACAAUGGGGCUUGAAGUUGCUAAAAGGGAUUGGGUGGUAAGAAGAGGGAGUAGAAGCAAUAGUGGCGACGGGCGCCGUGCCAUCGACAGAGAAACAGGGAGAGGUACUAGGGGUUUGCGCCAUAAGGGAGGUGGUGCUUGAAUUGGUCUUGGUGUUGCUCAUUGGCGUUACCAAGUUGAACUAUGUAAUAUGUAAUGUUUGCAUCAAGGUUUACAAGUAUCGAUGUACACAAUAUAUAGAGAAGGGUCACAGAGAGAGGCCUAACUAAUUCCAACAUACGAGAGGCGCGCACAGGUCCAUGUAUGACGACGAGUGAAGAGAACUCAGAUCCUAAUCUCCACGGGCUCUGGUACAAAAUGGUUGAGUUGCAACAGUACACACAUAUGGUGCAUAUAUGUUUAACAAUAUUGAUUUGAAUUCAUGUACGAGGGGUAACAAAUGGCAAAUAAUAAAAAUACCAUUGGGCUGCCCGUAAUAGGAGUAUCAUGCACGACAACUAAGCAAUUUUGGUGAAGUGACAUAGAAAUAAAUGUAGAAAGAGAGAAUUCAGUAUCAUAUCAUGAUACCGUAUCAUAAUAAAUGUUAUGCUACUAUGUGUCAUGCAUCACAAUAAAUAAGAUCAUAUCUAAGAUACUAAUACAUUAUAUUAUGCAUUAUAGAGGUAAUAUCAUAGAAUUGUAUCAUAUGCAUAAUACAAACUUAUGAUACUACACAUUAUCUUUGCUAUAAAUAAUCCUACUGACCUCAAAGUGCACGCAUUAUUGCACAGGUCACUUCCGUACAAUUUAGGACCAAAAAUAUAGGUGCGCAAGGUAUAUGCUAUAUCAAAGUCAACCACAGUUAAUUAAGUGAUACGAAUAAGUACUAGCUAGUUUUUUUUUGCAAGGCGGAGUACUAGCUAGCUAGCUAGGGUCGUCCUUGUGUUGGCUCCCUAUAAAUAGCAUCCUACUCCCUCAUAUGGACCUGUACCAGUUAAGCAGCUAGCUAGCUCAUCUCCAUCCCAUCUGUUCUUACUCUAUUCUCCACCAGAACCACCCAAUUCAUCAAUGGCUUCAUCUCUGAAGGUGGCCACCAUCGUCGCUGUUUGCGUCGUGCUCGUCCUCAACAUGGGUCACCCAGCGGCAGCCACAGAAUGCGAAGAUUGUCUGGGCGCCUGUGUUGCAAUUUGCAUCGCCUACGCUGAAACGACGUGCAGUGGCAUCUGUACCGUCAUAACUCCUGCAUGCCAGGCAUGUAAGGACGCGGCCAUAAUUGAGUGUGGUGCAACAUGCUAUGGCGGUUGUACACUAUUCUGCUGAACCGGCCGGUUGUGCCCUGUUGCUCGCUGUAAGCUAGGUGCAUGCUUGUGUUCGUUGUUGCCAUUAUAAGCCAUGUAAAUAAGCGAACUAAUGCCGUUGAUGUGUGCAUGUGGCAAUAGUUCCUUUGUUUUAUUGUUCCCCCUCGUUUCAACCAUCAGUAAAUAUACUUGUGUGCAAGUUGUGUAUACUUUGUGCUUCUUCGUACAUAUCAUGUGUCUAACGCGUUGUCAUACUUCAAAAAUAGGGAUAUAUAUCCUUAUCAGGAGAACGCAGUUCCAAAGUAUGUUGUUUCACUUCCCUCAUGGUAGGGUUUCACAUUUAUCUCAGCGCCUCAUGGCGGCUUAAAGAUUGCAUCUAUUUCCUUCACAACUUGUCUUCUUCCAGCAUAAAACUCUGUCCUGAAUUUUCUAUGAUUUUUCUUCUUCAUGGAAAAUACUUGUUUCCUUUGCAGUGUUUGAUCGUUCAUGAAUUAUUCCAACUAGUUCGAUGCAAUACUAGUUUAAGACCAUGGACGAAUUAAUGUCAAGUGGUAGCUUGUUAUAUUGAUGCCAACUCCAUUCAUGAAUCAUGCGCGGCCAUGUCAAUUAUAUGUAGAAGGGUUCACACCAUGGGCCCACAAAGUAAACCAAUAUAUGGAAUUAAGCAUGCAAUUUAGGAAUACUCACUGUGUAAUCUCCAUGGUAGCCAACGAAAUAUUGCAAGCGCCAUUUUCUAAUGCUAUGGAAUCAUUACUUUGAACCAGUUUCUCGGUGCUAGUUGCAUGUAAUCUAAUACGUUGUGCAUUCAUGAGAAAUUGUGCCAAUCAAUGGAUAAUAUCUUAGUUAGCUUAUUACUCCCUCUGGCCCUUUUUACUCAGCGUAUUAGAUUUGUCUAGUCAUACUUUGCAAAGUUUGACCAAAUUUAUACGAAGAAGUAUCAACAUCUACAAUACUAAAUAUAUAUACUAUAUAUGAAACUAAAUUUCAUGAUGAGCCUAACAAUAUCGAUUUGGCAUUAUGAAUGUUGAUACUUCUUUCUAUAAGUUUGGUCAAAAUAGAGAUACUUUGACUUCACACAAAACUUAUAUGUAGACUAAAAAUGACCGGAGGGAGUACUAAUUAAGACCUUAGGAUAUAUACCACCUUUAAGCAUUAAUAGCUACCACAAAUCCACAUAUUAUAGAUCCUUCUUCUUCCACUAUGUCUCCGUUGAUUGGCUUUUGGCUUUCAGACCACUCAAAAAUUAAUGUCAAGUGGUAGCUUCUUCUAUUAAUGUCAACUCCAUGCAUGAGUGAUGCACGAUCAUGUCAAAUUACAGAAGAUGUCACACCCUCUAGCUCAGAAGAGGAAGAAAACUAAGACCAUAGCCGGCAUGUAAAGUAAACUAAUAUAUGGAAUGACACAUGCAAUUUAGGAAUACUUAGUAAGCAAUCCCCGUGAAAACUACCAAAAUAUUGCUUCUUUUUGAAAAGGGGGGUAUGCCCCCAGCCUCUGCAUCUGAAUGAUGCAUAAGGCCAAUAUUAUUAAUAAGCAAAAUAUCCAACAUAAGUCUCCAAGUCUUGAACAACAAACGAAUACCAAAAUAUUGCUAGCUAGUUAUCUAAUGUGGUGGGAUCAUUAGUUUGAACAACUCUCUCAAUGAUAGAUGCAUGUUGUCUAACAAGUAGUGAUAUUCAUAAGAAAUUGCAUCGAUCCAAGGAUAACAUCUCAAUUACCAUAUGACUAAUUAGGACCUACACAAAUAUACCACCUUGAAGGAACAAGUGUUAACGCAAAUCCAUGCAUCCAAUUCUUUAUGGUGGUGUAGGUUGCAUCUAAUUCCUUCACAACUUGUCUUCUUCUACAGUAAAACUAUGCCCUGAAUUUUCGUGGUUUUUUUCUUAUUUACGAAUAAUGCUUGUUCCUUUGCAGUGUAUGGUCAUAAGAGCAUCUACAACUGCAACUCGCAAAUGUGACCCCUACACGUCCGUGGACACGUCUGUGGACGCGUCCGUGGACAGUGACCAGUCACCCACUAUAUCUCCACGUCCGUUGUCGUCCCCCUCAUAUCCAUGCUAACCGCGCAACAUGAUCAACAUUUUACGUACAAACAACUUGAACAUAGCAGUAUAAAACAUAUAUAUUGGGAAUGGAAAGUUUCAUACAAUUGGACACAAAAUGUCCAUCAUCACCUAGAUAUGAUAAGCCUAAACAAUAGAUAAACUCCUACAUGUAGGCAUUGGAUGAUUCGUCGUUGUCGUCGCUCAUCGUGUCGCUGUCAUAGGACGACGACAAGGAGGUUAUCCCGACCAAACGCCGGGCGACGCGGGCCUACUCCUUGGUGAGUCGGGCGGCUUUAGCACUGGCGGUUGCCCCCUCCUUCGCGAAGUUCCAGAAAUCCUCGAUGUCGAGCUGGAGAACCUUUACUGUUUUUCGGCGGCGGGCAUCCAUCUCUACCGAGAUCAGUGACCGGAGGAUGACAUCACGGAGGAGAUCCUCCUCCGGGUCAACCAGCGUGGACCUACAUAAUUCGCAUCCACUCUGGGAGGAACCAGCAGUCUCGCGGACCUGCUGCCUCUGAUUUUUACGUCCUUGUCGCAAGCUCGGUAGUGCGGGAACGAGCACCCUGCUCAGACUGGGAGGAGCGGGGCCCAAAGUGGUAGGGGAGGGUCACGGAGGGCGAUAUAUCUUGACCGGCGCAGACCGCGACGGGCUGACAUGGUCCGCUGCAUUGCCUCGUCGGGCAACGGGGGAGAACACAGAGCUCGAGUUCCUUCCCUUGUCCAUCCAUGACCGGCGGAGCGCACUGCAAAGGGCGAGGUCUCCUCAUCAUCCAAAUCCGAUAACCGCAAGGCAUCCUAGUUGAUGGUUCUGCCUCAUUGCUGGAUCCACUGAAAUCGCUGCUAGAACCAACCAUGGUAGCCCGAGACGAGGAGCGGUGGGGAUGGGGGGCGAACAUGAGAGGUGUGGAAGGGGAGAGAAGAGGCCGGUACUGAGCUAUGUUUGAGCCCUAGUGGGGAUGGGUUGGGCGAGCACGAACGGAUCUGAUGUGACAUCCGAGUCCGGGCGUGUCAAUCUGCCCUCGAUGAUAGGGCUAACUAUGUGGGGUCCGGUUGGGUGGCAAUUUGUUGGCUGAGUANNNNNNNNNNNNNNNNNNNNNNNNNNNNNNNNNNNNNNNNNNNNNNNNNNNNNNNNNNNNNNNNNNNNNNNNNNNNNNNNNNNNNNNNNNNNNNNNNNNNNNNNNNNNNNNNNNNNNNNNNNNNNNNNNNNNNNNNNNNNNNNNNNNNNNNNNNNNNNNNNNNNNNNNNNNNNNNNNNNNNNNNNNNNNNNNNNNNNNNNNNNNNNNNNNNNNNNNNNNNNNNNNNNNNNNNNNNNNNNNNNNNNNNNNNNNNNNNNNNNNNNNNNNNNNNNNNNNNNNNNNNNNNNNNNNNNNNNNNNNNNNNNNNNNNNNNNNNGCUCUUUGUUGUACAUGCUUUAAAUCUGGGCAUGCGAAGCCUCGCCGCCGGUGUCUAGGCUGUGCUUGUGCCUCUUAGCUGGAAACCCCCAAAAAGUCCAAGAGACCUUAUUUUUGGGAUUUUAUAAGAAAAAAUAGGUAUGCUAUUGUAUCAAUUUAUCUCAAAAUAAUUCGGUUAUUAUUUUUAAAUAAAAAUAUAACCAUUUUCGUGCCCAAUGGGGUGGGAUAAGACCCGGGCUCGGAGUUUUCAUGCCGAGCUCUCGCAGGUUCGUCCAUUUUAAUCAAUUUAUUUCUUUUUCAGGGACUAAGCUAUUUUAAGUACUUGGUCAGCAAUCUCUAACAAAUGAUAAGAUAACAAGACUAGGCCUACUAUCAAUUUUCAUAGUCAACUUUGUCCCUAGUCACAUUACUCCAAUCCGGCUAUAUUUAUGCGUGCGUAUCACCAGUUCACCUUGUUUCAAAUAAACCCAGUUAUGUUUCCAUUUUGCAAGAAAGCACCGCAUUUAUAUUAGAUGACGUCCAACAUCCCAGAAAACAGAUCGUCGAUGUGGUCCAGUGCAUCGCAGGUGGCUACAAUGAACCGGAAGAAAUUGCGAAGUUUAAGGUAGUUCUUAGCGGGAGGAUCUAGUUUGAAGGUGGUGUAGGAAUGGAUGUUGGUUUUAUGGACGGUAAUGGGGGCCUGGAGUAAAUAAAAAGGAUUGAGAGGGUAAGAAGAGAGAGCACCAGCUAUAGUAUUCAGGGCACCAUGGUGCUGAGAAACUGGGAGAGGUGUGGGUGGUUUGCAUCGGAAGGUUUCACACCCUCUGGUUCUGAAGAAGAAAAAUAGUACCAUAGGCCUGCAAAGUAAACCAACACAUGGAAUUAAGAAGCAAUUUAACAAUACUUAGUGGGCAAUCUGCGUGACAACCAUCAAAAUAUUGCUAUGUUGUUAAGGAAUUAUUUCUUUGAAUAAGCUCAGUACUAGUUGUAAUAGUUGCAUGUUGUCUAAUAUGUGACGUUGGUAAGAAAUUGCGUCCAGCAAAGUGUAGCAUCUCAAUUAUCAUAUUACCAAGACAUGAAGAUAUAUGCAACCUUGUAGCCUUAUAAAGAGCUAGAGCCCUUGCCUAUUUUUUCUUAGAAAUUGGACCAACGCUGUCACGUACGGAUUAAUUUAGUAGUAAUUCUUCUGUAUUUUUUCAUUGAUAUAUACGAAUAGGGCAGUGUAUAUGUGGAGUGCACACAAUCUUGUUUCACGUUUCUUUGCUGGAAGUAAGCUGUUUUAAGUACUUGGCCAGCAAUCUCGAAUCAAUGAUCAGAUCGUAAGACUGGGCCUACUAUAUAUUUUCAAAGUCAACUGCGCGACUGGUCAGAUUGUACCACAAUACAGUUAUAUAUAUCGUGCUCAGCACGAGUUCACCUUGUUUUAAAGCAACCCUGUCAUAAGUAUGAGUAUUAGUUCAAACACUCAUUUAUACACUUUAGCUCUGCUUUUAUGCCCAUGAGUUAGUAUAUUCACGAGUGGUUUUUUCUUCACGUAACUGGCACGGAGUGUUACUGAAUAUAACUUUAUUAUUUAUUACAUUUCUUAGGAUGCUUUCUAUCACGAAACUAGCGGUAUUGCCUGCUCAUUUGUGCGGCAAGAUUUUCAUUUCUCAUUUUAAAUUUAGAAACUAUAUUUUGGCAUUUUAAAUAUUACUUAACACUUUGUAAAUAUGUAUUGUUGUAACUACCAAAUUGCGUAUGAGGGAUUCAUCAGCAAGGAAUGCCAAGAAACAGUCAAUUCCACACAAAAGGCUGAAAUUUAAAUGUUUUUAUUAGAAGACAUUCUAUUAAAUAUAUUAUGUAAGAAGGCCUAAAUUCAUCCAUACAUACACAUUAGGUAUACUUGUGGGGUUAAGAAUUUUAAGCAUGUAUAUGUACAUCAUAUAUAUAAUAGCUGGACAACUAAGUUUGGGAGAACUUAUUGUGGAAGUACAUACUACGGUAGUCCCAUGGUUAUACGAAGUGUCUAGUCGUUCUUGUCAUUGAGUAAGGAUGCUUUAUGGCUGAGCUCGGAUGAUACUGCCAGCCCACGUUGAUGAUAGAGAAACUCCUGAUUAAACAAGCUGAUAUAUGGGAGCACAUCAGCUUGUCGAUGCUAUGGAGGAACUUGAGGCCGAGACCAUGAUUAGUCAUCACCUGAUCAAUAUAUGUGAGGAACUUGAGCCGCUACCCGUACUUGGCGACUGACAUGGUGCUCUCCUUGAGAAUGUGGUACUUGCUGCUAAGACGGAUGAUGUGUGAGUUGUUAUUGUUGAGGAAGUACCGGCGGAGGCGAUUCCGUGCCGACAAGGCAGUGCCGUCAAAUCACAUAUCACAAGUCCAGGCGACCGUCAUCAAACAUGGUGUAGAUCCACAACAUGAUCCUGAUGUCGGCACGCUGCCAGUCGGGGUCAUCAAUUUCAAGUUCAGAUGUAUCAUUAAUGUGGUUGAGUGCAUCGGAGGGGACGAGGACGAACCAGAAGAAAUGUGCCAUUUAUGGUAGUUAUUGAUACGUGGGUCGAGUUUGAAGGUGAAGUAGGACUUGAUGUUGGUAUUAUGGACAACAAUGGGGCAUGAUGUUGGUAAAAGGGAUUGGGUGGUAAGAAGGCGUAGAAGCAAUAGUGGCGACGGGCGCCGUGGCAUCGACAGAGAAACAAGGAGAGAUCUUAAGGGUUUGCGCCAUAAGGGAGGUGGUGUUGGAAUUGGUCGGGGUGUUGCUUAGUGGCGUUACCAAGCUGAAUUGUGUAAUAUGUAUUGUUUGCCUCAAGGUUUACAAGUGUCGAUGUACAAAAUAUAUAUAGAAGGGGUACAGAGAGAGGCCUAACUAACUUCAACAUACGAGAGGCGCGUGCAGGUGCACGUAUGACGACGAGUGAAGAGAGCUCAGAUCCUAAUCUCCAUGGGCGCUGGCACAACAUUGUUGAGUUACAACAGUACAUACAGUUGGUGCAUACAUGUUUAACAAUAUUGAUUCGAAUUCAUGUACAAGGGGUAACAAAUGGCAAAGAUUAAAAAUACCAUUAGACUGCCCGUAAUAGGAGUAUCAUACUAGCUAGUAUCAUGCACGACAACUAAGCAAUUUUGAUGAGGUGGCAUAGAAUUAAAGGAAGAAAGAGAGAGUUCAGUAUCAUAUCAUGAUACCGUAUCAUAGUAAAUGUUAUGAUACUAUGUGUCAUGCUUAACAAUAAAUAAGAUCAUAUCUAAGACACUAAUACUUGAUAUUAUGCAUUAUAGAGGUAAUAUCAUAGAAUAGCAUCAUAUGCAUAAUACUACCUCCUUUUCAGUUUAUAUGGCUCAAUUCAAAAAUAUCACCAACCAAGGUAGAUGGUAAAUGGUGGAAUAAUUUUUGUAGUUUGCAAAAGCACUCAAUUAAUGCGCUUGUUUUCCUCAAAAAAAUGUGUUUACCAAUGCAUUAAUUGCAAUUCAUGCAUGCAUAAAGUACAUGCAUUGGUCAAUUUUCUCUUAAUACUUGCGUGCAGUGAUUUAAUGCAUCUUGAAAUCUGAACAUGUGGUGGGGAACAACCAAAUUGAGACUUAUAAAAUGGGAAAACUAAAAUUUUGAGAUAAGCCCUAUAAACUGGAAAGGAGGGAGUACAAACUUAUGAUACUACACAUUAUCUUUGCUAUAAAUAAUCCUUCUGACCUCAAAGUGCCUGCAUUAUUGCACAGGUCACUUGCGUACAAUUUACGACAAAAAAUAUUGGUGCAGACGGUAUAUACUACUAUAUCAAAGUCAAGUACAGUUACUUAAGUGACGAAUAAGUACUAGCUAGUUUUUUUUUGUGAGGUGGAGUACAAGGGUCGUCCUUGUGUUGCUCCCUAUAAAUAGAACCCUACCCCCUCAUGUGGACAUGUACCAGUUAAGCAGCAAGCUAGCUCAUCUCCAUCGCAUCUGUUGUUGCUCUAUUCUCCACUAGAACCACCCAAUUCAUCAAUGGCUUCAUCUCUGAAGGUGGCCGCCGUCGCCGCCGUUUGCAUCGUGCUUGUCCUGAACAUGGGCCGGCCAGUGGCAGCCACAGAAUGCGAAGAUUGUUUGGGUGCCUGUGUUGGCACCUGCAUCGCCUACACUGAAACCACAUGCAGCGGCAUCUGCACCAACAUAACUCCUGCAUGCCAGGCAUGUAAGGACGCAGCCUUAAUUCAGUGCGGUCCAACAUGCUACGGCGGUUGUACCCUCUUCUGUUAAACCACCGGCCGGCUGUGCCCUGUUGCUCGCCGUAAGCUCUAUAUCUGUGCACAUUUCUUUUAAGUAUAUAUCUAUGUCCAUUGGCACCUCGUUGUUGCUAACAUAAGUUGUGUAAAUAAGCGAGUGAAUGUUGUUGCUGUGUGCAUUUGGAAAAUGUUCCUUCGUUCUAUCUAUUCCCCUUCGUUUGCUCAACAUUAAAUAUAUACAUGUGUGGAAGUUGUGUAUGCUUUGUGCUUCCUUGUAUCAUGUGCCUAAUGAGGUUAUACUUAAUAAAGGAUAAAUCCUUAUCUCGAGAACGCGGCUACAAAGUACAUAGUUUUGUUCCUUCACCAGUAGGGGUUCCGACUUUCUCCCAGCCGUCCAUGGCCACGUAGAGUUCGCAACAAAUUCCUUCACAGCUUGUCUUCUUCUAGCGUAAAACCUCAUCCUGAUUUUUCGUAGAUUUUCCGAUUUGCUGAAAAUACUGGUUUCCUAUGCAAUGUUUGAUCAUUCACGAAUUAUACCGACUAGUUUCAUGCGAGACUAGUUUAAGACCGUUGACAAAUUAAUACUAUCAAGUUGUAGCUGCUUCUCCAUUCAUGAAUUGUGCACGACCAUAUCAAUCAUAUGUAGAAGGUUUUACACCCUAUCGCUCAUAAUAAGAAAAAAAAACUAGUACCAUAGGCCCACAAACUAAACCAAUAUACAUAAUUAAGCAUGCAAUUCAGGAAUACUUAGUGGGCAAUCCUCAUUACGACAUAGAAUAUUGUAAGCUCGUCUUCUAAUAUGGAGGAACCAUUACUUUGAACAAGUUUCUCAAGCAAACACGUCCGGAUUUCAUACAAACAUGACGGGUUUCAUAUGAACAUGGUGGAUUUAACUGCAUUUCAAACAUUUAGAAAAAAUACCCGCCGGUAAACCCAUCCUACGGCGUUGGCGCCCGUCUUCUAAUAUGACGGGUUCCAAAGACGUGUCGUCCUCCUUCUGCCAUCUCCAUAAGCACCGGCGAUAAGACUGAUGAAGUAAAGGUGCGGUUUCCGGCGAGGAAGAGUAGAACUUGGGAGACGGACCGGCCCACAUGGGACACAAGGCACCGCCGCCUCCCGUGGCCUAGUCAUCCUCGGAGGAUUCCGCGCCUUGUCCGUCGCCCGUGGACAUGAGGUCCAUGAGGGAAAUGGUGGCGCCGGCGCGUCAUCGUCCCGCUGGGCCGGCUGAUAGUUCAUCGGCGGUGCGUAGGACGCGCUGCUGCCCAUGUUCUCCUCCGUGAUCGCCUGCAGGUGCACCUCUGCGGCUGCCACUUCCUGGCGAGCAGUGGCUUGAGUGCGGACGACAUUGUAGAUAGCAUGCUGCUCCUCGAUGAAAUUUGGGUUCGCCGCCGCCAUGGUCGGCACGGCCUCCUCCCUCGUGCGCUCAGCGUAGAUCUGACACUCCACCAGCCGGUGAUGCUCCAGGAGGAGCAGGUUGUACCGCUGAUCCUCCUGUGCCUGCUGGAACGCCGACAUAGGCGCCAGCGCAAGCGGCACCUCUGCCAUGGUGGCGUUGUACUGUGCUUGCGCCUACUUCAUGGUGAAGCUGACGUGCGCAGAAGGCGUGGGAGCCGCGGCGUAGUCAUCAGAGCCCGUCUCCAUCGCGGUGUCAUCCUCAUCGUCGGAGACCUCGAGCGAGCUGGCCGGCAAGCCGUCCUCGAUCCGCAUGGCAGGGCGGCUAUGCCAGGCAGCGGCAAGAAUGGCCACCACAUGCUUCAUCUCCGGUGACAGACUAUCCCACAUUGCUUUCCCGGCGAUCAUGGCGGAUGCAGUGCAAGGGAGGACGAUGUGGGGGGGCUUGUGUUGUGGUGUGGAGUUAGCCGGGUGUGGCCGUCUUUAUAUAGCAGAUUUCGGUGAGGCGAGGCGUUUCUGUGCGUCAAUGCGCUGUGCCGGAGUGGGUUUCUCGGCCGACGAGCCUGCUUAAUGGCAGUAGACGGACGGACAACUGCAUUGAACAGGCGUGGUAGAUAUCAAUCACGUCCCAUCCAGUCACACGUGUUCGGCAUUGAACAGGCACGGACACCGGAGACGCGUAACUACGACGCCCUCAGCUGGUGCGCCGCUUCAAUGGCGGAGGCAGUGAGAGGUCGCGUCCACCGUAAGCCGUCUUCAGUGAGAGGUGCGCUCUACAGCGACAUGAAUGCGGGCAACUGGUGCCGGGCGGGAAUGUGCGCUGGAGGGGAGAGGGGUUUUGGUGGGCCAGGCCGGUCAGAAAUGGGCAUGGGAUCGGUCUAGACUCUCGCAAACCUCCCCCACAUUUGUCUCCGAUUUGCAGGAAGAAUCGCGUCCGGACCACCCCGCGGACCGAUACAAGUCAGCAUUUCAUGGCUUCCACGGUCCGGACAGCCCGGUCCGGAUAGUAGCGGGAGGUUUAUAGGUCCGCCUUGGAGAUGCCCUAAUAAAUACUAAAAUCAGAAGAAAAAAAUAGUAAAAAAUUCAAAAAAUUCUGAUUUUUUGGUGCAAACUUUGAAAAAUAUUUUAUGUGCCUGCGAAAAAUUAUGUUAGAAUGACAUUUAUGGAAGUCAUGGUAAAAAAGAAAUCAAUGCUCAUAAAUGCUAUAUAAUCCAAAGCAUUAUUGGAGUGAUGUUUUUUUUAUUUUGCCAUGACUUCCAUCUAUAUUUAUGCAUGCUCAUGACCCGUUCACCUUGUCUGAAAGAAACCCAGUUAUCUUUCUUUUCGUCGAGAAAGCUCCGUAUUUAUAUUAGAAGACUUCCAACAUCGCAGAAAACAUAUCGUUGAUGUGGUCCAGUGCAUCGCCGAUGGAAAGGACGAACUGAAAGAAAUUGCACCAUUUAAGAUAGUUGUUGACGGCUGGGUCUUGAAGGUGAUGUUGGUAUUAUGGACAGCAAUCGAGGCCUGGAGUUGGGAAAAGGGAUUGGGAGGGUAAUAAGAGAGAGCAACAGCAACAGUGAUGACAGGCAUCAUGGUGUUUGCUGAGAAACUGGGAGAGGUGUGGGUGGUUUCGCACCCUCUGGCUGUGAAGAAGAAAAAGAAUAAUACCAUAGAUAUGCAAAGUAAAGCAACAAAUGGAAUUAAGAGAUGAAAGCAUGGCUGCAAAAACAUUGAAGGAACUCCUCCCCCAACAAAAGAAAAGACUAGGUUUCCUCUAUCUCCCGCCGGCUCCGCCGCCGGUCCGCCUCGUCUCCGGUGACCUUAGGGCCAUGGCGGCAUGGUGGACCCGGCCCUUGCCGGCGGGAGGGCUCCGUCUUUAGAUGUUUCUUCAAAUUUUGUUAGGGUUUGUGUCCUGCUCAGGAAGACGAGGCAGCGGCGGCUUUCUGAAGAUCGAAUAAGGUUCUCCCCACCUAGUCCACGUUCCGGUGGUGCGUCUAUCAUCGUCGGUGGGUGUGUGGAGGUGUGUCUUCAGUGGAUCUUUCAUUGGUGGAUUUGCUCAUAUAUUGUCGUAGUUCGUCUAUGUUCGUGUGUCUUAAGGUUAGAUCUUUCUGAUCUAUGCUACUCUUUAACGACGGCGGUUGCUAUUCUGGUGCGCUUGCCCUACGGGGCCUUAGCACGACGACUUCGGGAGUGUCUACUACAACAAGGUUUGCCCGGCUCCAGCGAGGGAGGGGCGAUGAUGGCGGCGUGCCUUCGGCUCAUUUCAGUGCUUAUAUUCGUCGCUAGGUGGUCUACGGAUCUGAAUGUAAUUUUUGUUAUUUCUAGUGUUCGUUGUACUACCAUGUUUGAAGAUGAAUAAAUUGAAAGUUUUCGAGAAAAAACAAAUUGAAUUAAGAAGCAAUUUUUUGCGAAAAGAAUUAAGAAGAAAUUUAAUAGUAGUUAGUGGGCAACCAUUGAAAUAUAUAUUGCUAGCUAGUUUUCUAAAGCUAAGGAAUUAUUGCUUUGAGUAAGCUCGGUACUAGUUGUACUAGUUGCAUGUUGUCUAAUAUGUGACGUUGCUAAGAAGUUGUGUCUUGCCUAUUUUUUCCUACAAAUUGCACCAACGCUGUUGCGUAUGGAUUAAUUAAUUUAGUAGUAAUUAUGCUGUAUUUUUCAUUGAUAUAUAUGAAUGGAUCAGUGUAUAUGUGGAGUGCACACAAUCUGGUACGACUGAGCCGUACAAAAAACAAAUUGCUGGAACUAAGCCGUUUUAAGUACUUGGUCAGCGGUAUCAAACCAAUGAUAGGAUCUCAAGACUGGGCAUAGUAUCUAUUUUCAAAGCCAAUUGCGCCGCUAGUCAGAUUUGACCUACAAUUCAGUUAUAUGCAUCGUGCUCACCACUAGUUCACCUCGUCUUAAAGCAACCGAGUCAUCAGUAUGAGUGUUAGUUCAAACAUACCUGUCAAUGUACAUUUUAGAUAUGAUUUUCUGCCCAUGAAUUAAUGCAACAAGUGGGUUUUUUUCUUUUUCUUGUUUUUGCUCGUGCAACUAGCGCGAAGUGUUAGUGAAUAUAACUUUAUCAAACAUGAAUAUAAUUUAAUAUUUCGGUUUUCCAAAUUAAUUUUAUAACAUUUCCAAGGAUACUUGCUAUCACGAAAACCAGUGUUGUUAUCCGCUCAUUUCCGCGGCUAUACUUCUAUUGAUAAUUUUAUAUUUUGUAAUUAAUUUUUGUAUUAUAAAAUAUUUAUUUUUUCUUUGAAAAUAUAUAUUGUUGUAGUUACCUAGUUUUGUAUGAGGAAGUCAUCAGCAAGUUGUGCCAAGAAAUAGUCAGUUCUACUAAAAGCUGAAGUUUAAAUGUUUUGAAGAAAAAAUGAUUCGAUUCAAAAAUAUUACUUAAGAAUGCCUAAAUUGACCCCACGUGCAGCAAGGACACCUGUGGUGUAAUAUUUUUUAAGCAUUUAGACGUAGAUUAUAAAAUAAUUGGACAGCUAAAUUUUUGGGAGAACUUACUCUGGAAGUACACAAUUUGAUCUUCCUACGGUUAAACGAAGUGUCUAUAGCCCUUUUUACCGGUGAAUAAGGGUACUCAGUCGGAUCAGAAUGCUUUAGAGCAUCAAACCCCUUAAAACGCAGGAAACUGUAAAAUAACAGCCGGUUUACAGUUUUAGGCGGAAAAAGCGACCCGAAUAGAACAUGUAAAUGACUCCGACCGGUAAUUUUUUUAAGGGUAAUGGAAAACAUCCCCGCCAAACCGGUGAAAAUAAGGAUUUCGGAGCCAACCCGAGGGUGCCCUGUAUAUGCCAAAGACCGAUGGUGGGAAUCCAACUGCCACCGGAACCUUCAUGGCUCGCUCCCGGCCGCCGCCUAGUGCUUUGUAGUCCGCCAGCACCGUACCCCCCCUCUCCCGGCCUUCCCCCGCCCCGGUCAACGUGUCCCGCGUAGUCUAGGCGGGUUGCACUGCUGCUGUGGUGCGUCGUCUGCCGUGCGCCCCUGCUGGCCCCGGCCAGCCGGCCUCCCUCCGCAGCGCCGGCGAGCAGAGCAACUGACGAGGCGAUGAGGGGCUCCCUCCACUGAGCCCCCACCUCGUGUUUCUGCGGCCGCCGGCUGUGUGUGGUCUGCUGCUGCCUACGGCCGCCGUGGCGCCCCACCUCUGGCUGGUAAUUUUCUCGCUGGUGGUUUGGUCUUUGGUGAAUCGGUGUAUGCAUCGUCUGCCUGUCACAGUGAAUAGACGAUUUAAAUGUUGAACUGACUUUACAAUAGAAUGGAUUAUGUAUCUGAGUAUGUGCGAUGUGCUGAUGGAACUCGGAAGUAUUCAUUUUUAGAGAAAUAGAAACAGAAAUUUAUGCAUGCUCAUGACCCGUUCACCUUGUCUGAAAGAAACCCAGUUAUCUUUCUUUUCUUCGAGAAAGCUCCGUAUUUAUAUUAGAAGACUUCCAACAUCGCAGAAAAGAUAUCGUUGAUGUGGUCCAGUGCAUCGCCGAUGGAAAGGACGAACUGGAAGAAAUUGCACCAUUUAAGAUAGUUGUUAACGGCUGGGUCUUGAAGGUGAUGUUGGUAUUAUGGACAGCAAUCGAGGCCUGGAGUUGGGAAAAGGGAUUGGGAGGGUAAGAAGAGAGAGCAGCAGCAACAGUGGUGACAGGCAUCAUGGCGCUUGCUGAGAAACUGGGAGAGGUGUGGGUGGUUUCACACCCUCUGGCUGUGAAGAAAAAGAAUAAUACCAUAGACAUGCAAAGUAAAGCAAGAAAUGGAAGUAAGAGAUGAAAGCGUGGCUGCAAAAACAUUGAAGCAACUCCUCCCCCAUCAAAAGAAAAGACUAGGUUUCCUCUAUCUCCCGCUGGCUCCGCCGCCAGUCCGCCUCGUCUCCGGUGGCCUUAGGGCUAUGGCGGCAUGGUGGAUCCUGACCCUUGCUGGCGGGAGGGCUCCGUCUUUAGAUGUUCCUUCAAAUUUUGUUAGAGUUUGUGUCCUGUUCAGGAAGACGAGGCGGCGGCGGUUUUCUGAAGAUCGAAUAAGGUUCUUCCCGCCUAGUCCAUGUCCCGGUGGUGCGUCUAUCAUCGUCGGUGGGUGUGUGGAGGUGUGUCUUCGGUGGAUUUGCUCGGAUAUUGUCGUAGUUCGUCUAUGUUCGUGUGUCUUCAGAUUAGAUCCUUCUGAUCUAUGCUACUCUUCAACGGUGGCGGUUGCUAUUCUGGUGCGCUGGUCCUAUGGGGCCUUAGCACGACGACUUCGGGAAUGUCUACUACAACAAGGUUUGCCCAGCUCCAGCGAGGGAGGGGCGAUGAUGGCGGUGCGCCUUCGGCUCGUUUCAGUGCUUAUAUUCGUCGCUAGGUGGUCUACGGAUCUGAAUGUAAUUUUUGUUAUUUCUAGUGUUUGUUGUACUACCAUGUUUGAAGAUGAAUAAAUUGAAAGUUUUCACGAAAAAACAAAUUGAAUUAAGAAGCAAUUUUUUCACAAAAAGAAUUAAGAAGAAAUUUAACAGUACUUAGUGGGCAAUCUCCGUGACAACCAUUGAAAUAUAUAUUGCUAGCUAGUUUUCUAAAGCUAAGGAAUUAUUGCUUUGAAUAAGCUCGGUACUAGUUGUACUUGUCUAAUAUGUGACGUUGCCAAGAAAUUGCGUCCAGCAAAGAAUAACAUCUUAAUUAGCAUAUUAGUAAGACCUAAAUUAACACAUGUCGCUAAUCUUGAAUAAUUUUUGAAAAUCAUGAAAAAAAAUUAAACUGGGGAACAUAUCUGAAAUUAAGAUCUCUUUUAAAAUUCAUGAAAAGUUUCACAAAUUUUCGAAUAUUUUCUAAAAAAAGAACAUUUUUGAAUUCAAGAAUAUUUUAUAAUAUUUGCAAUGAAUUUUUAAAACAUUUCCAGAAUCGACGAACAAUUUUUGGAAAUUGUUUGGUGGAACAAUUUUCGAAAUUCACGAACAUUUUUUGAUUUAAAAACAUUUUUUGAAAUGCGUGACCAUUUUUUGAAUCAGCAAAUUUUUUAUUAUUCAAUAAACUAUUUUGUAUGUCAUGAACAGUUCUUGAAUUUUUGGGAUAUUUUUUCAGUUCAGGAAUAGUUUCUAAAUUGGUGAAAUGUUUUCUAGUUCAUUAAAAAAUAAUAUAAAACUUUUCAAAAUAUCAUGAACAUUUUUUGGUUUCCCGAACAUUUGUAUUCAAAAUUGCGGAGAGUUUUUGAAUGUGCAAACAUUUUUUUAGUCACGAAUAUAUUCUGAAUCCCCAAACAUUUAUGAAAUAUUAAACAUUUUAUGUAAAAAAAUCAUUUUAAUUAAUUUUUGAAACUGUUUGAAGUUCCAAAUUAUUUAAUGUAGAAUAAAUUGAAGAUAGAAAUAAGAAAAAAAAGAAAUUUUAAAAAAAAGGUCUCCCGGACAUGGGCUAGCCCAAAUAGGUGCACUGUGUCUUCUUCCGGCGCGCACAGCACGGUAUAGAAUAUUCCUACUACAUGGGUCGGCCCAGGUCCGGAUUCCCCUGUGUGAAACGUUUAUUAUCACUUAUAGGUGGCAUCGACGGGUAAUAUUUUGCAAUUUUAGAGGUAAUUUCGGUGAUGUACCAGCAGAAGCAAGAGCCCCUUUAUUAUUAAUUAAAGGCGUAGAUGGACGGCAAUGGAGGUAUGGAGUUAGUAAAAAAGGAUUGAGAGUUUAAGAAGAGAGAGAAGCUGCAAUAGUUUUGACGGGCAGCUGGCGGAGAAACUGGGAGAGGUGUGGGUGGCUUGCAUCGGAAGGUUACACACCCUCUGUCUCUGAAGAAGAAGAAGAAAAUAAUACCAUGGGCCUUCAAAGUAAACUAACAUAUGGAAUUGAGAAGCAAUUUAACAAUACAUAGUGGGCAAUCUCCGUGAGAACCAUUGAAAUAUUGCUAGCGAGUAGUUUUCUAAUGCAAAGGAAUUAUUGUUGUCAAUAAGCUCGGUAGUAGCUGUACUAGUUGCAUGUUGUCUAAUACUCCCUCCGUUCCAAAAUAUAGUGCGUCCGCACUUUCCGAAGUUUAACUUUGACCAUAAAUCUAACCAACGAGACCGACUGUGGCGGGAGCGAAAAUUAUACCAGUGAAUUCGUAUUCAAAAGAAGUUUUCAAUUAUACAAUUUUUCCUCCCGCCGCAGUCGGUCUCGUUGGUUAAAUUUAUGGUCAAAAUUGAAGCGCGGAAACCGAGGACGCACUAUAUUUUGGAACGGAGGGAGUACUAGAAGGGUUGAGCAUGUUUUGUUGCGUGUUGUUUUAUUUAAAAAAAAUUACUCACUUUGUGUCAAACUAUAAGUGUAUUACUUUCUUGAAAGUCAAACCAUUUAAGUUUCAUUAAACUUGUAGAGAAAUAUAUCAAAAUUCAUAAUAUCAAAUCAGUAUGAUUAGAUUCAUCAUGAGAUGAAUUUCCAUACCUCUUUAUUUAAUAUGGUAGAUGUCAACAUUUUUUUGCUCUAAAUUUGGUCAAGUUAAAGAAAUUUGACUUUCAAAAAACUAAUACCCCUUAUAUUUUGAUACUGAUGAAAUAUUUCGUCUGGCGAGUAGGGAGAUUAUGGAGCGUGUUAUUUUUAUCUAUAAUGCGGUGAUUUUAUAGGCCUUUGUGGUUCUGUGUCAUCUGCUAACCAACGUAUAUUUAUGUGGGGAAAUUUCUAUGUUGAUGGUUGCAUGUACUAUAUGGUGCUCAAGUAUCACGUGGUGAUGCUUCUUUUUUGUAGGUGGUGUAAGGGUGCACUGGAGUAAUACGCUUUUAUAGGCCGGUUGCUGUUGAUAUAUUUGAAAAAGCGUUGGUCUGGUCAAAAUCGUAAACCAAACCCAAAAUUGAAUACCUUAAUUGAAUGAAAGAGCUUCAAGAUGGCAACAUAGUGAACUAAGAGAAAUUAAAUUAAGAGCCAUUGAGAAAUUGUUGACCUUGUCAGAAUCAUGCUGGCCAAAUUCUAAAUUGAAGAUUUUAAUUAAUUAUGAGGCCUUCAAAAUUAUGAAGCAUAGUGUGUAGUAUAAAAGAAAUGAAUGAGAUGGUUCUGGGAAAUUGUUAAUCCGGUCAAAAUCGGGUGACCCAAUCCCAAUGGGAGACCUCAAUCGAAUGUGGGCCCUUUAAAACUAGGGACCUUAGUGUUAUAGAGGAUGCAACGUUGGUAAGAAAUUGCGUCCAGCAGAGUAUAGCAUCUUAAUUAUCCUAUUAUCAAGACCUGAAGAUAUAUACAACCUUGAAGCCUUAAGAGCUAGAGCCCUUGUCUAUUUUUUUCUUAGAAAUUGGAGCAACGCUGCCACGUACGGAUUAAUUUAGUAGUAAUUCUUCUGUAUUUUUUUUCAUUGAUAUAUAGGAAUAGGGCAGUGUAUAUGUGGAGUGCACACAAUCUUGUUUCAUUUUUCUUUGCAGGAAGUAAGCUGUUUUAAGUACUUGGUCAGCAAUCUCAAAUCAAUGAUAAGAUCGUAUGACUGGACCUACUAUAUAUUUUCAAAGUCAACUACGCCGCCAGUCAGAUAUGUACUACAAUACAGUUAUGUAUAUCGUGCUCAGCACGAGUUCACCUUGUUUUAAAGCAACCAAGUCAUAAGUUUGGAUGGUAGUUCAAACAUAUUUGUCAAAGAACACUCGUUUAUACACUUUAGCUCUGAUUUUAUGCCCAUGAGUUAAUACAUUCAUGAGUAGUUUUUUCUUCAUGUAGCUGGCACGGAGUGUUACUGAAUAUAACUUAAUUAUUUAUUACAUUUCGUAGAUUGCUUUCUAUCCUGAAACUAGCAAUAUUACCUGCUCAUUUUGCGCGACAAGAUUUUCAUUUGGCAUUUUAAAUUUGGAACUAUAUUUUGGCAUUUUAUAUAUUUCUUAACACUUUGUAAAUAUGUAUUGUUGUAAUUACCUAAUUGUCUAUGAGGAAUUCAUCAGCAAGGAGUGCCACGAAAUAGCCGGUUCCACUCAAAAGGCUGAAUUUUAAAUGUUUUUAUUAAAAGACAUUCAAUUAAAACAUAUUAUGUAAGAAGGCCUAAAUUCAUCCAUACAUAUGCAUUAGCUAUACUUGCGGGGUUAACAAUUUUAAGCACGUAUAUGUACAUUAUAUAUAAAAUAGCUGGACAACUAAGUUUUGGAGAACUUAUUGUGGAAGUACAUACUAUCGUUGGCCCACGGUUAUACGAAGUAUGUUGUCGUUCUUGUUAUUGGGUAAGGAUACCCACUUGGAGCCGGAUGCCGGCCCAAGUUGAUGACAGAGAAACUCCUGAUUAAGCAAGCUGAUAUAUGGGAGCACAUUACCUUGUCGAUACUAUGGAGGAACUUGAGGCCGAGACCAUGAUUAGUCAUCGUCUGAUCAAUAUCUGGGAGGAACUUGAGCCGCUACCCAUACUUGGCGAUGAACAUGAUGCUCUCCUUGAGCAUGCGGUACUAGCCGCUAAGAGGGAUGGUGUGUGCGGUGUUAUUGUUGUGGAAGUACCGGCAGAAGCGAUUCCGUGCCGACAAGGCAGUGCCAUCAUAGGACAUCACAAGUCCAUGAGACCACCGUCGAUCAUGGCAUACGUAGAUCCACAACAUGAUCCUGAUGUCGGCACGCUGCCACUCGGGGUCAUCAAUUUCAACUUCAGAUGUCUCAUUAAUUUGGCCGAGUGCAUCAGAGGUGGCGAGGACGAACCAGAAGAAAUGUGCCAUUUAUGGUAGUUGUUGACGCGUGGGUCGAGUUUGAAGGUGAAGUAGGACUGGAUAUUAUAUUAUGCACGACAAUUGGGCCUGAAGUUGGUAAAAGGGAUUCGGAGGUAAGAAGAGGGAGUAAAUGCAAUAGUGGCGACGGGCGUCACGGCAUCGACGGAGAAACACGGAGAGGUCUUGGGGGUUUGCGCUACAAGGGAGGUGGUGCUGGAAUUUGUCUGGGUGUUGCUCACUGGCGUUACCAAGAUGAACUCUGUAAUUUGUAUUGUUUGCAUUAUAGAGGUAAUAUCAUAGAUUAGUACAUAUGUUAUGCAUUAUUGACGUAAUAUCAUAGAAUAGUAUGAUAUGCAUGUUAGAAACUUAUGAUAUUACUCAUUACAGGCAGCCUUAGCUACACAAAUGUAUGGGUCAUUUCGCUAUAAAUAAUCCUUCUGGCGUCAAAGUGCACGCGUUAUUGCAGAGUUCACUUGCGUACAAUUUAGGACAAAAAUUAUUGGUGCACAAGGUAUAUACUAUAUCAAAGUCAACCACAGUUAAUUAAGUGAUAUGAAUAAGUACCAGCUAGUUUUUUUUUCUUUUUUGCGAGGAGUACUAGCUAACUAGCUAGGGUCGUCCUUGUGUUGGCUCCCUAUAAAUAGCAUCCUACUCCCUCAUAUGGACAUGUACCAGUUAAGAAGCUAGCUAGCUCAUCUCCAUCGCAUCUGUUCUUGCUCUAUUCUCCACUAGAACCACCCAAUUCAUCAAUGGCUUCAUCUCUGAAGGUGGCCACCAUCGUCGCUGUUAGCGUUAUGCUCGUCCUCAACAUGGGUCACCCGGCGGCAGCCACAGAAUGCGAAGAUUGUCUGGGCGCCUGUGUUGCAAUUUGCAUCGCCUACGCUGAAACGACGUGCAGUGGCAUCUGCACAGUCAUAACUCCUGCAUGCCAGACAUGUAAGGACGCGGCCAUAAUUGAGUGUGGUGCAACAUGCUAUGGCGGUUGUACCCUAUUCUGCUAAACCGGCCGGUUGUGCCCUGUUGCUCGCUGUAAGCUAGGUGCAUGCUUGUGUUCGUUGUUGCCAUUAUAAGCCAUGUAAACAAGCGAACUAAUGUCGUUGAUGUGUGCAUGUGGCGAAAGUUCCUUUGUUUUAUUGUUCCCCCUCGUUCCAACCAUCAGUAAAUAUACUUGUGUGCAAGUUGUGCAUAUUUUCUGCUUCUUCGUACAUAUCAUGUGUCUAACGCGUUGUCAUACUUAAACAAUAGGGAUAUAUAUCCUUAUCAGGAGACCGCAGUUCCAAAGUAUGUAGUUUCGCUUCCCUCAUGGUAGGGUUUCAUAUUUAUCUCAGCGCCUCAUGGCAGCUGAAAGAUUGCAUCUAUUUCCUUCACAACUUGUCUUCUUCCAGCAUAAAACUCUGUCCUGAAUUUUCUAUGAUUUUUCUCUGUCACAGAAAAUACUUGUUUCCUUUGCAGUGUUUGAUCGUUCAUGAGUUAUUCCAACUAGUUCCAUGCAAUACUAGUUUAAGACCAUGGACGAAUUAAUGUCAAGUGGUAGCUUAUUAUAUUGAUGCCAACUCCAUUCUUGAAUCAUGCACGGCCAUGUCAAUUAUAUGUAGAAGGGUUCACACCAUGGGCCCACAAAGUAAACCAAUAUAUGGAAUUAAGCAUGCAAUUUAGGAAUACUCACUGUGUAAUCUCCAUGGUAGCCAACGAAAUAUUACAAGAGCCAUUUUCUAAUGCUAAGGAAUCAUUACGUUGAACAAGUUUCUCGGUGCUAGUAGCAUGUAAUCUAAUACGUAGUGGCAUUCAUGAGAAAUUGUGCCAAUCAAUGGAUAAAAUCUUAGUUAGCAUAUUACUCCCUCUGGCCCUUUUUACUCUGCGUAUUACAUUUGUCUCAAGUCAAACUUUGCAAAGUUUGACCAAAUUUAUACGAAAAAGUAUCGACAUCUACAAUACUAAAUAUAUAUACUAUAUACGAAACUAAAUUUCAUAAUGAGCCUAACAAUAUCGAUUUAGCAUUAUGAAUGUUGAUACUUCUUUCUAUAAGUUUGGUCAAAAUAGAGAUACUUUGACUUCAGACAAAACUUAUAUGUAGACUAAAAAUGACAUGAGGGAGUACUAAUUAAGACCUUAGGACACAUACCACCUUUAAGCAUUAAUAGCUACAACAAAUCUGCAUAUUAUAGAUCCUUCUUCUCCCACUAUGUCUCCAUUGAUUGGCUUUCGGACCACUCAGAAAUUAAUGUCAAGUGGUAGCUUCUUCUAUUAAUGUCAACUCCAUGCAUGAGUGAUGCACGAUCAUGUCAAAUUACAGAAGAUAUCACACCCUCUAGCUCAGAAGAGGAAGAAAACUAAUACCAUAGCCGGCAUGUAAAGUAAACUAAUAUAUGGAAUGACACAUGCAAUUUAGGAAUACUCAGUGAGCAAUCCUCGUGAAAACUACCAAAAUAUUGCUAGCUAGUUUUCUAAUGUGGUGGGAUCAUUACUUUGAACAACUCUCUCAAUGAUAGAUGCAUGUUGUCUAACAAGUAGUGACAUUCAUAAGGAAUUGCAUCCAUCCAAGGAUAACAUAUCAAUUGCCAUAUGACUAAUUAGGACCUACACAUAUAUACCACCUUGAAGGAACAAGUGUUACCACAAAUGCACGCAUCCAAUUCUUUAUGGUGGUGUAGGUUGCAUCUAAUUCCUUCACAACUUGUCUUCUUCUACAGUAAAACUAUGCCCUGAAUUUCGUGGUUUUUUUCUUAUUUACGAAUAAUACUUGUUUCCUUUGCAGUGUUUGGUCAUAAGAGCAUCUACAACUGCAACUCGCAACUGUGACCCCUACACAUCCGUGGACGCGUCCGCGGACAGUGACCAGUCACCCACUAUAUUUCCGCGUCCGCUGUCGUCCCCCUCAUAUCCAUGCUAACCACGCAACAUGAUCAACAUUUUACGUAGAAACAACUUGAACAUAGCAGUAUAAAACAUAUAUAUUGGGAAUGGCAAGUUUCAUACAAUCGGACACAAAAUGUCCACCAUCACCUAGAUAUGAUAGGUCUAAACAAUAGAUAAACUCCUACAUGUAGGCAUUGGCUGUCGGAGGGGAUUCGUCGUUGGCAUCGCUCAUCGUGUCGCUGUCAUAGGACGACGACGAGGAAAUGAUCCCGACCAAACGCGGGGCGACGCGGGCCUACUCCUUGGUGAGUCGGGCGGCUUUCGCACUGGCGGCUGCCCCCUCCUUCGCGAGGUUCCCGAAAUCCUCGAUGUCGAGCUGGAGAACCUUUAUUGUUUUUCGGCGGCGGGCGUCCAUCUCUGUCGAGAUCAGUGACCGGAGGAUAACAUCAUGGAGGAGCUCCUCCUCCGGGUCAAUCAGCGUGGACCUACAGAAAUCUCAGCCACUCUGGGAGGAACCAGCAGUCUCACUGACCUGCUUCCUCUGAUUUUUACGUCCUCCUCGCAAGCUCGGUAGUGCGGGAUCGAGCGCCCUUUUCAGACUGGGAGGAUCGGGGCCCAAAGUGGUAGGGGAGGGUCACAGAGGGCGAUAUAUCUUGACCGGCGCAAACCGCGACGGGCUGACGUGGUCCGCUGCAUUGCCUCGUCGGGCAACGGGGGAGAACACAGAGCUAGAGCUCCUUCCCUUGUGCAUCCAUGACCGGCGGAGCGCACUGCAAAGAGCGAGGUCUCCUCAUCAUCCGAAUCCGACAACGGCAAGGCAUCCCAGUCGAUGGGUUUCGCCUCAUUGCUGGAUCCGCCACUGAAAUCGCUGCCAGAACCAACCAUGGUAGCCCGAGAAGAGGAAGCGGUGGGGAUGGGAGCGAACAUAAGUGGUGUGGAAGGGGAGAGAAGAGGUCGGUACUGACCUAUGUUUGCGCCCUAGUGGGGAUGGGUUGGGCGAGGACGAACGGAUCUGAUGUGACGGUCGAGUCCGGGCGUGUUGAUCUUCCCUCGACGAUAGGGCUAACUAUGUGGUGUCCGGUUGGGUGGCAAUUUAUUGGCUGAGUAGUGACCGGGCUGUCUGCCCAUACGUUUGGGGGGAUAUGAGCUCUCUAUUGUACAUGCUUUAAAUCUUGGCAUGCGAAGCCUCGCCCGCCGGUGUCUAGGCUGGGCGUGUACCUCUCAGCUAGAAACCCCCAAAAAGUCCAAGAUUCCUUAUUUUUGGGAUUUUACAAGAAAAAAUAGGUAUGAUAUUGUAUCAAUUUAUCUCAAAAUAAUUAGGUUAUUAUUUUUAAAUAAAAAUAUAACCAUUUGCCUGCCCAAGCGGGGUGGGAUAAGACCCGGGCUCGGAAUUUUCAUGCCGGGCUCUCGCAGGUCCGUCCAUUUUAAUCAAUUUUUUUUCAGGGACUAAACUGUUUUAAGUAUUUGGUCAGCAAUCUCUAAACAAUGAUAAGAUAACAAGACUAGGCCUACUAUCAAUUUUCAUAGUCAACUUUGUCCCUAGUCACAUUACUCCAAUCCAGCUAUAUUUAUGCGUGCAAAUCACCCAGUUCACCUUGUUUCAAAUAAACCCAGUUAUGUUUCCAUUUUGCAAGAAAGCACCGCAUUUAUAUUAGAUGACUUCCAACAUCCUAGAAAACAGAUCGUCGAUGUGGUCCAGUGCAUCGCAGGUGGCUACAAUGAACCGGAAGAAAUGGCGAAGUUUAAGGUAGUUCUUAGCGGCAGGUUCUAGUUUCAAGGUGGUGUAGGAAUGGAUGUUGGUUUUAUGGACGGUAAUGGGGUCAUAGAGUUAAUAAGAAUGAUCGAGAGGGUAAGAAGAGAGAGCACCAGCUAUAGUAUUGAGGGCACCAUGGUGCUGAGAAACUGGGAGAGGUGUGGGUGGUUUGCAUCGGAAGGUUUCACACCCUCUGGUUCUGAAGAAGAAAAAUAAUACCAUCAGCCUGCAAAGUAAACCAACGUAUGGAAUUAAGAAGCAAUUUAACAAUACUUAGUGGGCAAUCUCCGUGACAAGCAUCAAAAUAUUGCUAUGCUAUUAAGGAAUUAUUUCUUUGAAUAAGCUCAGUACUAGUUGUAACAGUGGCAUGUUGUCUAAUAUGUGACGUUGGUAAGAAAUUGCGUCCAGCAAAGUGUAGCAUCUCAAUUAUCAUAUUACCAAGACCUUGUCGAUACUAUGGAGGAACUUGAGACCGAGACCAUGGUUAGUCAUCGUCUGAUCAAUAUCUGGGACGAACUUGAGCCGCUACCCAUACUUGGCGAUGGACAUGAUGCUCUCCUUGAGCAUGCGGUACUAGCCGCUAAGACGGAUGGUGUGCGCGGUGUUAUUGUUGUGGAAGUACCGGCAGAAGCGAUUCCGUGCCGACAAGGCAGUGCCAUCAUAGGACAUCACAAGUCCAUGAGACCACCGUCGAUCAUGGCGUACAUAGAUCCACAACAUGAUCCUGAUGUCGGCACGUUGCCACUCGGGGUCAUCAAUUUCAACUUCAGAAGUCUCAUUAAUUUGGUGGUGGCGAGGACGAACCAGAAGAAAUGUGCCAUUUAUGGUAGUUGUUGACGCGUGGGUCGAGUUUGAAGGUGAAGUAGGACUGGAUGUUAUAUUAUGCACGACAAUUGGCCUGAAGUUGGUAAAAGGGAUUGGGAGGUAAGAAGAGGGAGUAAAAGCAAUAGUGGCGAUGGGCGCCAUGGCAUCGAUGGAGAAACAGGGAGAGGUCUUUGGGGUUUGCGCCAUAAGGGAGGUGGUGCUGGAAUCUGUUUGGGUGUUGCUCACCGGCGUUACCAAGAUGAACUCUGUAAUUUGUAUUGUUUGCAUUAUAGAGGUAAUAUCAUAGAUUAGUACAUAUGUUAUGCAUUAUUGACGUAAUAUCAUAGAAUAGUAUGAUAUGCAUGUUAGAACCUUAUGAUAUUACUCAUUACAGGCAGCCUUAGCUACACAAACGUAUGGGUCACUUCGCUAUAAAUAAUCCUUCUGACGUCAAAGUGCACGCAUUAUUGCAGAGUUCACUUGCGUACAAUUUAGGACAAAAAUUAUUGGUGCACAAGGUAUAUACUAUAUCAAAGUCAACCACAGUUAAUUAAGUGAUAUGAAUAAUUACCAGCUAGUUUUUUUUUUCUUUUUUUGCGAGGAGGAGUACUAGCUAACUAGCUAGGGUCGUCCUUGUGUUGGCUCCCUAUAAAUAGCAUCCUACUCCCUCAUAUGGACAUGUACGAGUUAAGCAGCUAGCUAGCUCAUCUCCAUCAAAUCUUUUCUUGCUCUAUUCUCCACUAGAACCACCCAAUUCAUCAAUGGCUUCAUCUCUGAAGGUGGCCGCCAUCGUCGCUGUUUGCGUCAUGCUCGUCCUCAACAUGGGUCACCCGGCGGCAGCCACAGAAUGCGAAGAUUGUCUGGGCGCCUGUGUUGCAAUUUGCAUCGCCUACGCUGAAACGACGUGCAGUGGCAUCUGCACCGUCAUAACUCCUGCAUGCCAGGCAUGUAAGGAUGCGGCCAUAAUUGAAUGUGGUGCAACAUGCUAUGGCGGUUGUACCCUAUUCUGCUAAACCGGCCGGUUGUGCCCUGUUGCUCGAUGUAAGCUAGGUGCAUGCUUGUGUUCGUUGUUGCCAUUAUAAGCCAUGUAAAUAAGCGAACUAAUGCCGUUGAUGUGUGCAUGUGGCAAAAGUUCCUUUGUUUUAUUGUUCCCCCUCGUUUCAACCAUCAGUAAAUAUACUUGUGUGCAAGUUGUGUAUACUUUGUGCUUCUUCGUACAUAUCAUGUGUCUAACGCGUUGUCAUACUUAAACAAUAGGGAUAUAUAUAUCCUUAUCAGGAGAACGCAGUUCCAAAGUAUGUAGUUUCGCUUCCCUCAUGGUAGGGUUUCAUAUCUAUCUCGGCGCCUCAUGGCGGCUUAAAGAUUGCAUCUAUUUCCUUCACAACUUGUCUUCUUCCAGCAUAAAACUCUGUCCAGAAAUUUCUAUGAUUUUUCUUCUUCAUGGAAAAUACUUGUUUCCUUUGCAGUGUUUGAUCCUUCAUGAAUUAUUCCAACUAGUUCGAUGCAAUACUAGUUUAAGACCAUGGACGAAUUAAUGUCAAGUGGUAGCUUGUUAUAUUGAUGCCAACUCCAUUCAUGAAUCAUGCGCGGCCAUGUCAGUUAUAUGUAGAAGGCUUCACACCAUGGGCCCACAAAGUAAACCAAUAUAUGGAAUUAAGCAUGUAAUUUAGGAAUACUCACUGUAUAAUCUCCAUGGUAGCCAACGAAAUAUUGCAAGCGCCAUUUUCUAAUGCUAAGGAAUCAUUACUUUGAACAAGUUUCUCGGUGCUAGUUGCAUGUAAUCUAAUAUGUAGUGCAUUCAUGAGAAAUUGUGCCAAUCAAUGGAUAACAUCUUAGUUAGCUUAUUACUCCCUCUGGCCCUUUUUACUCUGCGUAUUAGAUUUGUCUCAAGUCAAACUUUGCAAAGUUUGACCAAAUUUAUACAAAAAAGUAUCAACAUNNNNNNNNNNNNNNNNNNNNNNNNNNNNNNNNNNNNNNNNNNNNNNNNNNNNNNNNNNNNNNNNNNNNNNNNNNNNNNNNNNNNNNNNNNNNNNNNNNNNNNNNNNNNNNNNNNNNNNNNNNNNNNNNNNNNNNNNNNNNNNNNNNNNNNNNNNNNNNNNNNNNNNNNNNNNNNNNNNNNNNNNNNNNNNNNNNNNNNNNNNNNNNNNNNNNNNNNNNNNNNNNNNNNNNNNNNNNNNNNNNNNNNNNAUGAAACUAAAUUUCAUGAUGAGCUUAACAAUAUCGGUUUGGCAUUAUGAAUGUUGAUACUUCUUUCUAUAAGUUUGGUCAAAAUAGAGAUACUUUGACUUCAGACAAAACUUAUAUGUAGACUAAAAAUGACCGGAGGGAGUACUAAUUAAGACCUUAGGAUAUAUACCACCUUUAAGCAUUAAUAGCUACCACAAAUCCACAUAUUAUAGAUCCUUCUUCUUCCACUAUGUCUCCAUUGAUUGGCUUUUGGCUUUCAGACCACUCAAAAAUUAAUGUCAAGUGGUAGCUUCUUCUUUUAAUGUCAACUCCAUGCAUGAGUGAUGCACGAUCAUGUCAAAUUACAGAAGAUAUCACACCCUCUGGCUCAGAAGAGGAAGAAAACUAAGACCAUAGCCGGCAUGUAAAGUAAACUAAUAUAUGGAAUGACACAUGCAAUUUAGGAAUACUUAGUGAGCAAUCCCCGUGAAAACUACCAAAAUAUUGCUAGCUAGUUUAUCUAAUGUGGUGGGAUCAUUACUUUGAACAACUCUCUCAAUGAUAGAUGCAUGUUGUCUAACAAGUAGUGACAUUCAUAAGGAACUGCAUCGAUCCAAGGAUAACAUCUCAAUUACCAUAUGACUAAUUAGGACCUACACAUAUAUACCACCUUGAAGGAACAAGUGUUACCGCAAAUCCAUGCAUCCAAUUCUUUAUGGUGGUGUAGGUUGCAUCUAAUUCCUUCACAACUUGUCUUCUUCUACAGUAAAACUAUGCCCAGAAUUUUCGUGGUUUUUUUCUUAUUUACGAAUAAUACUUGUUUCCUUUGCAGUGUUUGGUCAUAAGAGCAUCUACAACUGCAACUCGCAAAUGUGACCCCUACACGUCCGUGGACGCGUCCGCAGACAGUGACCAGUCACCCACUAUAUCUCCGCGUCCGCUGUCGUCCCCCUCAUAUCAACCACGCAACAUGAUCAACAUUUUGCGUAGAAACAACUUUAACAUAGCAGUAUAAAACAUAUAUAUUUGGAAUGGCAAGUUUCAUACAAUCGGACACAAAAUGUCCAUCAUCACCUAGAUAUGAUAAGCCUAAACAAUAGAAAAACUCCUACAUGUAGGCAUUGGACGUCGGAGGGGAUUCGUCGUUGUCGUCGCUCAUCGUGUCGCUGUCAUAGGACGACGACGAGGAGGUUAUCCUGACCAAUCGUCGGGCGACGCGGGCCUACUCCCUGGUGAGUCGGGCGGCUUUCGCGCUGGCGGUUGCCCCCUCCUUCGCGAGGUUCCGGAAAUCCUCGAUGUCGAGCUGGAGAACCUUUACUGUUUUUCGGCGGCGGGCAUCCAUCUCUGCCGAGAUCAGUGACCGGAGGAUGACAUCACAGAAACUCUGGGAGGAACCAGCAGUCUCGCGGACCUGCUGCCUCUGAUUUUUACGUCCUCCUCGCAAGCUCGGUAGUGCGGGAACGAGCACCCUGCUCAGACUGGGAGGAGCGGGGCCCAAAGUCGUAGGGGAGGGUCACGACGGGCUGACGUGACGGGCUGACGUGGUCCGCUGCAUUGCCUCGUCGGGCAACAGGGGAGAACACAGAGCUCGAGCUCCUUCCCUUGUCGAUGCAUGACUAGCGGAGCGCACUGCAAAGGGCGAGGUCUCCUCAUCAUCAAAAUCCGACAACCGCAAGGCAUCCCAGUCGAUGGGUUCCGCCUCAUUGCUGGAUCCGCCACUGAAAUCGCUGGUAGAACCAACCAUGGUAGCCCGAGAAGAGGAAGCGGUGGGGAUGGGAGCGAACAUGAGUGGUGCGGAAGGGGAGAGAAGAGGCCGGUACUGAGCUAUGUUUGCGCCCUAGUGGGGAUGGGUUGGGCGAGCACGAACGGAUCUGAUGUGGCAGCCGAGUCCGGGCGUGUAGAUCUGCCCUCGGCGAUAGGGCUAACUAUGUGGGUUCUGAUUGGGUGGCAAUUUAUUGGCUGAGUAGUGACCGGGAUUGCUGCCCAUACGUUUGGGGGGAUAUGAGCUCUUUGUUGUACAUGCUUUAAAUCUGGGCAUGCGAAUCCUCGCCCGCCGGUGUCUAGGCUGUGCUUGUGCCUCUUAGCUGGAAACCCCCAAAAAGUCCAAGAGACCUUAUUUUUGGGAUUUUAUAAGAAAGAAUAGGUAUGAUGUUGUAUCAAUUUAUCUCAAAAUAAUUCGGUUAUUAUUUUUAAAUAAAAAUAUAACCAUUUUGGUGCCCAAUGGGGUGGGAUAAGACCCGGGCUCGGAAUUUUCAUGCCGGGCUCUGGCAGGUUCGUCCAUUUUAAUCAAUUUAUUUCUUUGUCAGGGACUAAGUUGUUUUAAGUACUUGGUCAGCAAUCUCUAACCAAUGAUAAGAUAACAAGACUAGGCCUACUAUCAAUUUUCAUAGUCAACUUUGUCCCUAGUCACAUUACUCCAAUCCAGCUAUAUUUAUGCGUGCAAAUCACCCAGUUCACCUUGUUUCAAAUAAACCCAGUUAUGUUUCCAUUUUGCAAGAAAGCACCGCAUUUAGAUUAGAUGACUUCCAACAUCCUGGAAAACAGAUCGUCGAUGUGGUCCAGUGCAUCGCAGGUGGCUACAAUGAACCGGAAGAAAUGGCGAAGCUUAAGGUAGUUCUUAGCGGCAGGUUCUAGUUUCAAGGUGGUGUAGGAAUGGAUGUUGGUUUUAUGGACGAUAAUGGGGUCGUAGAGUUAAUAAAAAUGAUCGAGAGGGUAAGAAGAGAGAGCACCAGCUACAGUAUUGAGGGCACCAUGGUGCUGAGAAACUGGGAGAGGUGUGGGUGGUUUGCAUCGGAAGGUUUCACACCCUCUGGUUCUGAAGAAGAAAAAUAAUACCAUAGGCCUCACUACUAGAAAAAGGGCUAUAGAUGGGAUUAACACUAAUGGCGCACCAGACAAGCGGUGAGCCAUUAGCUUCUGAUACGUCAUUAGAGUUGAAACUACUAAUGGCGCACCUGGCCCAGGGUGCGCCAUUAGUAUCAAUUUUUUUUUUAACUAGUGCGCCUGUCCAAACAUACUAAUGGCGCAUCCAGACACAGUGCGCCAUUACUAGUUGUAAUUAGUAAUGGCGCACCUGGCCCAGGAUGCGCCAUUAGUAUCAAUUUUUUUUUAACUAGUGCGCCUGUCCAAACAUACUAAUGGCGCAUCCAGACACAGUGCGCCAUUACUAGUUGUAACUAGUAACGGCGCACCUGGCCCAGGGUGCGCCAUUAGUAUCAAUUUUUUUUAACUAGUGCGCCUGUCCAAACAUACUAAUGGCGCAUCCAGACACAGUGCGCCAUUACUAGUUGUAACUAGUAAUGGCGCACCUGACCCUGGGUGCGCCAUUAGUAUCAAAAUAAUUUUUUUAACUAGUGCGCCUGUCCAAACAUACUAAUGGCGCACCCCAUUAGUAACCUGGAUUACAAAUGGCGCAUUUAGAGUUGGUGCGCCAUUAGUAAGUGGGCAGCAACAAGAUAUUUUGGACAGCCUCUCCUACCCACACUCACUUUCUCCCCACUUCAUUCUCUCCACCUCCUCCUUGUCUCGGGUGCCUCCUCUUUUUCACCUCAUUUCCACCAUAGAUUCAUUCAAUUUAAGUGGUUAAAUUACCUUGUUUUGAUAGGUAAGUAAGGGGGGAAGCUAUAUUUAUGUUGUUCUCCCUACAACAAUGUGCACAUGCACUUUUUAUGGCCUAGCUAGAUCUAUGUAUGUUCGUGGUGUUGCAUAUGUUUGUGGUGUUGCAUAUGUGUUUGUGUUUGGAGGUGUACCGGUAUUUGAAAUGCGAUAGUUGCCAAUAUUUUGCCGGAAUGUUGAUUCAUUUCCGUUUCGGCGAGAAUUUUGGCAUUAAGCAUUCUUUUUGGUCCUAUUUUUAGGGAAAGUCAUGCCAAAUUUUUUCUUGGUUCUAAAAUAUCAUUUUUCUCUACCCCGCAGACGACCAUGGUCCGCAUGAUGACCGAAGGCAUCGUGAAUAGGUUUUUGAGGUCCGCGAAGGCCGAGAUGCUUCAAAAGAACGAGACGGAGAUAAGAUGUCCGUGUCGAAGAUGCAAGCUGAAGAGCCUUAUUGCGGACCCGGAAUCCUGGCAGGUGCGGGACCACCUGCUCUUGCGUGGUUUAAUGGAUGGCUAUCGGUGGCAAGGUGAUGAAGAUGACUACGAAGUCGUCCAUGGGGGCCGGGCAAGAAAUGAGGAAGGGCAGCAAGACAACCACCGCGGCUCGGGCGGGCGAGAAGACGAAGAAUCCCUAGGACAUGAUGAUGAGGAAGAUGCCGGAGCAGACGACGGGCAUGAUCAUGAAGAUGAUGAUGCCAGCGGAGCAGACGAUGCUGGACCAUCGAUGGGCUGGGUGCAGGACCCUCAUAUUCAAGAGCUGCUUCUCAAGCAGACGGAUAACGCAAGAGCUGCCGCCCGAGAGAAAGCCAAGAUGGAUCAACUUGAGUUAGACGCGGUUACUCCAUUGUAUGAAGGAUGCAUGCCCGAGGAUACCAGCCUGAAAGUAACGCUCAUGGCUCUGGAGAUGAAGGUAAAACACAAAAUGACCGAUGCAUGCUUCGACGAGAACAUGUCAUUCUGGCACGAACGUCUUCCCAAGGGGAACAAGUGCCCGACCAGUUUGGAGGAGGCGAAGAAAAUCGUGUGUCCUAUGGAUUUACCGCACGUGAAAUACCAUGUGUGCAUGAACAAUUGCAUCAUUUAUCGGGACGAGCAAGCGGAGUCUACCAUAUGUCCGGUGUGCGGCGUCACUCGAUACAAGAAGAGGAAGAAAGCUCCUCGAAAAGUGGUGUGGUACUUUCCGAUCACUCCUCGUCUGCAGCGGUAUUUCGCGGACCCUAAGGUAGCAAAGCUCCUUCGUUGGCACGCGGAUAGGGAGGAGAAGAAGCGAGAAGAUGACGCAAAUGAUCCGGAGAUAGAUAAAAAAGACAAGAUGCUGAGUCACCCUAAGGAUGCGAGCCAGUGGCAAGCGUUGAACUUCGAAGACCUAGAAUUUGGGAACGAUCCAAGGAACAUCGUGCUGGGCGCGAGCACCGAUGGAGUCAAUCCGUUUGGCAGCCAAAGAAGCACACAUAGCACCUGGCCUGUGUUUGUGUGGAUGUACAACCUUCCCCCCUGGUUGUGCAUGAAGAGGAAGUACAUUCACAUGAGUAUGCUAAUUGAAGGACCGAAACAACCAGGGAACGACAUCAAUCUGUAUCUGGGGCUGCUGAAAGAGGAGCUUGACACGCUGUGGAAAACGCCAGCCAAUACGUGGGACGCCGCAGAGAAAGAAUAUUUCCCUAUGAGAGCUGCGCUGCUCACGACGGUGCACGACUAUCUCGGUUACGGAUAUGUCGCGGGGCAGGUGGUCCACGGAUUUUCUGGAUGCGUCAGGUGCAUGGAUGACACAACGUAUCGCCAGCUAGAUAGAGAUCCCGGUUCUUCAAAAACCGUGUUCAUGGGACAUCGAAGGUGGCUUCGCGACGAUGACCCGUGGAGAAAACGCAAGGAUCUAUUCGAUGGUGAAACCGAACCCCGAGGACGCCCGCGUACGAGGAGCGGCGAGGAAAUAGACGAGUUGUUGAAAAAUUGGAAAGACUGCCCACUGCCGGGAAAGAAGCAAAAGGCGCCAGAGCCGGGAAAGAAGCGAAAGGCGCUAGAGCCGCUGCUGAAGGUAUGGAAAACGAGGUCUGUUUUCUGGGACUUGCCGUACUGGAAGAUCCACCGUGUGCCUCACAGCCUUGAUGUCAUGCAUAUCACGAAGAACGUGUGCGAGAGUCUGCUUGGUACCCUGCUCAACAUGCCAGAGAGGACCAAAGAUGGGCCGAAAGCAAGGGCAGCCUUGAAAUCAAUGGGCAUCAGGCAGGAGCUUCACGCUAUAUAUGAUGAUGAUGAUGAUGAUGAUGAUGAGGCGAAGCAGGACACGGAAAGUCGUCGCAAAGGCAAAAAGGCCAAGAAGACCGGAAAUGACUACCCUCCCGCGUGCUUCACUCUAAGUCAGGAGGAGAUCGAGCAGUUUUUCACCUGCCUCGUAGGAGUAAAACUUCCUUACGGUUACGCGGGGAAGAUAAGCAGAUACCUAGACCUAGCGAAGCUGAAGUUCAGCGGGAUGAAGUCUCACGACUGUCACGUGCUGAUGACGCAGAUACUUCCAGUUGCAAUCCGUGGGAUCAUGGACGCGCACGUCCGUGAAACGCUAUUUGGCCUAUGCAACUUUUUCGACGUCAUCUCUCGGAAGUCUGUUGGCGUGAGGCAACUCAGAAGGCUACAGGAAGAGAUCGUGGUGAUACUAUGCGAGCUUGAGAUGUACUUCCCGCCCGCAUUCUUCGACGUUAUGGUGCAUCUGCUGGUCCAUAUCGUGGACGAUAUCAUCCAACUCGGGCCGACGUUCCUGCACAGCAUGAUGCCGUUCGAAAGGAUGAAUGGUGUCAUCAAAGGAUACGUUCGCAACAUGUCACGUCCAGAGGGAAGCAUAGCCAGGGGCUUUCUGACCGAAGAGUGCAUCUCCUACUGCACGAAUUAUCUAGGCAUCGAGAACCCCCUUGGUCUGCCCGUCAACAGGCACCUCGGCAGGCUCACUGGAUGGGGUCACCGUGAGGGUCGCCGCGAAAUGCAUGUCGACUUCGAGGGUCGACUCGCCGACUUUGAAAGAGCAAACCUAGUCGCGCUACAACACAUAGACGUGGUCGAUCCUUGGGUGGUAGAGCACAAAACCUUUAUUAAGAAGACGUACAAUGACCGAGGCCAACAGAGGAUGGACGGAGAUAUACUCAAAGAGCACAACUCAUGUUUCACGCGUUGGUUCAAGCAGAAGCUUCUGUCGUACCCUUUACAUGAGGAUUCUUCCGUGGAAGAACAACUCAUAUUCGCCUUGUCACAGGGCGCCGAGCACAACCUGAUGACCUAUGAGGCGUACGAUAUCAACGGCUACACAUUCUACACCGAGGCCAAGGACAUGAAGAGCGAUGGUUAUCAGAACUCCGGGGUAACGAUGGAAUCCUACACCGGUAACGACAAGGACAGAUACUACGGAAGGAUCGAGGAGAUCUGGGAGCUGAGCUACGCUGGAGAGAAGGUCCCGAUGUUCCGUGUCAGAUGGGCCAAGAGCGUCCUAAAAGAAGACCGGUAUUUCACCACUAUGGUUAUACCCGAAGCCAAAUCCAAGACCGCAGGCGCAAACGUCACCGCGAAAAAUGAGCCAUGGGUACUGGCUUCCCAAGUGGACCAAUGCUUCUUCAUUACCGACCCGUCAAAGCCCAGUCGUGUUGUCGUGAGGAGAGGCAAAAGGAAGAUCAUCGGAAUGGAUAAAGUAGCCAAUGAGCAAGACUUCGACAAGUACGGCUACCCGAGAAUCGAACAUGACGACGAUGAUGAAGUAGCAGCAUACACCACAAGAAGAAGCAGGACCACCCUACCUAAAGGACGUCCGUUCCACAGAAGAACUCCAUUUGCGAAAAAGAAGGGCAAGAAGAUUGUGAACAGAUAGCUAGCUAAGAUCGAUUGUAUUUAAAUCGUAGCCUUCAUUUCUCGAUUGUAUUUCAUGGGCACUUUUUGAACUAUCAUGAAUAUUUUUAAAUUUCAUGGACACUCGAUCUCGAUCCCCCUCCGUCUCGAUCGCUAUCCCACCUCGCUAGAUCCGGUCUCCCUCGCCGCCGAGCACCCCCCGGUCCACCGGCGCCCCGCACCCCGCGCACCCUCCCCCGCUCCACCGGCAUUACUGUUUGAUGAUAUUUUUAAAAAAAAUAUUACUGUCUUAUAAAAAAAAUAUUACUGUUAUGAUUUAAACAAGUUUGAACAUAUUUAAACACAAAUAAAUAUGAAACAACAUUUUAAAUGCAUAAAAAAAAAUUGUGGAGCCUGGGAAUCAAACCCAGGACCUCCUGGUGUGAGAACUAGCUGCUGACCAGUCAAGCUAGUAGAGGGAACUUGGUGUGGAUCAGGUCAGGUGGAAGAUAACCUGUUGGCUCGAGCAGAAAUCAAAAAAAAAAUACUAAUGGCGCACCAGGGUGAGGUGCGCCAUUAGUAUGGAUGUACUUAUGGCGCACCGAGGGGUGGUGCGCCAUUAGUAUUGCGCCCUCGCCCGGCCCUCGAUCCCCUUCCCCUCUCCUAUCCCCGGCCCAAACCUAUCCCCUCUCUCUCCCUCGCCCUCGCCCUCGAUCCCCUUCCCCUCUCCUCUCCCGACGCCGCUGCCCUGCCGCCUCGACGCCGCCCCGUCGUCCUCAUCUCCUCUGCGACGCCCCGACGCCGCGACGCCGCCCUCUCCUCUCCCGACGCCGCCGCCCCGCCGCCCCGUCGUCCUCGUCUCCGCCGNNNNNNNNNNNNNNNNNNNNNNNNNNNNNNNNNNNNNNNNNNNNNNNNNNNNNNNNNNNNNNNNNNNNNNNNNNNNNNNNNNNNNNNNNNNNNNNNNNNNNNNNNNNNNNNNNNNNNNNNNNNNNNNNNNNNNNNNNNCCUCUCCCGACGCCGCUGCCCCGCCGCCUCGAUGCCGCCCCGUCGUCCUCGUCUCCGCCGCGACGCCCCGACGCCGCGACGCCGCCCUCUCCUCUCCGGACGCCGCCGCCCCGCCGCCCCGUCGUCCUCGUCUCCUCGGCGUCGCGCCCGUGGCCAGCCCCGUCAACAAGUUCGCGCUCCUCCCCGCCUUCCUCCAGGUACCCCGCCACCCGGCCUACUCUACAGCAUUCUAUACUCUGUGAAAAUGCUACAAACCCCAUUCUGUUUGUCAAGUACCAACUUAUAUCAUCACAGCCAUUCAUGAACAUGACACGAAAGAAUCAGUGAUCUUGACAUCUGAACUUGCCCUAUACGUCCCUUAAAUUGAAACCAGUAAAGAGUAACCAAAAGUACAAACUGAUAAGUAGAUAAAGAGUAGGGUAGAAAAGAAUGAAAUUAUCAAGUCAAAUAGCAAUUGAAACAAGCAAACUGACCCAGCACCAAAUAAGAUAGUUUCAAAUACUAUCCAAGGGACUUAGGAACAGCAGAAUCAGCAUAGCAAUUCAAGAAAAAGGAAGAACAGAAGACAAGAAUAAGUGCAGCUGCAGUACUAUUUCUCAAACAACAGAACUGGUUGACAUACUGCAAAACCAACAAAAUGUUAAGAAAUAGGUAAAAUAUAAACUUGCAAAACAGUCCUUUGUAUCCACCAGAACAUGAUUUUACCGAAAGAACUAAUAUCAUAACCGAACUAUCAACAUAUAUUUUAUCUAUACAUGGAUGCCAGUGAGCAAGAAUAAAAAUUCUCAAAAAGGAAAAGAUCAGUUCAAAUUUUGUUGAGGAAACGAUCAUUUGUACUCAGAAGUAGCUCUAUUUAGCAAGAGGCUCGGAGUUGGCCCAUUUAUAGAAGGUGGUAUGGUAUUUUCGCAACAAGAGGUUAUAAGAAGUAAAUGCAGGUGUAUGACAAUAUUGUGAUUUUCCACGUAUGGGCUUCUAUAAGCAUUAAUAUGAUCAUCAGCAGAAAGCAAAUUUGAGGCCAGUUAGCAGUUGCUGUGCUGGACAAUAGUAGACAAAAUAUUGACAACUGGCCAACUUGAAUGUACAUCACUGCCAACAGUAACCAUAACCCAUACCACAAAAACAAGUGAUGGUAUCUGAUCUCGGUACACCGCUAAAUGAGCCUUAUUCGUCAUCUCCAUCAACUGGACUUACCGCCAAUCCCAAAAAAAAGAAUAACAGGGAGAAGCCAAUUGUCAAAGAACCAAAUAUGAUAGAAACCACACAAGAAUCGGUGAAAGCAGAAAGAAUCACUACAUCGGGACCAAAUCAUUAUCUGGCGACACAAAAACAGGGACAUGCAUAAGAAAAUGGCUCAGAUAUACCCCCAUCUGGACACCAUAACUGAACUUCUGGUAGAAUGACCAUGAACAUAUUAUAUUUGUGGACGGAGGGAGUAAUAUUUAGCCGCUAAACUGGUUACUUGCUGUCACACAAGCCAUCCUAGUUUAGCCAGAAGGAGAAGGAGCCAAGUGAUCUGCAGCAGUACUAGUUGAGAUCAUAUCCAGCACAUAGUAUGGUGAGAUCAACACUUAAAAUUCCAUUGUGCUGCAAUAGUCUGAAUCAUGUUACAUAAGUGUUGGGUUCACAAAGCUCUGUUACUAUGUGUUCUAGUCAUGUACAGCAGUUUGACAUUCCUCAAAAUUUUAAGUGUUGAUAGAAUGACCGUGGGCGCCGUUUAUUUUGCGUGUCCAGUGGCUGUGGCUGCCUAAUGAUGACAGACUAAGUUUCUGAUUUAUUUUGUUAUAGAAGUGUAGAUUCAUUGGUAGCAAUUGUUUUCAGUGUCUCAUGUUGCUUGUAGUGUUUUGUCCAAAAUGUUGAAUGAUACUGCUUGGAGAUGCAUAUAUUGUUUCACCUCUUCACAUGCCAAUGUAUUUUUCAUGUUGUGAUGGAGGCCUUUUUUGCCUUGUCCACCCGAGAGGCCCUUGAGUUUGCCGGAAUGUCGAUUAACUUCCGUUCCGGCAAAUUCGGGUACUCCAUAUGUCCUAUUUUCAGCAAAGGUCAUGCUGAAAUUUUCCGUGAAUUUUAGCAUGACUUUGCUAAAAAUAGGACAUAUGGGGUACUUGUGACUAAUGCAUGGGCCGGGGUAUCUUAGUAGGUAAUUAAGUAGGAUCAAGUGCCCCGGCGUACUUGUGACUAAUGCAUGGCUUUUAGGGUGCCUUGGUGUCGAUAAAAACCGAAAUGAUGAAAGCUUAGGCUUUUAGGGUGCCUCGGCGUCGAAAAACCCUCAAUGAUAAAAGCUUAGCUUUUAGGAUGCCUCGGUGUCGACAAACCCUAAAUGAUGAGACCAUGAUCCUGUUCCUUGACAAUAACCAACUUUUUGACCAAACUUUGUUCCUAUUUAGAGAGAAACAUGGCCAACAACGACGAGGCCGGGGGUUCGAGCGUCAAGCCAUUCUGGAAGCUAUCCCAGGAGAUGGAGGAACAACCUCACUUGUAUGAGGACGCCGCCUUCCCCACCGAUCCUGAGACCACUGAUGGUACCGCCGAGGAUGACCCCACUGAUGGUGCCGCCGAGGAUGCCACCACUGAUGAUGGCGGCGCACGCACAGAUGGCAGCCAACCGAAGAGGCAACGGAAGGACCGGCGCCCGACCGUGCUCCGCACCCUCAAGGAGGAAGUUACUGAAGUGGACUCCGACGGGAAUCCAACGGUGCCCGAACGAAUAGUCAAGGGGUACUCGCUUCAGCUCGGGUGCAUUCUCCGGAGCACCGUCUCGAUCAACACCGAGAACCUGAGGCAUCCUGACCGAGGGAAUUUGCGCAACCUCCUCUUCACGAAGCUGCACGAACGAUACAAGUUCCCCGCUGAAUUUGAAAACACAAGCCUCAAAGGGAAUAAAGUGAACAAUGCUGCCCUCACGAAGAUGAGCAAGGCCCUGUCUACUUGGAAAAGCAAUGUGAAGAGAAUGAUCGAGAAAGGUGAGAGUUAUGAGAAGAUCAAGGAGAAAAAUCCUUCGAUCACCAAAGAUGACUACAACGACUUCAAGAUCAAUUGCUCGAGCACCGCAAACUCCGAAUCAAGUAAGUGGGGGAAAGAAAUGCGGGAGCUGAACUUAGGGGAACACACACUCGGUCCCGGCGGUUACAGAGUGGCGGAGCCUAUAUGGGACAAGGAGGAGGCGGACCGUGCCGAGCAAGGCCUACCGCCCCUCUUCGAUAAAUACGGUGACAAGCAGACCAGGAACUUUGUCAGGGCCCGGUACAAGAAGGACCCGAAAACAAAGGAGCUUACCACGGAUCCAAAGACCAGGGCGCUUGAGCUUGUUCUGGUAAGGAAUACACCCCCUCGUAAUUAGCUCCAUAUGGUUGCAUUCUAAUUAAUGAAGCCAAAUUUCUAAAUGGUUCACAUUCCUUCCGCAGGCGACUGAAAGCAGUAGCGUGGGGUCGACUAAGAGCAACCCUUGGGACACCACUCUAAAUAGGGCGUUGAAUGUAAUGAAGAACAAGGAUAAACUCAGUAAGCCGACGUCAGCUGGUCGUGUGGCCGGCAAAGGCUUGUCGACAAAAUGGUCGUCAUACUAUGACACUGCUGGGCAAAAGGAGAAAAAGAACAACUCGGAAAGCCAGGCGCGCGAGGUUCAAGAACUCAGGGCACAGGUGGCGCGGAUUCCGGAGAUUGUCCAAGAGCAAGUGCAACAACAACUCGGAGCGACGAUCACCGCCAUUGUGCCUACCUUGAUCCAGGGGAUUAGUGCGUGGAUUGCGGGCGGCCAACAGGGGCCGCCCCCGAUUCCUAGCUUCACGGCCAGCAACUCGCAGAACGCGAUGGCGGGGCCAUUGGUGUCUCCGGCGGAGGCGGCAUUGGUGUCUCCGACGCCGGCACGGGAGCUUAAUGCACCGGGGUGUACGCCGACCGGCACCUCUGCAGCAAGCGGCCCCUCCGUCAACUGCACGCCCGCUGUUGGCGGUGCCUCGACAUUAGUCGAGCUCGACGCCAUCAUCACGGUAACUAAUUAAGCCUCUCUCGGCCGAGGACUUCAUCUCCUUGCCUUUGACUGGGCAUCCCUAACGCCCUACAUGUUUUCGCAGGCGCCGCCGACGUUCCGUGCACUCUCCUGCACUUCGUGAACAACGAGUUGGUCGAUGUUGCCAAGGGCAAAAUCGUUCAACCGGGCAACCCCUUGUUCCAGGGUACCCAUACGCCACCCAACUUGUUUAGGGUUCAACUGGUUCGGGUGCUGCCAGGCUGCGACGAGGUGUUACCUCCGAUUCGACCCCUCGGGGCCGACGAUGAUGACGUGAUGAACCUCAGCGCCUGCCUGAGCUGGCCCCUGCUUUGGCUGAAGAGCCAGAUUCGUUUGGGGGCGGGGGACACCACCCCAAAGACAACACCGCCAGUCGUGCCGGCGCCAAGUCGGCCCCAUGGCAAGACCGCCGCAACGGUGCCGGACAUCCCUAUGCCACUGGAUCCAAACAUGCAUAUGGCACAGGAUCAGAACGACGACGACGACGAUACAUUUGCCACCGUCGAUCAGUACUUUGCCGAUCAUGGGUAUGGUGGCGACUUCAUGGGGCCUCCUUCUCAAGAACCCAACCCAACAAAAGACGUGUGCGAUCUGGCUGGUACCGCGGAGAAGCCAAGUUGCAAAAGGCGUCGUCUGCAGUUCAGCUCUCAGGAGACGCCUCCAGCUGCCGACUUCACCGAGCCUCAGAUAGGCGAGGUGCCAAAUAUGAUCAGCCCCAACACACUCAAGAAGGCGGUCUGUGAGCAGAACUCGGUCCCAUUACAGGAGAUCAAGAAGAAGGCAUGCAAAAGAAAGACUAACAAGGGUGCGGGCCAGCCGGCACCGAGUACGAUCCGUGCUCAGGACGGACCACCUUCAACUGCGGAUAUCUCGAGGAGGGUGCAUGUGGCGGGUAGGCCGAUGCUACCGAGAAAUAUGCUCGAUGCUGCAACCGGUGCUAUGCGGAGUCUGCAUGACAGUGUUCUUUCUUUGGAGAAGCGGCGUCUCCGAGAGAAGGAUGUGGCAUACCCGGUUUUCGCGGCCAAGGUGCCAGAGGGCAAGGGCUUUGUGGAUAACUCCAUCGGGGGUACGAUCGUCCUGCGGUUUGAUGACAUCCACGCUAUGUUGAACCUUCAUCCGCUGCACUACACCUUCGUUCGGCUAUUUUCGCUGAGUAUGGAGAUGCGGAUCAUUCGCGACAAGACCCCGGACAUCGUGAUAGUCGACCCCUUCUACAUGCGUGCCAAGAUCUUGGGCAGCGCUGGGGACCGGCAAGUCGCGAGUUCUUACCUCGAAGGCGUCAUUCUGGCAAACCAAGAUAAGGAUAACUUCCUCGUGCCUUACUUUCCCGAGUAAGUCCUUCCCUCAACCGCCCCGUAACAUAUGAAUUCUUAGAUUUCGAUCGUUUUUCUUUUAACAUUCCGUGUUUUCUGCAGUGACACACAUUGCACGCUCAUCCUCCUAAGCCCCAAAUAUUCCAUGGCCACGUAUUUCGACCCGGACCGUCAGUCGAACGUAGACUACACAAAUGUCAAGAAGGUUCUUGAUGAUGUUCUCCCCGGGUACGUCAAAUCUGGAGGCACCUUCACCAGGCCUAUUCGUAAGUACGGCAAGCACGUGUUCUCCCACAAUAUGACGUUCUGCUGCGUCAAGCAGCCGCCUGGCGGUCAGAAGGAUGCCUACUACGCCAUCCAUCACAUGCGGGCGAUCGUGCGGGGCCAUAAUCACCUUCUCCUACCAAAUAAUCUCAAAGAUUGGGCCGCAAGCUUGGGGGCAAUCCAGGACGCGGACAUCAGACAAGAAUUCUUUCGCAUCUAGUCGGAGUUUGCGGAAAUCAUCCAUCAAGAUGUCCUUCCUACCUCGGGGCAGUUCUACCUCAGAAAUCAACCGUCCAACAGUGACAUCGACACAAUCCUACAAAUGCAGGCUGACAACGCCCGUUGUUUCAUGACUCCCACGAUAGACGGCGGCUUCAUCCACGCUCCGGUCCCUUGAGUCGAGUCGAAAGCAGUGAUGCUGUGUCUAGUUCUGAAACAUCGAUUGGCUCAUGUUGUAAUUAAACUUUAAUGAACUUGUAGUAUGUCUCUUUGGUUUCGAGAGUCGUUCAACUUAGAUGUAAUCGAUGCUAUUAAUGUCUUGCUUUUCUCUUCCGAUCGUUCUGUUGCAUACUUAUAUAUUGCUUAUGUAUUGUCUGUGAAUUGGUACUAACGUUUCGUUUGGCUACUGCAUAGCGAUGCCGUGGUAUGUCGUGUACAAGGGUAAGGUUCCCGGAGUCUACGACGACUGGGAGGAGUGUCGGAGACAGGUUCACCGAUUCAGCGGUAACAGUUACAAAGGGUACGCCACUAGGGCCGAGGCCGAAUCUAGAUACGACCGCUAUCUAGCGGGAGAGGGGAGGGAGCGUUGGAGGAACCGGAUGAAGACGAGUUUCAUCGUGAUGAUGCUCAUCGUGAUGACCGCAGCUCUCUUCUAUGUGAUGGUAGUUUAGAUGAUCGAUAUCGACUUGUAAUGUGAAGACAAACUCGCGGUCUCGAGACUUGUAAUAUAAUGUCCUAUCUUUGUUCGGUCUUUUCAAUUCGGAGACUAAUAUGAUGAAUUGUAUUCGGAGACUAAAAUGAUGAAUUGUAUUCAGAGACUAAUCUUCUAUUGUAUUCGAUGAAUCUGUUGUUGAUGUGUGUUGUCUAUAUUUUGUCCAAUUAUACAUUUUGUAACCUGUGCAAAAACAGAAAAUAAAAAAAUAAAAAAAAACCUAAUAUUCAUACUAAUGGCGCAUCACAUCAUAGUGCGCCAUUAGUAUGCCAAAGGAUACUAAUGGCGCAUCACUAAACAGUGCGCCAUAAGUAUGCCGAAGUUACUAAUGGCGCAUCCUGUUGUUUUGCGCCAUUAGUAUGCCAAAGCACCUGGGUAUAGAUGGCCCCCUGGGAGGCAUACUAAUGGCGCACUGUUGUAUAUACUAAUGGCGCAUCUAGGGUGCGCCAUUAGUAUACCAGAUACUAAUGGCGCACCAGUGGUGCGCCAUUAGUAAAAUAUACUAAUGGCGUGCUACUAAUGGCGCACCACUAAUGCGCCAUUAAUGGCCAAAUUAGGUGCGCCAUUAGUAGGCCUUUUCCUAGUAGUGCCUGCAAAGUAAACCAACAUAUGGAAUUAAGAAGCAAUUUAACAAUACUUAGUGGGCAAUCUCCAUGACAACCAUCAAAAUAUUGCUAUGUUGUUAAGGAUUUAUUUCUUUGAAUAAGCUCAGUACUAGUUGUAAUAGUUGCAUGUUGUCUAAUAUGUGACGUUGGUAAGAAAUUGCGUCCAGCAAAGUAUAUCAUCUUAAUUAUCAUAUUACCAAGACCUGAAGAUAUAUACAACCUUGUAGCCUUAUAAAGAGCUAGAGCCCUUGCCUAUUUUUUCUUAGAAAUUGGACCAACGCUAUCGCGUACGGAUUAAUUUAGUAGUAAUUCUUCUGUAUUUUUUCAUUGAUAUAUAGGAAUAGGGCAGUGCAUAUGUGGAGUGCACACAAUCUUGUUUCACUUUUCUUUGCUGGAAGUAAGCUGUUUUAAGUACUUGGCCAGCAAUCUCGAAUCAAUGAUCAGAUCGUAAGACUGGGCCUACUAUAUAUUUUCAAAGUCAACUGCGCGGCUGGUCAGAUGUGUACCACAAUACAGUUAUAUAUAUCGUGCUCAGCACGAGUUCACCUUGUUUUAAAGCAACCCAGUGAUAAGUAUGAGCGUCUGUUCAAACAUAUUUGUCAGAGAACACUCGUUUAUACACUUUAGCUCUGAUUUUAUGCCCAUGAGUUAAUACAUUCAUGAGUGCUUUUCUCUUCAUGUAGCUGGCACGGAGUGUUACUGAAUAUAAGUAUUAUUUAUUACAUUUCUUAGGAUGCUGUCUAUGAAACUAGCGGUAUUGCCUACUCAUUUGCGCGGCAAGAUUUUCAUUUGUCAUUUUAAAUUUGGAAACUAUAUUUUGGCAUUUUAAAUAUUUCUUAACACUUUGUAAAUAUGUAUUGUUGCAAUUACCUAAUUGUGUAUGAGGAAUUCAUCCGCAAGGUGUGCCAAGAAAUAGCUGGUUCCACACAAAAGGCUAAUUUAACAGUUUUAUUAAAAGACAUUCAAUUAAAACAAAUUAUGUAAGAAGGCCUAAAUUCAUCCAUACAUACGCGCAUUACGUAUACUUGUGGAGUUAACAAUUUUAAGCAUGUAUAUGUACAUUAUAUAUAAAAUAGCUGGACAACUAAGUUUUGGAGAACUUAUUGUGGAAGUACAUAUUAUGGUCGUCCCACGGUUAUACGAAGUGUGUAGUCGUUCUGGUCAUUGAGUAAGGAUACCCACUCGGAGCAGGAUGUUUAUGGCUGAGCUCGGAUGAUACUGCCGGCCCAAGUUGAUGACAGAGCAACUCCUGAUUAAACAAGCUAAUAUAUGGAAGCACAUCACCUUGUCGAUGAUAUGGAGGAACUUGAGGCUGAGACCACGAUUAGUCAUCGCCUAAUCAAUAUCUGCAAGGAACUUGAGCCGCCACCCAUACUUGGCAACAGACAUGGUGCACUCCUUGAGCAUGUGGUACUUGCCGCUAAUGCGGAUGGUGUGUGCGUUGUUAUUGUUGAGCAAGUACCGGCGGAGGCGAUUCCGUGCCGACAAGGCAGUGCCAUCAUAGGACAUCACAAGUCCAGAUGACCAUCGUCGAACAUGGUGUAGAUCCACAACAUGAUCCUGAUGUCGGCAUGCUGCCACUCGGGGUCAUCAAUUUCAUGUUCAGAUGUCUCAUUCAUGUGGUCGAGUGCAUCGGAGGUGGCGAGGACGAACCAUAAGAAAUGUGUCAUUUAUGGUAGUUAUUGAUACGUGGGUCGAGUUUGAAGGUGAAGUAGGACUUGAUGUUGGUAUUAUGGACAACAAUGGGGCCUGAAGUUGGUAAAAGGGAUUGGGUGGUAAGAAGGAGUAGAAGCAAUAGUGGCGACGGGCGCCGUGGCAUCGACAGAGAAACAAGGAGAGAUCUUAAGGGUUUGCGCCAUAAGGGAGGUGGUGCUGGAAUUGGUCUGGGUGUUGCUCAGUGGCGUUACCAAGCUGAACUGUGUAAUAUGUAUUGUUUGCCUCAAGGUUUACAGGUGUCGAUGUACACAAUAUAUAUAGAAGGGGUACAGAGAGAGGCCUAACUAACUUCAACAUACGAGAGGCGCAUGCAGGUGCAUGUAUGACGACGAGUGAAGAGAGCUCAGAUCCUAAUCUCCAUGGGCGCUGGUACAACAUUGUUGAAUUACAACAGUACAUACAUUUGGUGCAUACAUGUUUAACAAUAUGGAUUCGAAUUCAUGUACGAGGCGUAACAAAUGGCAAAGAUUAAAAAUAGCAUUAGACUGCCCGUAAUAGGAGUAUCAUAUUAGCUAGUAUCAUGCACGACAACUAAGCAAUUUUGAUGAGGUGGCAUAGAAUUAAAGGAAGAAAGAAAGAGUUCAGUAUCAUAUCAUGAUAUCAUAUCAUAGUAAAUGUUAUGAUACUAUGUGUCAUGCAUAACAAUAAAUAAGAUCAUACCUAAGAUACUAAUACAUGAUAUUAUGCAUUAUAGAGGUAAUAUCAUAGAAUAGCAUCAUAUGCAUAAUACUACCUCCUUUUUGGUUUAUAGGACUCAAUUCAAAAAUCUUACCAACCAAGGUAGAUGCUGAGUGGUGGAAUAAUUUUUAUAGUUUGGAAAAGCACUCAAUUAAUGCGCUUGUUUUCCUCAAAAAAAUGUGUUUACCAAUGCAUUAAUUGCAAUGCAUGCAUGCAUAAAGUACAUGCAUUCAUCAAUUUUCUCAUAAUACUUGCAUGCAAUGAUUUAAUGCACCUUGAAAUCUGAACAUGUGAUGGGGAACAACCAAAUUGAGACUUAUAAAACGGGAAAACUAAAAUUUUGAGAUAAGCCCUAUAAACUGGAAAGGAGGAACUACAAACUUAUGAUACUACACAUUAUCUUUGCUAUAAAUAAUCCUUCUGAACUCAAAGUGCCCGCAUUAUUGCACAGGUCACUUGCAUACAAUUUACGACAAAAAAUAUUGGUGCACAAGGUAUAUACUACUAUAUAUCAAAGUCAACUACAGUUAAUUAAGUGAUACGAAUAAGACUAGCUAGUUUUUUUUUGGCGAGGUGGAGUACAAGGGUCAUCCUUGUGUUGCUCCCUAUAAAUAGAACCCUACCCCCUCAUAUGGACAUGUACCAGUUAAGCAGCAAGCUAGCUCAUCUCCAUCGCAUCUGUUGUUGCUCUAUUCUCCACUAGAACCACCCAAUUCAUCAAUGGCUUCAUCUCUGAAGGUGGCCGCCGUCGCCGCCGUUUGCAUCGUGCUUGUCCUGAACAUGGGCCGGCCAGUGGCAGCCACAGAAUGCGAAGAUUGUUUGGGUGCCUGUGUUGGCACCUGCAUCGCCUACACUGAAACCACAUGCAGCGGCAUCUGCACCAACAUAACUCCUGCAUGCCAGGCAUGUAAGCACGCGACCUUAAUUCAGUGCGGUCCAACAUGCUAGGGCGGUUGUACCCUCUUCUGUUAAACCACCGGCCGGCUGUGCCCUGUUGCUCGCCGUAAGCUCUAUAUCUGUGCACAUUUCUUUGAAGUAUAUAUCUAUGUCCGUUGGCACCUCGUUGUUGCUAACAUAAGUUGUGUAAAUAAGCGGGCGAAAGUAGUUGCUGUGUGCAUUUGGAAAAUGUUCCUUCGUUCUAUCUAUUCCCCUUCGUUUGCUCAACAUUAAAUAUAUACAUGUGUGGAAGUUGUGUAUGCUUUGUGCUUCCUUGUAUCAUGUGUCUAAUGAGGUUAUACUUAAUAAAGGAUAAAUCCUUAUCUCGAGAACGCGGCUACAAAUUACAUAGUUUUGUUCCUUCACCAGUAGGGGUUCUGACUUUCUCUCAGCCGUCCAUGGCCACGUAGAGUUCGCAACAAAUUCCUUCACAGCUUGUCUUCUUCUAGCGUAAAACUUCAUCCUGAUUUUUCGUAGAUUUUCCGAUUUGCUGAAAAUACUGGUUUCCUAUGCAAUGUUUGAUCAUUCACGAAUUAUACCGACUAGUUUCAUGCGAGACUAGUUUAAGACCGUUGACAAAUUAAUACUAUCAAGUUGUAGCUGCUUCUCCAUUCAUGAAUUGUGCACGACCAUAUCAAUCAUAUGUAGAAGGUUUUACACCCUAUCGCUCAUAAUAAGAAAAGAAAAAACUAGUACCAUAGGCCCACAAACUAAACCAAUAUACAUAAUUAAGCAUGCAAUUCAGGAAUACUUAGUGGGCAAUCCUCAUUACGACAUAGAAUAUUGUAAGCUCGUCUUCUAAUAUGGAGGAAUCAUUACUUUGAACAAGUUUCUCAAGCAAACACGUCCGGAUUUCAUAUAAACAUGACGGGUUUCAUAUGAACAUGGUGGAUUUAACUGCAUUUCAAACAUUUAGAAAAAAAAUACCCGCCGGUAAACCCAUCCUACGGCGUUGGCGCCCGGCGUCCAAGGACGUGUCGUCCUCCUUCUGCCAUCUCAAUAAGCACCGGCGAUAAGACUGAUGAAGUGAAGGUGCGGUUUCCGGCGAGGAAGAGUAGAACUUGGGAGACGGACCGGCCCACAUGGGACACAAGGCACCGCCGCCUCCCGUGGCCUACUCAUCCUCGGAGGAUUCCGCGCCUUGUCCGUCGCCCGUGGACAUGAGGUCCACGAGGGAAAUGGUGGCGCCGGCGCGUCAUCGUCCCGCUGGGCCGGCUAAUAGUUCAUUGGCGGCGCGUAGGACGCGCUGCUGCCCAUGUUCUCCUCCGUGAUCGCCUGCAGGUGCACCUCUGCGGCUGCCACUUCCUGGCGAGCAGUGGCUUGAGUGCGGACGACAUUGUAGAUAGCACGCUGCUCCUCGACGAAAUUUGGGUUCGCCGCCGCCAUGGUCGGCACGGCCUCCUCUCUCGUGCGCUCAGCGUAGAUCUGACACUCCACCAGCCGGUGAUGCUCCAGGAGGAGCAGGUUGUACCGCUGAUCCUCCUGUGCCUGCUGGAACGCCGACAUAGGCGCCAGCGCAAGCUGCACCUCGGCCAUGGUGGUGUUGUACUGUGCUUGCGCCUAGUUCAUGGUGAAGCCGACGUGCGCAGGAGGCGUGGGAGCCGCGGCGGAGUCAUCGGAGCCCGUCUCCAUCGUGGUGUCAUCCUCAUCAUCGGAGACCUCGAGCGAGCUGGCCGGCAAGCCGGCCUCGAACCGCAUGGCAGGGCGGCUAUGCCAGGCAGCGGCAAGAACGGCCACCACAUGCCUCAUCUCCGGCGACAGACUAUCCCACAGUGCUUUCCCGGCGAUCAUGGUGGAUGCAGUGCAAGGGAGGACGAUGUGGGGGGGCUUCUGUUGUGGUGUGGAGUUAGCCGGGUGUGGCCGUCUUUAUAUAGCAGAUUUCGGUGAGGCGAGGCGUUUCUGUGCGUCAAUGCGCUGUGCCGGAGUGGGUUUCUCGGCCGACGAGCCUGCUUAAUGGCAGUAGACGGACAGACAACUGCAUUGAACAGGCGUGGGAGAUAUCAAUCACGUCCCAUCCAGUCACACGUGUUCGGCAUUGAACAGGCACGGACACCGGAGACGCGUAACGGCGACGCCCUCAGCUGGUGCGCCGCUUCAAUGGCGGAGGCAGUGAGAGGUCGCGUCCACCGUAAGCCGUCUUCCAUGUUGAGCGGUGCGCUCUACAGCGGCAUGAAUGUGGGCAACUGGUGCCGGGCGGGAAUGCGCGCUGGAGGGGACUAUGGUUUUGGUGGGCCAGGCCGGUCAGAAAUAGGCAUGGGAUCGGUCUAGACUCUCGCAAACCUCCCCCACAUUUGUCUCCGAUUUGCAGGAAGAAUCGCAUCUGGACCAUCCCGCGGACCGAUACAGGUCAGCAUUUCAUGGCUUCCACGGUCCGGACAGCCCGGUCCGGAUAGUAGCGGGAGGUUUACAGGUCCGCCUUGGAGAUGCCCUAAUGAAUACUAAAAUCAGAAAAAAUAAUAAAAAAUUCAAAAAAUUCUGAUUUUUUUGUGCAAACUUUGAAAAAUAUUUUAUGUGCCUGCAAAAAAUUAUGUUAGAAUGACAUUUAUGGAAGUCAUGGUAAAAAACAAAUCAAUGCUCAUAAAUGCUAUAUAAUCCAAAGCAUUAUUGGAGUGUUGUUUUUUUUAUUUUGCCAUGACUUCCAUCUAUAUUUAUGCAUGCUCAUGACCCGUUCACCUUGUCUGAAAGAAACCCAGUUAUCUUUCUUUUCUUCGAGAAAGCUCCGUAUUUAUAUUAGAAGACUUCCAACAUCGCAGAAAACAUAUCGUUGAUGUGGUCCAGUGCAUCGCCGAUGGAAAGGACGAACUCAAAGAAAUUGCACCGUUUAAGAUAGUUGUUGACGGCUGGGUCUUGAAGGUGAUGUUGGUAUUAUGGACAGCAAUCGAGGCCUGGAGUUGGGAAAAGGGAUUGGGAGGGUAAUAAGAGAGAGCAGCAGCAACAGUGCUGAGAAACUGGGAGAGGUGUGGGUGGUUUCACACCCUCUGGCUGUGAAGAAGAAAAAGAAUAAUACCAUAGUUAUGCAAAGUAAAGCAACAAACGGAAUUAAGAGAUGAAAGCAUGGCUGCAAAAACAUUGAAGGAACUCCUCCCCCAACAAAAGAAAAGACUAGGUUUCCUCUAUCUCCCGCCGGCUCCGCCACCGGUCCGCCUCGUCUCCGGUGACCUUAGGGCCAUCACUAGUAGAAAAGGGGGCUUUUGUCCCGGUUGGUAAGGGCCUUUAGUCCCGGUUUUUGAACCGGGACUAAAGGGUCGUUACUAAUGCCUCCCCCUUUAGUCCCGGUUCUUACACGAACCGGGACUAAAGGCCGUCCACGUGGACACAGAAAUUUUAUGAUUUUUUUAAUUUUUUUUUGUGAAUUUUUUUUAUUUUUUUUAUUUUCAAAUUUCUGAAUUAUUUUAACCUCUAAUCUCUAAUCACCACCCCUCAUCACUGCUCAAUUUAUCCUCUAAUCUCUAAUCACCCCUCAUCAUUCCAAAUCAUCUAACUUCCCGGCCUCUCACUACUCCAGCCUGAGCACGCUUAACUUCCGGGUUCUAUUCUCCCUCAUUUCCAAGUCUGCAGCCUGAGCACGCUUAACUUCCGGGUUCUAUUCUCCCUCAUUUCCAUGUCUGCACUUGUUGUUUUCCUGAAAAUAGUAAGAUGUCAAUUCUAUUAACCCUCAGGAAUUUAGCUUGAGCAUGAAGUGACACAUUUCACUGUUUGAGUUUGAAACUAUUGUUUUAAAAAACAAUAAUAAUUAUUUAGUAACACUAAUAUUUCUGGAAUAAUUAGUUUGACCAUUGUUCGACCACUGUUUUACCACAGUUUGACCACAAUUUGACCAGAUUUGACCAAAAUUCAAAAAAACUGAAAUAAUUAUUUAGUAACACUAAUAUUCUAGAAUAAUUAGUUUGACCAUGUUUGACCACAGUUUGACCAUAGUUUGAAAUAUUUUGAAUUUUUUUGCCUCUCCAGAUCUUAAAAGCCCCGUAUCUUUUUUCUGUUAGGUUUUUGAGGAUUUUGAAAAUGUUCAACGGGGUUCCCCCUAAAUUCAGAUUUAACUUUUCGAGUAGAUGAUUUUUCAUAUAAAAAACGUUUUCAUCCGAGUUCGUAUGCAAAAGUUAUGCCCAUUUUAAGAAAUUCCAGAGAGAUUUUGCAAAUAAAGUCGAAAUUCAUAUUUGUUAAUUUUCCCAACAACUAGACCAAAUAUCACAUGGGAAACUUAUUUUUUUUUGACAUUUCCAUCAUUUUCUUUUGUUUUUUNNNNNNNNNNNNNNNNNNNNNNNNNNNNNNNNNNNNNNNNNNNNNNNNNNNNNNNNNNNNNNNNNNNNNNNNNNNNNNNNNNNNNNNNNNNNNNNNNNNNNNNNNNNNNNNNNNNNNNNNNNNNNNNNNNNNNNNNNNNNNNNNNNNNNNNNNNNNNNNNNNNNNNNNNNNNNNNNNNNNNNNNNNNNNNNNNNNNNNNNNNNNNNNNNNNNNNNNNNNNNNNNNNNNNNNNNNNNNNNNNNNNNNNNNNNNNNNNNNNNNNNNNNNNNNNNNNNNNNNNNNNNNNNNNNNNNNNNNNNNNNNNNNNNNNNNNNNNNNNNNNNNNNNNNNNNNNNNNNNNNNNGGUACUAAUGCCUCAAAGCCCAUUAGUACUGGUUGGUGGCACCAACCGGUACUAAUGGGCAUCGCACCCUUUAGUCUCGGUUCGUGGCACCAACCGGGACUAAAGGGCCCAGGUCAACCGGGACUAAUGCCUUAGCCGCACGAACCGGGACCAAUGCUCACAUUAGUCCCGGUUCAUGACUGAACCGGGACUAAUGUGAAUAUUGCCCUGUGACGAAAGCCCUGUUUUGUACUAGUGCAUGGCGGCAUGGUGGAUCCCGGCCCUUGCCGGCGGGAGGGCUCCGUCUUUAGAUGUUCCUUCAAAUUUUGUUAGGGUUUGUGUCCUGCUCAGGAAGACGAGGCAGCGGCAGCUUUCUGAAGAUCGAAUAAGGUUCUCCCCGCCUAGUUCAUGUUCCGGUGGUGCGUCUAUCAUCGUCGGUGGGUGUGUGGAGGUGUGUCUUUAGUGGAUCUUUCAUUGGUGGAUUUGCUCAUAUAUUGUCGUAGUUCGUCUAUGUUCGUGUGUCUUAAGGUUAGAUCUUUCUGAUCUAUGCUACUCUUUAACGACGGCGGUUGCUAUUCUGGUGCGCUUGCCCUAUGGGGCCUUAGCACGACGACUUCGGGAUUGUCUACUACAACAAGGUUUGCCCGGCUCCAGCGAGGGAGGGGCGAUGAUGGCGGCGUGCCUUCGGCUCAUUUCAGUGCUUAUAUUCGUCGCUAGGUGGUCUACGGAUCUGAAUGUAAUUUUGUUAUUUCUAGUGUUCGUUGUACUACCAUGUUUGUAGAUGAAUAAAUUGAAAGUUUUCGAGAAAAAACAAAUUGACUUAGGAAGCAAUUUUUUGCGAAAAGAAUUAAGAAGAAAUUUAACAGUAGUUAGUGAGCAAUCUCGGUGACAACCAUUGAAAUAUAUAUUGCUAGCUAGUUUUCUAAAGCUAAGGAAUUAUUGCUUUGAGUAAGCUCGGUACUAGUUGUACUAGUUGCAUGUUGUCUAAUAUGUGACGUUGCUAAGAAGUUGCGUCCAGCAAAGAAUAACAUCUUAAUUAGCAUAUUACUAAGACCUAAAUGAAUAUACCACCUUCAAGCAUUAAGAGCUAGUGUCUUGCCUAUUUUUUCCUACAAAUUGCACCAACGUUGUUGCGUAUGGAUUAAUUUAGUAGUAAUUAUGCUGUAUUUUUCAUUGAUAUAUAUGAAUGGAUCAGUGUAUAUGUGGAGUGCACACAAUCAUGUACGACUGAGCCGUACGAAAAACAAAUUGCUGGAUCUAAGCCGUUUUAAGUACUUGGUCAGCGAUAUCAAACCAAUGAUAGGAUCUCAAGACUGGGCAUAGUAUCUAUUUUCAAAGCCAAUUGCGCCGCUAGUCAGAUUUGACCUACAAUUCAGUUAUAUGCAUCGUGCUCAUCACUAGUUCACCUCGUUUUAAAGCAACCGAGUCAUCAGUAUGAGUGUUAGUUCAAACAUACCUGUCAAUUUUAUAUUUUGUAAUUAAUUUUUGUAUUAUAAAAUAUUUAUUUUUUCUUUGAAAAUAUAUAUUGUUGUAGUUACCUAGUUUUGUAUGAGGAAGUCAUCAGCAAGUUGUGCCAAGAAAUAGUCAGUUCUACUAAAAGCUGAAGUUUAAAUGUUUUGAAGAAAAAAUGAUUCGAUUCAAAAAUAUUACUUAAGAAUGCCUAAAUUGACCCCACGUGCAGCAAGGACACCUGUGGGGUAAUAUUUUUUAAGCAUUUAGACGUAGAUUAUAAAAUAAUUGGACAGCUAAAUUUUUGGGAGAACUUACUCUGGAAGUAUACAAUUUGAUCUUCCUACGGUUAAACGAAGUGUCCAUAGCCCUUUUUACCGGUGAGUAAGGGUACUCAGUCGGAUCAGAAUGCUUUAGAGCAUCAGACCCCUUAAAACGCAUGAAACUGUAAAAUAACAGCCGGUUUACAGUUUUAGACGGAAAAAGCGACCCGAAUAGAACAUGUAAAUGCCUCCGACCGGUAAUUUUUUUUAAGGGUAAUGGAAAACAUCCCCGCCAAACCGGUGAAAAUAAGGAUUUCGGAACCAACCCGAGGGUGCCCUGUAUAUGCCAAAGACUGAUGGUGGGAAUCCAACUACCACCGGAACCUUCAUGGCUCGCUCCCGGCCGCCGCCCAGUGCUCUGUAUUCCGCCAGCGCCGUACCUCCCUCUCCCGGCCUUCCCCCGCCCCGGUCAACGUGUCCCGCGUAGUCUAGGCGGGUUGCACUGCUGCUGUGGUGCGUCGUCUGCCGUGCGCCCCUGCUGGCCCCGGCCAGCCGGCCUCCCUCCGCAGCGCCGGCGAGCAGAGCAACUGACGAGGCGAUGAGGGGCUCCCUCCACUGAGCCCUCACCUCGUGUUUCUGCCGCCGCCGGCUGUGUGUGGUCUGCUGCUGCCUACGGCCGCCGUGGCGCCGCACCUCUGGCUGGUAAUUUUCUCGCUGGUGGUUUGGUCUUUGGUGAAUCAGUGUAUGCAUCGUCUGCCUGUCACAGUGGAUAGACGAUUUAAAUGUUGAACUGACUUUACAAUAGAAUGGAUUAUGUAUCUGAGUAUGUGCGAUGUGCUGAUGGAACUCGGAUUUAUUCAUUUUUAGAGAAACAGAAAUUGAUGUUUGCUUCAGCCUUCAGUCGGAAGCUUCCACCAUGGCCGUGGCCCAGACAGUCACAAGCCCAAGCUCUGCUCGGCUGCCUAUUUUGCAACCUCUACACAAGCAACCUCGACGGCGGACGGAGACGGGGGAGGACAGCUGGCGGAGGCAGAGGACGGCGGGAGGCGGGGGAGAAUGGUGGACGGCGGAGAGAACGACGAGAGGAGAAAGAUUCAUUUAGGGGAGGAAGAAGGAGCAGACCGAGCGGCUGGGAAUAUUCGUUUUCCGGGGCGAAAUCCAGUUUGCAGGGUCUAUUCCGCGCGGGACAAAAUCAGCCCGAAAACCACAUUUUCUGCAGCUUGUAAAUACAUUUUUAAGGGUCCAGUUUUAAGGGCUCUGCUGGAGAUGCUCUUAUGGUCAAACCCGGACUACCGACAGGAGUUGAUGACUGAGAAAUCUUCGAUUAAACAAGGUGAUACAUGAGUGCCUAAAAUCUUGUCGGUGUCAUGGAGGGAGCUAGAGGAAGAGAUUCGGAUCAGUCGUGGCCUCGUCAACUUCAGCAAGGGAGUCAGCGAGGAACUUAGACUAUCAUGCAUACUCAGCGACUGACAUGGGGCCCUGCAUGAGCAUGCGGUACUCCUGUUAAGAUGAAUGGCGUGGGUGGCAUUGUUGUUGAGGAAGUACUGGUGGAGGCGAGUCCAUGUUGACAAGACGGUGCCGUCGGAGGACAUUGCAAGAUCAAGAAGACUACCGCCGAUCGUGGUGUUGAUCCACCCAAGAUCCCGAUGUCGGUACGUCGCAACUCGGGAUCAUCAACGUCAAAUUCAAACAUCUUGUUAAUGUGGUCGAGUACAAUGCCACAACGCAGGUGGAGAGGACGAACAACAAGAAAUCUGACAUUUAUGAGGGGAAACAAAAAAAAUUCUGACAUUUAUGAUACUUGUUGGCGGUUGGGUCGAGUUUGAAAGGGAUGUAAGAGUGGAUGUUGGUAUAGUGCACGGCAAUGCGGACCUGAAGUUUGAAAAAUUAAUUGGGAGGGUAAGAAGAGAGAGUUGAAGCAGUGGUGAUGAUGGGCACCAUGGCGCCGACAGAGAAACUAUGAGAGGUCUGCAAGGUUUGCGCCGAAAGGGAGGUGGCGCUAGAAUUGGUCUGGGUGUUGCUCAAUGGCAAGCAGAUGGCUCUGAUUACAAAGCUGAAUUAUAUAAUGCUUGCAUCAAUGUUUACAAGUGUCGAUGUACAACACAUCAGAGAAUGAACAGACAGAGAGCCCUAACUAACUGCAACAUACGGAAAAAGGCACGCGCUGGUGCACGAGAGAUCUUAGAUCCUAACUUCUAAGGACUAUGGUACAACACGAGCUUUGCUACACCUAUGGGGGUUUACGUGGGGUUGUGGGUUGCAUAAAGAUUUGUCAAUUUCUAAUUGUUCGUUAGUGGGGGUGUAGGGCCCAUCCUAAAAUUCAGGGGUGUGUUUGAUUAGUUCAGAAUGAAGUUACGUAGGAUACAUAGGAUGCAUUACGUAGUUCUAGCGUGUUUGGUAGUACGGGUACAACGGUACAUACAGAUGAUGCAUUGUUUAACAAUAUUAAAUUGAAACCAUGUACUACGAGGGUUAGCAAAUGGCAAAGACUAACAAUACACAAACCGCGCAAACAUAUGGGUCACUUUGCUGUACAUAAUCCUUCUCAUGUCAAACUGCAAGCAUUCAAUCAUUGGUGCACAAGGUAUAUACUAUAUUGAAGUCAACAACACUUAAAUUAAAAAAUACGGAUCGCACUCAAAAAAUAUUUAAGUGAUACAGAUCAGUAAAUUAGCUAGUUCUCUCUUCUUUUUUUUUGCGAGGUGGAGAUAGAGUACUAGCUAGCUUGCUAGUACUGGGUAAUCCUCACGUUGGCUGCCUAUAAAUAGCAUCCUGCUCCAUCAUAUUGGAAUGCACCAAUUAAGCAGCUAGCUAGCUCAUCUCCAUCCAUCGCAUCUGUUCUUCCUCAAUCCUCCACUACAACCACCCACCCAAUUCAUCAAUGGCUUCAUCUCUGAAGACGGCCGCUGCCGUCGCCGUGGCCGUUUGCGUCGUGCUUGUGCUGAACAUGGGCCAGCCUGUGGCAGCCACAGAAUGCAAAGAUUGUCUCGCCGACUGUGUUGGCGUUUGCGUCGACUACUCUGACACUGCGUGCAGCGGCAUCUGCACUGCCAAACCUCCUGCAUGCCAGUCAUGCAAGUACACGUCCUUCCUUACAUGCGGUGGCACAUGCUACGGCGCCUGUGCCCAUUUCUGCUAAAGCCUACAGUGGCUGUAAGCUGCAUGUGUGUGUUGGUACCUCGUUGCUGCUAAGCCAUGUAAUUAAGUGUACAAAUGCUAUUGCUCUGUGCAUAUGGCAAAUGUUCCUUCGUUCUAUUGUUCCUCUUCGUUUUAUUAAUUGUUCCCCUUUGUUUCGACCAUCAGUAAAUAUAUAUGCAUGUGUGCAAGUCAUGUACUCCUAUAUAUGAUUUCUACUUCUUUCUAUCAUGUGUCUGACGUGCUCAUGCUGGGGUGGAUAACUGGAUAUCAGGUGAUACCACCUAUUACAUGCUCCCAUGCUAAAAAUAUUAAAAAGUCACAUUUAGAGUUUUCAAAAAAAUUGAAAACAAUUAUGGAUGUUCACAAGACAUACGUCUAUAACCCCUAAAUAUUCAGAUCAAAAUUCGAAAUAUACAUUGAGAAACAAAAAAAAAUCUGUAUGUGAAUAGUGUCAUUCCUGACACUGUUCAUGUUUCUUCUUCUUUUACACUAUUCAUUCUAGAUUUGUCAUUUUUGUUUCUCAAUAGGUAUUUUAAAUUUGGGUCUGUUUUUUUAGGGGACUUACACAUAUCUCUUGUGAACAUCCACAAAGUUUUUCAGAAUUUUUUUAAACAUCUAAAUGUGAUUUUUGAAAAGUGGUAUCAUGGUAGCAUAUAAAGGGUGGUAUCACCUGAUAUUUUCCAGCUCAUACGGUGCUUAUAAAAUAGGGAUAAAUCAUUAUCUCAAGAACACAGUUACAAAAUACGUAGUUCAGCUCCCUCAUGCUAGGGGUUUGCCUCCCUCUCAGCGGCUGAUCUGACGGCGUAGCUCGCAUCUAAUUUCUUCACAACUUAUCUUCUUCUGGGCUAAAACUUCAGGUAUUAUGCAAAAUGAAAAAAAAUAGCGUGCUAUGACAAAAUAGUGUGGUCCUUCAAAUAUGCUAUUAGCGUGCUAUUAGCAAGACACGUUGUACACUGAGAUUUUAGCGACGCAUUGCUCAGAACGCUAUAGCAUGAUAUUAGCAACGCUAUUUUUUUGCUCAUCAUGCAUCACCAUGUCAAUUACAUGUAGAAAGUUUCACACCCUUUGGCUCGGAAUAAGAAAAAUAAGUACCAUAGGCCUGCAAAGUAGACCAAUAUAUAUGGAACUAAUUGAGUAUGCAAUUUAGGGAUACUUUAUGGCACUCUCCGUGGCAGCCACCGAUAUAUUGCUAGCUCAUUUUCUAAUGAUCAAGAAUCAUUGAACGAGUUUCUCAAUGGGAGCUUCAUGUAAUUAGUAACAUUGAUGAGGAAUUGUGUCGAUCCAAGAAUAACAUCUUUAUUAGCAUAUUACUAAUUAAGACCUAAAGAUAUAUACCACCUUUAAGCAUUUAUAGCUAGCAUAAAUCCAUCCAUGAUAGAUCCUUCUUCCUUCCACUCUGCCAUCAUGUAUUGGAUUUGGCUUUGGCUUUGGGGCUGGUUCAUCUGAAAUGCUCACAGACAUGGAGCUCUGACCUAUUUUCCUACGAAAUUGGACUAAUGUUUUCGUACUGAUGAAUUUAGGAAUAGUUGUGCUGCAUUUUGUUCACUGAUAUAUAGGGAUAGGGCAGUUUAUAAGUGCAGUACUUCGCUGAUGCCAGCAAGUUAGUAACCAUCUCUUACACAAGUUAACAAUUUCUUCUAUAACAAGUAGCUUAAUAUCAUUCACAAAUUAAUGUCCAGUGGUAUAGUAGCUUCUUCUAUUAAUGUCAACUCCAUUCACCAAUCAUUCACGACCAUGACAAAUCACACAAGUUUCCACACCUUCAUAAAUUUGGCGCCACCUUUUAGCAAUUUUAGAGAUCCAAAUUUGAGCGAUUGUGAUAUGGAUGCUCUUAAUCUCAUAUUGUUUCAUUCAUUGACACACACAUUCCGUAAAUGAAACGACUAAAAUAACUUUUAUUAUUAGAAUUACCAAUGACAAAUUCAUGAAACUUAUUUUAGUUUUAGGGCGUUUCAAAAUAUAAAAAAUAAUGCGUCCGUAGCUGAGCAUUUUUAAAUGAUUUUGGAAAAUGAAAUUACACAAGAACACUGUGUGAGAGCAGAAAAGAAAAAAGAAAUGCAAAAGAGUUAGUACAUCGGGCCGCAUGACCAUCUCUCUGCGGAACAGCUGGGCUACCGUUGGAGAACGUUUCCCACAGCGCUUAGAGCAUCUCCAACCGGCGCGCGAAAUUAGCGCCACGCUGGAAAAAUACUCUUUUUUGCACGCCUGCAGCCACUCCGGGCGCUGCAGCGGAGGCUCAAAAAAUGCGCGGGCGGCAUAAGUGGUUUAGCGCGCGGAGCGAAACGGCAUCGCCCGCCGCUUAUUUCGUGCGCCCGCUCCUGCGUGCUGCAGAGUGCCUGCGCCGCGACUUCCACCUACGGCCAAAUCCAGGCGCUGGCGUCACCGCCCGUACCACCCCAUUUGCUCCGGCGACACGAUGACGCUUCCCCGGCCUAUCCCCGCGUCACCGCUACUUCCUCCGCCUCCCUCUAGUCGCCGCCGCCCCUCGCGCCCGCCAUUCCUCUGACAAACAGCGCCUGGCCUCCCACUACCGCUCGACACCCAUAAGGUGUUCGACAAAAAGCUUGCAAGGUAUGUAUUGCUUCAACUUCACAUUUUUUACAUGAAUUUGGUGCAUGUUGUUUGUACUUUUUAUAGACUAGUUUAAAUUCAAUAUUGUAGAUGAGUUUGUCGUAUGAUUCUUCUGAAGAAGAAUUUGAUAUUGCAGAGGAGGAGGACCUUGUAAUGAUCCUAGCUAUGCACAUCAAUAAAAAAGCCGAAGCACGGUGGUUCGGUUGUUGGUCGGCAAGAAAUUUGGAGGGAUAAGAUCGAUGCCGGCAACCGAUUGAUGAGGCACUAUUUUGUGGGGAAUCCCACAUACCCCGAGUCGUACUUCCGGCGCCGUUUUAGGAUGAGCACCGAGUUAUUCAGGCGCAUUGCAGAGAAACUGGCGAGCCAUGAUCGGUUUUUCAGCAAAGGAGGAAUGCUGCCGGAGAACUCGGGCAUAGCACCUUUCAAAAGGUGACAGCCGCUUUGCGUAUGUUGGCAUACGGUAUUCCGGCUGAUUUAGUUGAUCACCACUUGGCCAUGGGUGAGAGUCAAGCCAUCAUGUAUGUCAAGCGCUUCGCAGUCGAAAUUGUGCAAGUGUUUGGUCCGGAGUAUUUGAGAUCUUCCAAUGCUAGAGAUGCCGCAAAGGUUUUUGGAGAUGAACAAAGCUCGCGGGUUCCCAGGUAUGCUUGGCUCAAUAGAUUGCGUGCAUUGGAGCUGGAAGAACUCUCCUAAGGCAUGGAAUGGACAAUUCCACCGCCAGAAAAAGGGUUCCACUAUAAUCCUUGAAGCGGUGGCCGAUCAAGAGACUUGGAUUUGGCAUGCUUUUUUUGGAAUGUCUUGAUCUUUGAAUGACAUCAACGUUGUUAAUCGGUCACCACUCAUGAAUAAGAUUGCAAAUGGUGAACAGCCACCAGUGCAGUUUGUAGCAAAUGGCCAUACAUGCAACCAUGGCUACUAUCUUGCGGAUGGUAUCUACCCAAAGUGGCAAGCAUUUGUGAAGUCGUUGAAUAAACCGAAAGGCAAGUAAAAUCUAGAUUCCCACAAUGCUCAGGCGGCGGCUAGGAAAGUUGUGGAGAGAUUUUGCGAUUUUGCAAGCCCAAUUUGCUAUUGUGAGAGGACCGGCUAGAUUUUGGGAUCAAAAGAUCCUUUGGUACAUCAUGCAUGCUUGUGUGAUCAUGCAUAACAUGAUCAUCGAGAAUGAGUAUGGCCAAGAUUUAGGCUACUCUCAGUAUGAGCUCUUGAAACAUCCCGUGCGAGUGCGGCGGAGGGCUGCGAGCGUGGCACGAUUUGUUGCCUCCUAUCAUGCCAUUCGACGCGUCGAAAACAUGAUGAUCUUCAGAACGAUCUAAUCGAAGAGUGGUGGGCAUGGAAUGACCGGCAAAAUGAGUGAUUUGUAUGUUUGAUGUUGUAUUGUUGAACUAUUUGUUGUUUUGAAAUAUAAACUAUUUGUUUGAGUUGUAAUAAAAUUAAACUAUUUAUUGUUGAUUUAUUUUUUAUGUGUUCUAUCUUCUUGGUUUUGUUUGAAGUGUCAAGUGUUGUUUGUGCUGGGUGCGCGCGCCGUUUCUUUGCAGCGCCUGCUGAAACGGCUCCCGCGCGCUAUAUUUUGCGGCGGCCGCUGAAGCCAGCGCUCAGCCGUGCGCAAAAACUGGCUAUUUCGACGUUGUAAAGCUUUUUUUUUGCGCGUCGCGCGCCUUUGAAGAUGCUCUUACGGGCCCUAAUAUCUAUCUUUGGCCAGCGACCAGCAACAUCAGAUGGCAUUAGUUCUCUUCUCUCCCUUUCCAUAAAGGAAUGAUCGGGCCGAGGUUGCCCAAUUUUGCCACGGCCUCUAGCCAACCACCCCAAUUUUGCAACGUCAGUCCUGAGCGCCGGCGCACCGGCCGAAAGUUUCAGCGGGUCGGCCCACAGCCGCUCGAUUCCAGCCCGUGUAACCGUUCGAUUGGAUCCCCACGUCGUCUUCUUCCUUUCCGCCCUCGUCUUCGAUUCAGAUCGCGUGUCUUCUUCUCCCCCCCCCCCUCCGCCAGCCGCCCGCAACCCCGCGCUCAUCCCUAGGCCGCCCUGCUCGUCGGCCACCCGCGCCGCCCUGGUCGUCCUCUCCCCCUGUGCUCGUCGGCUACUAGAGAUGGCAGCUGUAACAAAAACACCAUGCAGCAAAUAACACCGCGCUCCGCCAUGGCUAUGGUUGCAGCUCCAUUGUAGGUGGUUGUAUCAAUUUUCGGUACCAGUCGUAGCAAACGCCGACAAUGGUUGCAGCAAAAAACAGUAGUCGUCACCGCCGCCGCUGAUGCCAAACAGUCAUCGUCGCCGUCGCCGCUGAUGCCCGUUCGUUGUAGCACUCCGUCGCAACAUCCUGGCUCGCUGGUUCCAACAAAAUCGAGCCUUGGUUCCAGCAAAAAUCGUCUCGCCGCCGAGCCAACGGACCUCGCCGUGCUGCCCGUUGCAGCUCGCCAUGCCGCCGGUUGUAGCAAAAUGAAAUGCUGAUUGUAGCAAAAAUCGCGACGCCAUGUGCGAUGUAGCAAAAUGCGACACCGGUGGUAGCAUAAUAUGAUGUCGAUUGUAGCAAAUUGCGAUGCCGGAUGAAGCAUGUAGCAAAAAAGACGAUGCAGGUUGUUGCUCGGUGCAGCGCCGCCCCAUGGUCACCUUGCUCGCCGUUCAUGGUCGUAAUUCCCCCGACACCGUUUGCAUCUCCCUCCAACAAAAACUGGAUGUAGCUCCUCCGCCCACUGGUUGCAGCUCUUGCGUACCGGGGUUGCAGCUCCUGGCUGUAGGAGAUAUGCCCUAGAGGCAAUAAUAAAUGAUAUUAUUUAUCUCCGAGUUCAUAAUUAUGUUUAUGUUCCAUGCUAUAACUGCUAUGGUUCUCGAGUCUGCAAUAACCACGAGGCUCGGAGGAAGACUCAUAUGCACAUGUGGAAUAAUAAACGGUAAAAUGUAUUCCUAGUCUGGCCUCUAAGACUAGCUCAAGUGUUGCAUGAUGGUUAUGUUUUCCUGAUCAUGGGCAUGUCUAUGUCAGCAACCUUGAGGGCACAAUGUUAAGAGAACAUUUGUGUUGAAUCGACCCGGAUUGAUGUUACGCUAUGAGAUUCAUUCGUCACAAGUUUAUUGGUACAUAACACAGAGAUGGUUAAAAUUUGCAUGAUUCCUUAGACCAUGAGAGUAUCGAGUUUCUUCAUGCUUGCUUCAUGAACUUUGGGGUUUGUUAAACGUCAUCCGUAAAUGGGUGGCUAUUACGGCGGCUUACGGGUUCAUGGAAAAGUGUGUCAAUUAACUUGAUAGCUCAAGAUUGGGAUUUGCUCCUCCGACGAUGGAGAGAUAUCUCUGGGCCCUCUCGGUGUUACGGUAUCCAUCAUCGUCUGGCCAGACACUUUGUGAUUUGAUCACGGGGAUGCCGGAACACGAUAACGAGAAAAGAGAACAAUACCGGUAACGAGGUAACUAGCAUAGUGGACAAGUUGUUGAUCCACCGGAAUGCCAACAUGUCUCACCUCGGGUAUUUGUAACAUAUCGCGAAGCAACAGGAAUAGCACACGACAACUGGAGGUUCACUCGAAUAUUUAUUCGUGUGGGUAUAGGGGUCAAUAUGGGUGUCCACGGCUCCGAUGUUGAUCAUUGAUCGGAAGGGGUUCCGGGUCAUGUCUAUACUUCACCGAACCUAUAGGGUCACACGCUUAAGGGUCAUCUAUCUGCUGAAUACUAGACAGGGAGUCUGAGAGAAAAUCACCGAAAAAGUUUUGGACACCGAAAAGUUUCGGACAGCGGAAUCGUACCGCAGAGAGAGGUCAUCGGAUAAGUUUCGAUGAUACCGAAAAGUUGUUUCGGGAUACACCAUUAAGUCAAAUUGGUUUCGGCACAUGCCUGAUAAUUCUUGGAGGAUGCCAGAAUCAUUCUGGAAGCUUUUUGGAAUUUUCUGAGAUAAAAACCGGAAAUGUUCCGGAGCUGCCGGAGCCACUUCAGAUGCGUUUCGCAGAUGAAAAUCACUAAAACCGGAAUUGUUUCGGAACGCGUUGAAAAUCAUUUUAGUGGGUACUGGAAAUGUUCUUAGCCCACAUAAAUAUUUUCAGUUCGAUCAGACGCUGAAAAAUGUCAUCGUGAAUAGUGAAAAUCAGCUUUAUGGUUACUUUAUGGAAAGCCACCUUUUGGGGCUUUGCUCCAAAAGAUCUUGGGGAUGACAUGGAUGGAUAGGAGCCAUUUUUGGGGCCCCUCAUGGGGGUGUGGCCGGCCACAUGGGGUAUCCCCCCUUGGGGACCCUCUAGUUCCUUGGUUUCACUCCUAGGUCCUUGUGGAAGGACUUCAUUCAUGUGCAUUUUGGGUUUUUUGUGAAACUACCCUACCCCCUUGGGAUUUCCUAUAAAUAGAGGUGGAGGGUCAGCCCUCCACACUCAUCCCUUGCUCUCAUACACAUGCCAUGCAUUAUCUGGCUUCUUCCCUCCCUCCCACGAAAAGAGUUUCGUAGAGCCGUAAGGCUGUCUGGGUUCCGGCAGGAACUAGUUCUGGACGGCGAAGCCCUGCCGGAUAGAUGACACCGUAUGUGUGCAACUCUGUAGAGAGAUCGUAGUUUCGGUCUUAGUUCGUGAGUGCCUCCCGAAGGGCUGUCCGUGUGACCGUCCGAGUUUCGAAGGUCCUCCCGAAGGGCUGUCCGAGUGACCGUUCGAGUUUCGAAGGUCCUCCCGAAGGGCUGUCCGCGACACCGUCCGGGGGGCUGUUCGACCGCCUCCUGGAGGGCUGUCUGAGGAGCAUAUGAGGGUAUACAUCCUCGCGGUUGGGAGGUUGUAAAUCCUAGCUGCGGGGAUCUGCACCGCCGAUCGUCAUCGACUCUACUUCCCGCUGCGCUAUGAGUCGGUAACGAAAAAGAUCAAACCAUGUAUGCAGUCUCCAUAGUGGUCCUGGGCUGGUGCGUAGGUCGGAAAUUUUUUGUUUUCUGCUGCGUUCUCUUACAGUGGCAUGAAGAGCCGUGCUAUGCGUAGAUGCAGGUUUCGAUCUAGAAUACAUGGAGAUGUAUGGGUAUUGCAUAAUAUAAUUAGGUAGUAGAUGAGAUCUAUUGCUGAAAAUUAUUUAUGCGGGUGACAGAUGAAAUCUGUUACCCGAGGUUCUUGUUGCUUCCCUAGAAUUUGCGUUUGCUCAAUCUCGAGACAGCAUGGUGGAAUUUGACAAAGUUCUGGCAAUCCGUGAUCCUGAUUGAUCAUGGAAGUGCUAUCAGUUCUUUGGGUUCUGCCGUAGUCAAAAGAAAGAUGAAAUUCGCAGAUGAAAGGGCAUUGCAGAUAUGAUCUGCACGGGGGUCAUGCGUAUGACGAAGUUUAGUAUGGGGCUCGAGAUUUAAUUAUCCCGUGUUUCAUACACCCCGAGAUGUUAAUGUAGCAACUUGAAUAAUCAUACUUGAUGAUAAAACGUUGGUAGCUGCGGUUUAAGUCAAAACCUUAGAAGCCACGUAAAAUAAAUUUUUGCAUAAACCUAUUAGAGGCGUCUAACUUGGUUUUGCAGGAUGUGCAUGUGAUGUGGUAUAGCAGUGCUCAUACUAAUUCGAUUAUGUAUGAGAUGACUAUAUGAUGUAAUUUGAUUAACAUGACCUGCGUGUCAUGAUUCGGCAUGAUGGCUGGAGCCAUAUGAUUGCACUUUAAUGACCUGCGUGUCAACCUUGUUGUAAUGCAUUAUUUUGUUAGCUAUAGAGAUAGCAAUAUUAUCUGGUGCAUCGACAAGGUGGUGGCAAUCUUCGCGAAGGUGAACACCGACGCGAAUGCCGAAGACGAAGAAAUAAAAUACUUCUCCGUCAGAAAGGGCUAUACCAUAUCAUGCUAUUAUGAAUUGCCUGAGAUGUUUAUCCCUUAUGAUGCACCCUUCUUGAUUGCGCGGUAGUCGCUUUUAUUAGGGUGAUCUCUCACUUAAAAUAUCAAGUAGUUAGUGUUCUCCCAAGUGUAGCACCGUCACGGCACCUAUCUUUUCGGGGUGCGCCAUGGAUGCAUGGGUACGAACGAUUAGAGAAGUGUGAGGCGGGUGAGGUCAGACCUCGCAGCAAGAUCACUUGGUUGUCUUGACGUUCAUGGCAGGAUCGUCCUGAGCUCGGAACACACGCAUCGAAAGAUGAGCAAGAGUCACAUAGAGAUGUGAUCGGCAAGUUGGCCUACCGAUUAAAAUUCCCGUUAUGAGAUGAUGAUUCUAUGGCGAUGAAUUGAAGUCUGGAUCUUGUAUCACUCAAAAUUAAUUGUGAGAGAUAUUGAUUUGAGUGGGAGCGCACUGUUGAAUUAACAUGUUUAAUUCUAAGUGCAAUUAAUUAUGAACACUGUCUAAGUGUUUCUUGCAAAAUAGUUGUAGAUUAAUGGCUCGCGUUUCCACCUUCCCUAUUAAAAUUGAAUAACUGUUAAAUAUCUGGUUAAAACUUUACGAUUGGUAACGUAAUAUGAGGAUUGUCCUCAAAAGUGCCGAGAAGGACUUUGUCCUAUCGCAUGCUUUCCGUAUCCUCCCGCUAAUGCUAUGGAUCAUGUGACUCGUCCUUCGAUCCAAAAGCUAGGAUUCUGUUACAGUCAAGUGGAAUAUGUUUGCUUCCAUGAAACCCAAACUUCGAAAGUUGGGAUAGUUAUAUGAUAUUCAUGGAACUGAAAAUUAUUUUCAGAUACAAACAAAGCAAUGUUUGUUUGCAAGUAUUAGUAAAAGUGUUUACUAUGCAUUUGACUGUUGGGAAAGGGAUCCAGAAGAACGCCUGUCAUAUAAUGAAAGGUGAAUAAAACAACAACUUAAAGAGAAAGGAAGUGUCCAAAGGGUGUUAGUAUGACUUACACGCCUAGGAAGUCCGGGGCUAAUGCCACUCUUAAGUUGGGUGCUUCUUCUGAGAGUAGGAGAAAUACUAAAAGUUAAACUGUUAGAAGUAUAAAGGCAAAAGGAAAGAAGACUGGAAUAUCCAGCUCAUGUAUGAAUGUCAUACAAGUUUUUGAUGUAUAGAAGGCUGGUCAAAGAUAUAGUUCUUGCGAAUUAUGGUUAAACAUGUUAAUCACUAAUUCUUGGGUAUUGUGAGUUCAUCACAAAAUUGCCCGCUCGAUUGCAUUCUGUUGCAACUCGAUGUAAGAACUACUAUGGCCUGAAAGACUAGCUAGAAAUGAAGUUAAGGUAUACACAGGGAACAUAGUAAAUGUUACUAUACCUUCCAUUAGUGUAUUGCCGUCUAUUUAUUUUCAUAAUUCAUUUAGAGUUUUACAAACUCUAUCCCAUUGCAUAAAGUAUCUUGCAAGAAGGUUGUUCAUAAGAGAACUUUUUAUGUUCGAUGUUAUGAAUAACACAAGGGCCAUACUUUCAUUAUGAAUGAGAUGUAUGUUAUGAAUAUUGAUAAUAAUACAAUACCUCUGGGUUUACUUUCAUAAUUCAUUUUAGAGUUUCAUACACUCUAGCCCAUUGCACAAUGUUUGUUGCAAAAGAGUUGUUCAUAAAAACAACAAUUGUUGUUAAGUAUUAUGAAUAACAUGAAGGGCCAUGCUUCCAUCCAAGAUGGCAUGUAUGUUAUGAAUAUUGAUGGUAAUAUGAUACAUCCAUAACACUGACGCUAAAUGUCGCAAGACUAAAAGAAUACCACACAAGUGUGGCACUACAUUUGGUCACAUUGGAGAAACCGCAUGGAAAAUUCCACUAUGAUGGAUUUUGAAGUCUUCUUGAUUUUGAAUCACCUGACACUUGCAACUUUCCUCCAAAAAGUGAAGUGACUAAAAUACCGUUCACAGGCCAUAAGGAACGAACAACAAACUUAUUAGUGAUCAUACAUUUGAUGUGUGUAGUCCGGUAAGUGUUGUUAGUGGUGGAUUUAUUUAUCUUCAGAAAUGACUCAAGUAGAUAUAUGGGUAUUUACUUGAUGAGACGUAAGUCUGGAUCUUUUCAAAUCAUUCGAAAGGUUCUCAAAAAUGAAGUAGAAGUUAUUGUAACAAGAAAAAUUAUGUUUCUGCAAUUUGAUUGCACAAAGGAAUAUUUGAGUUACAUGUUUAGCGAAUGUCUGAUGAGUUGUGAAAGGGGUUUCAUAACUUGCACCUCCCGGAACACCACUGCAAGUGGAAAGUCUGUGGAGAUGUAAUUAAACCAUUUAUGACAUGGUAAGGUGAAAGAUGACAUAAAUAAAUUUGCCAUUAUCCCUUUUAAAGUGAUGCUUUAGAGACUGCGGUUUUUACACUGAAAAGAGCUACAUCGGGUCUGUUGAAAUGAAGCCAUGGUAUGGUACGCCCAACCAUGUUAUAUCUUUUCUUAACAUUUGGAGUAUGGGGCUUGUGUAAAAGGUUACAAACCUAUUCCAAAUCAGACAAGUGCUACUUUGUAGGUUAUACCAAAAUGUUGGGUAUUCCUCCCUCACUAUACCGAGGCAAAUAGUUUUGCCGCGAAACGGUGUGCUUUUAAAGAGAAUGGUUCUUUCAAAAAGGUGAGUGGGAGAAUAGUGCAACUCGACGAGAUAAACAGUAUCUACGUCAUCAGAUCAAAGGAAAGAGACCUUGGAAGUAAUUCCAUAGUUUCCUACCGCGACUGAUACGGAAGUCUCUACAAUAAAAUGUAUGAACUUCGGUCGAACUUGCAGCUGAACCACGUAGGCAAGGCUCGUGCAAACCUCUCAGGUGCGCAAACGAGAUAUUGUUGUUAGACAACAUUAUACCUACGAUACACAAGGAAGCAUUGAUGGGCCCUGACUCCGGAAUUGGCUAAAUGCCAAUACAACCCGAGUUAGUUUCCAUAUAAGUGAUUCAAGAUUAAAACCUUGAUACACCUUUCGGAAGACUUAGAGUCUAAAGAAUAUUUAUGGAACUUAAAACUGAUACGGAUAAAAUGUUUUAUCCAUAAAGCUCGACUUGUUGGAAUAACAAGUUCAAGAGUUGACUACGAUGAGGUUGUUUUCAUCGUAGCGAUGCUUAAAGUCGGUUCGGGUUGAACUAGCAAUUAAUACAUAUUUCAAUCAUGAGAUAUGAAACAUGGAUGAUAAAAGGAUUUCCAUCUAAUGGAAAUGAAAGCUAGGACUUGUAUAUGAUACAGUCCAAAGUAAUUUGUCGAUCCAGAGGAUGCUAGUAGGUAUGCAAACUUCAGAGUUCCAGCAAUGGACAGAAGAGAGCAAAAUGGAGUUGGAAUCUUCGGGUUUUGAUGAAAUGGUCAAAGGGGUUUUGACUUCAUCAAUGGGUAACGAAGAUGCUUGUAAUUCAAGAAAGUAAGUGGGAGCGUAAUAAUAUUUCUAAAAACCUUAUGUGCUUGGCACAUUGGUAAUUGGAAAUAAAUUUCUUGACACAAAUUAGGACUUCAUUUGAAAAUAGUUUUUCGAUGAAGUGCUUAGGCUAAAUAGCCUCAAUAUUAGGCAUGAUGAUCUAUGGAGAUAGAUUUACCUAAUGGGGCUAAGCAAUGAAUACAUGUUGACAAGAUGCUAAAACCUUUUAGCAUUUAAAACGCCAAGGAGUGAUUCUUGCCAAAGUCACAUGGAAAGAGUUUUUGCAAGACUCGGUGUCCCAAAACACUGAUGAGUAAAAUACAUGAUGCAGAUUACACACACUUUUGUGUUUGGAUUAAUCAUGUAUUCCAUGGUAUGUAAAACAACCAGAUAUGUCCGAUACUCCCAUGGUGUUGCGAGUAUGGAUACUAAAGUGAUCAAAGUACUGAUCGUGGGACAACAGUGAAAGAUGUCAUUGAGUACUAGAGUAAGUACUGAUGAUAUGUUUUCUUGCAAGCGGAGAUCAUGAAGAGUUCGUUGUAAAAUGUUACAUCGAUAGUCUUCAUCUUUUCACCGUGCGAUUUUCGAUUUAAGUUAAGGGUUUUGUGUAACACACAUUGUGGUGGCACAGUUAGUUGGAAUUUGUUCAAACUAGUUACUGUGGCAAAUUCUAUAACAAGGGCUAAGUAUGUUGACGCUUUAGAAGCGACAAAGAAGAUGUUGAAUCAUAUAGUUCAUUCAUGAACUUAGUAUAGUUCCAAGAUGGCUUUUGACAAUGGGACACUACUGCAGGUAGUUGCUCCAAAACUCAGUCUGAGGAAUCCAGGUUCGACCUGUGAUUCACAUACAUACAAAGCCAAGUCCACAUAAAAUAUGAAUUUUGUGAAAACGUGAAAACACGAGGACAUGCAAUGAUACACACGGAACUGAAGUCGUCAGAUCCGUUGGACAUCAGGCUAUACCACAAGCGAAGCAUAUUUACACCGGUGUGCCACAGGUGUAAAGUGCAUUAGCAUUAACUAGAUUAUUGACUCUAGUGCAAGUGGGAGUCUGUAGGAGAUAUGCCCUAGAGGCAAUAAUAAAUGAUAUUAUUUAUCUCCGAGUUCAUAAUUAUGUUUAUGUUCCAUGCUAUAACUGCUAUGGUUCUCGAGUCUGCAAUAACCACGAGGCUCGGAGGAAGACUCAUAUGCACGUGUGGAAUAAUAAACGGUAAAAUGUAUUCCUAGUCUGGCCUCUAAGACUAGCUCAAGUGUUGCAUGAUGGUUAUGUUUUCCUGAUCAUGGGCAUGUCUAUGUCAGCAACCUUGAGGGCACAAUGUUAAGAGAACAUUUGUGUUGAAUCGACCCGGAUUGAUGUUAUGCUAUGAGAUUCAUUCGUCACAAGUUUAUUGGUACAUAACACAGAGAUGGUUAAAGUUUGCAUGAUUCCUUAGACCAUGAGAGUAUCGAGUUUCUUCAUGCUUGCUUCAUGAACUUUGGGGUUUGUUAAACGUCAUCCGUAAAUGGGUGGCUAUUACGGCGGCUUACGGGUUCAUGGAAAAGUGUGCCAAAUAACUUGAUAGCUCAAGAUUGGGAUUUGCUCCUCCGACGAUGGAGAGAUAUCUCUGGGCCCUCUCGAUGUUACGGUAUCCAUCAUCGUCUGGCCAGACACUUUGUGAUUUGAUCACGGGGAUGCCGGAACACGAUAACGAGAAAAGAGAACAAUACCGGUAACGAGGUAACUAGCAUAGUGGACAAGUUGUUGAUCCACCGGAAUGCCAACAUGUCUCACCUCGGGUAUUUGUAACAUAUCGCGAAGCAACAGGAAUAGCACACGACAACUGGAGGUUCACUCGAAUAUUUAUUCGUGUGGGUAUAGGGGUCAAUAUGGGUGUCCACGGCUCCGAUGUUGAUCAUUGAUCGGAAGGGGUUCCGGGUCAUGUCUAUACUUCACCGAACCUAUAGGGUCACACGCUUAAGGGUCAUCUAUCUGCUGAAUACUAGACAGGGAGUCUGAGAGAAAAUCACCGAAAAAGUUUCGGACACCGAAAAGUUUCGGACAGGGGAAUCGUACCGCAGAGAGAGGUCAUCGGAUAAGUUUCGAUGAUACCGAAAAGUUGUUUCGGGAUACACCAUUAAGUCAAAUUGGUUUCCGCACAUGCCUGAUAAUUCUUGGAGGAUGCCAGAAUCAUUCUGGAAGCUUUUUGGAAUUUUCUGAGAUAAAAACCGGAAAUGUUCCGGAGCUGCCGGAGCCACUUCAGAUGCGUUUCGCAGAUGAAAAUCACUAAAACCGGAAUUGUUUCGGAACGCGUUGAAAAUCAUUUUAGUGGGUACUGGAAAUGUUCUUAGCCCACAUAAAUAUUUUCAGUUCGAUCAGACGCUGAAAAAUGUCAUCGUGAAUAGUGAAAAUCAGCUUUAUGGUUACUUUAUGGAAAGCCACCUUUUGGGGCUUUGCUCCAAAAGAUCUUGGGGAUGACAUGGAUGGAUAGGAGCCAUUUUUGGGGCCCCUCAUGGGGGUGUGGCCGGCCACAUGGGGUAUCCCCCCUUGGGGACCCUCUAGUUCCUUGGUUUCACUCCUAGGUCCUUGUGGAAGGACUUCAUUCAUGUGCAUUUUUGGUUUUUUGUGAAACUACCCUACCCCCUUGGGAUUUCCUAUAAAUAGAGGUGGAGGGUCAGCCCUCCACACUCAUCCCUUGCUCUCAUACACAUGCCAUGCAUUAUCUGGCUUCUUCUCUCCCUCCCACGAAAAGAGUUUCGUAGAGCCGUAAGGCUGUCUGGGUUCCGGCAGGAACUAGUUCUGGACGGCGAAGCCCUGCCGGAUAGAUGACACCGUAUGUGUGCAACUCUGUAGAGAGAUCGUAGUUUCGGUCUUAGUUCGUGAGUGCCUCCCGAAGGGCUGUCCGUGUGACCGUCCGAGUUUCGAAGGUCCUCCCGAAGGGCUGUCCGAGUGACCGUUCGAGUUUCGAAGGUCCUCCCGAAGGGCUGUCCGCGACACCGUCCGGGGGGCUGUUCGACCGCCUCCUGGAGGGCUGUCUGAGGAGCAGAUGAGGGUAUACAUCCUCGCGGUUGGGAGGUUGUAAAUCCUAGCUGCGGGGAUCUGCACCGCCGAUCGUCAUCGACUCUACUUCCCGCUGCGCUAUGAGUCGGUAACGAAAAAGAUCAAACCAUGUAUGCAGUCUCCAUAGUGGUCCUGGGCUGGUGCGUAGGUCGGAAAUUUUUUGUUUUCUGCUGCGUUCCCCUACACUGGCAUGGCUGGUAGUAGCUCCAUCGGCGAGAGGGGGUUAGGGGAGUAUGAAGGGAGGCCGCCGCAUGGAGCUGUAGGAGGAAAAACGGGGGAAAUCCAUCGCAGAGGGAGGAAGAUGAAGAAAGCAAUGUAUACGAGAUGGGAAUUGUGUGGACGAGGGGUGCUGCGGCUUGCGGAUAAGGACUGUUGCGUGUGGGGACCCACGGACGCAUGCGUGUGUGCAGGGAGAGGUGCGAGUGCGCGAGACAGCCAGCACGGACCGGCCGAAAGUUCGGCCGGCAGACCGAUUAUAAACGUUUCCCGUUUUGCAAUCGGGCGUAGCCAAGCCAACGAAUGCUUCUCUUCUCUCCUACCAGAACCUGAUUUUUAGUAAUCAGGUGCUCCAAAGUGAAAAUGUGUGUCUAGUGUGCAUUAUAAAGUGCCUAGGAAGACAAUACAUGCAUGUCCAUCCUUGGGCAGCAUAGCAGCCAACCCUAUCCUACCACGUGGUGGCAAUUGUUUAUGGAGUAGGUUGAUCUCACGGCAACAUGGCCAUGUGAGUAUCAGUUAAGUAUUACUAAUACUUGUCGUUCAAACGGAUCUAUCUAGAAACGAAGAGAGACCCUUAUCUCGUGGGACUCAGCUCCCCUGACGAACUGCAGAAUGCAGUUGACUCAUUGACUGGUGGGCCCACACGUUAAUGGGCCGACUACUCCCUGCAGUACGUCAGAGGAGCCUCGUCCCAUCUCGUCGGACGCACACGGCAAGAAGACGGCCAUCCGGAUCUGCUGACCAGGAAAGACCGCCGAUGGCUACCAUCGCCCUCACGGCAGAAGAGUACGUUGCCGUGCAGUCCACCGACGUGGAAGAAAAAUUUAUCAGUUCUACUUGCAUAUAGUAUAUUGUCUAAUAAGUAGUGACCUUCAUAAGGAAUUGCGUGGAUCCAAGGUCAACAUCUUAAUUAGCAUACUACUAAGAUUCGAAGAUAUAUGCUAUGCAUAUUAGAUUCGCCUCGAGUCAAACUUUAUAAAUUUUGAUCAAGUUCAUCCAAAAAAUUGUGAACAUCCACAAUAUCAAAUCAACAUCAUCAUAAUCAUCCUUGAAUAUAUUUUCAUGUCAUAUAUGCCGGCCCAUAGUGACACGAAAGCUUCUACGUGGUAUGCCAUCAACCUUCAAUCCGGGUAGCGCAAAGUCAACCGCUCGAGCUGCUUCCAUCCAUGCACGCAUCAGGCUGACCUCCAACCGGGAGAGAUGCCCUUAAGGCGUAUACAAUGGUACUAUUUUAGAAAUGUCACGUAGGAUAAUUACUAUGGUGAUGGAAAGAGAAACAAAUAAAAAAAGUGUUCCAUUUCUUUUAAAUAAGAGAUGAUCUUUUAGUACAAUAUCUUUUACCAUUACUCCUUGUAUAUGAGAAUAUCUUUUUAUUACAGAUGAAAGUAAGAGAUAGCCCACUGUACCCAUGAUUUUUUAUCAUCUCUAAACUAUAUGGUAGGCUUAAAAGAUAAAAUUGUCUUCUCAACCAUUGUAUAUGCUUUUAGUAGGUUUUUGGCUGGGGUAACAAGUAUAGUUCUCCAAGAAAAAUCUCCUUCCUCCUUCCGCCUGCGCCGCCGCCGAUCCGCCCCACCUCCAAUGGCCCUUCGGUUGUGGAGGUGUGGAGGAUCUCGGCCCCCCUCGGCAGGACGGACCCCGUUCUCGCUUUUGUUAGGUUCAAUGUCUUGGUUGGAGCUGUGUGGCGGUGCGAUGUCCCUUUCUACGAAUAAUGUCUCCCAUGUCACAUCCCUGUCUCGAUGGUGCAAAUAGCAUUGUCGGAGGAUGUGUGAAGGUGUGUCUCUGUCAGAUCUCGUGAGAUUUGGUCGGUGCUGGUCUUCGGUGCAUCUAGUUGGAUCCAGUUUUUGUUCGUCUUCAUUCGUGUAGUUUCAGGUUUGAUCUUUCCGAUCUACAAGUCUCUUCAUCGGUGAUGGUUGCUGUUCUGGUGCGAUGUUCCUUUGGGGCCAUAGCAUCACAACUUCCCGACUGGCUACUACAACGAGGUUUGUCCGGCUCCAGUGCUUGUAGUCAUCGCUAGGUGGUCCACAGACCUGGUUGUAAUUCUUAUUACCUGUUGUGUUCUCUGUAUUGUCAUGAUUGAUAAAUAGAUUGAAAUUUCUUCUCGAGGAAUAAAGUAGGUUUUGCUAAUAGUGAUAAAUUAUGUGACAUGCACAUCAGAUGGAUUAGUAAUCUAAUUGUUGUACAGCAGAUGGGGGAGGAAACACGUCCGCCAGAGGAGAUCGGGUUUCCGCAGCCGGCAAACCAACCCUCGCCGGACGGUGUUGUGAUCGGGCCGCCGCGGAUCCCCGCAUCCUCUCCAAGUGCUCCUAUGGCGGCGCCGCCAGGAGGAAAGGAGGGCCCGGCGAGAUCGCGAGGCUCUGAUCACGGAGUCAUGGCGCAUGUAGAGAUCGGGCAGGAGAGGACAAGAUCGGGACAAUGGCGGGUUCAUUUCUCCGAUGGGACGGAUCCCGGCAAAUGGGUCGAAGGCCAUCUCCGAUUUACUCCAAAGUCGCGCUGGAUGGUUCUCCUAGAUUUGGAGAACGACAUGCUAGCCGGUGAUUACCUUCCGAACGACGACUUGAUCGAGGUAGGGCUCCAUUUCAUGACUGAUAUUUAUGAUGUGGUUGUUCCGUCCUUGUGUGCAGGUUGAUCUGGUUCUGGAGGCAGUGGAGCUAGAUGAUCUGACGGAGACGAUAGAACGUGGAAGACCGGGAGGGCGCUUUUGGGCUCUAGAACAGGCUGAGAAACAAGCCUCGCCGGAUCUGCUUGAGGUCUUGAAGGAUACGGGACCGAUGAAGCCGUCAGAGUUCAAAUCGGUACCCGAUCGGCAUCGGUCAAAGGUUCAACGACCCAAGCCGGCCGUGAAACCCUGGAUCGGCCUGAUCCCUAAGGUAUUUCAUGAACCCGUUACUUUGUCGGAUUUUAUUCAAGAAUCAUGGACUCUAGUUACUCGGAAGAACUAGGGAAAGAAAGGUCGGCCGCCGCUGCCGCCGUGGUCGCCAGCGACGAGAUCGGCGAGCGCAAUUCGAGCGGCCAGAAGGGCGCACUUGAAUUUGCUGCUGGGCCAAGGGAUCAAAAGGGAAGCGACGUUGAUCGUGGGAUCUCUAGGCUCGGGCGAGGCCCAGUUAGAAGCCCAAGCCACGUCCGACUCGCAUCUUACGUGCAUGCAAGUUUCACCGAUACCCGAGUCCUCGCUGAUCGCAGCUAGGGUUGUACACAUACCAGGCUUCCCGACUCUCGGCGCGGGGUGCGCGGCCAGGAUCCAUUGCGCCGGCAAGAUGGCUGGACGUGGACCACCGCCAGCCAAGCAUGGGCUGACGCCCGCCGCCGAAGCUGCCGGCGGCGGCCGAGGCGCUCUGCCUCCAGCUAGGCAAGGGCCGCCACUUGCGGCUACCAGUACCGCGGCGGGUCCGCAGGCAGGAACCGGCGGAGCCGGUCGUGGCGCUCCACCUCCCGUGAGGCAGGGGCCAAUGCCUGCCGCUUCAGGACCGUAGGCGCUGGUGCAGGCUGCUAGGAACGUGUGGCAGCCGGAGGAGCCGGCGAAGCCGCCGGCGGCCAAGGCGCCGGCCCUUGGAAGAGGUCGUGGUUCUCACCAUGGAUGGGAUGGUCACGGACAAGGUGGAUACGGUAGAGAUGGUCCGAGAAACCGGUACGGACAGUGGGGAGAUGAUGGUUAUGAUGCAUAUGGGGAGGGGAGCACCGUGGAUCAUCCUCCGGUGGCGGCCGAGGCUUCAACUGGUACAAUGGCGGCGGUCCAGGACGUGGAUUUCAGGGACCGCCCGGCAAUUUUGUUGAAGGUGUCACCGGCCCCAAUGAGCGUUUCCGGGGAGGUUAUCGGUGAGUCGGGAGAGGGGGUGGGAGGCGCCCACCUCCACCACGGCAACAUCCGCCGCCACCACCGCCGGCCCCGGGGGCAGUGUUGGACCAUACAGCUGGUGCGGCGGAGGCCACAACUACUGUGCCUGAGGUGGCGGUAGACACGGUCAGGGCCUUGGCGGCGGUGAAUAUUCUGGCGGCUUCUGGAGUCGCUAAGACUAGUGGUGGUGGGGUGGACAAAGGGUCGGACAAAGCACAGGGAGAAAAGCUUUCGAAGUGGGAAAUUACGAAGAAGAAAUUGCCUUGCUAUAGAUGUGGCGAACCAGGACACUUUGUGGCACACUGUACUAAUGAUCUACGUGACUAUUGCCUCAUAUCGCAGCAUGUACUAAUGAUCUACGUGACUAUUGCCUCAUAUCGCAGCAUGUGACCAGUGACUGCCCACUCUUGUCCGACCCUAAACCUGGCAUAAACAUUUUUUGGGUGUGCUGCAAGGAACAUAUGAUUUUUGAGACACUGGAGGUGGCUCCUUUGCCUCAGAUGGUUGAGAGUUCUUUCCCAGCAGUGGUUCGGGUUACUAAUGGACAGAUGACAGAGGCUCAGAUUGUGAGGCAGCUGUGUGAGCUCGUACCGGGUAAUUAUCAGUGGCAUCUUGAUAAGCGGGAGGACCAGGCUUACAAGGUGGAUUUUCCCACUAAAGAGCAUCAAUUGCAUAUUCUUAAGUGGGGUCUGUGCAGAGUUCUGAGUACCAACAUUAUCAAUGCAUUUGAUGAGUGGAAGCAGCAGGAACCAGAGGGUACACCUUUAGAGAAGGUUUGGGUACGGUUCUUUAGCGCACCACCUAAACUGAUUAAUCAUUUUCUGAUUUCCUGGAGCUUGGGAUCUUUGAUUGGCAAGACGAAAAAGGUUGACAUGCCCUUCACUCGUGCACAGGGGGCCGCGAGGCUGCUGGUCAUUGUUGUUAGUGUUGAGUUCGUGCCAGAUAUAGUUAGAUGGACACAUGCUGGAGUCACUUACAUUUUAGAGAUUGAGAUUGAGGACACUCCGACUUCCGAGGAUGGGGAUGAGAUUCAGGAUAUGGACACAACUGAGGGGGGCGGUGCACCCGGGAACAGGAUAAGGGGCCCAAGAACACACCACGGGAGUCGGCCAAGGGGCCAAAUGCGCAACCAGAUAAGGCGGAUAAGUCUGCCAAGGAGGCGCCACCGUCAACAACUCCGAUGAACACACUUCGGUUUGGUUCGUUUGGAGCGAGGUCGGCACCUAGUCGGUUAUGGAGCAACAGAGUUGAGGCGGACGACCCGGCGGAACUUGAGCUACCACCAGUGAUGGUCCCUGUCUGUGAGCCGACGGCGCUCCUUGACUCCGAACUGACGGUAAUGCAGAGAGAGAUGGAAGGCACCCCACAGCUGGCAGCACAGGGGACACGACACACUUCUGACAGUGGCCCAGACACGGUGGGUUCGAGGGACAUGAUGCUCUCAACGCCUGGUGGUCCGGUGGAUACUUGCGGGCUGACAGCAAUUGGGGGGUCAUGGGCAGGAGGCCCGUAGCGCCCUCCCACACGCGUCGGGCUCGAUCAGCUCGGGAGAGGCGCCUGGACAGGAGGUCCGAGGUGAUCGCUCUCUUCCGGUGAUACCCGGCGAGCUGGGGGAGAGGUGCAGGCCGCAGGCCCGUGGCUUACCUUCUGUGCAGGUCUCCACCGAGCAGCAUGGACAGGGACCGCGCCUUCGUGAUGGUGAGGGGGGAGCGGGACUAUCGAGCAGGUGGCUACACGGUCUCCUUCCCCCUUGGCUACUGUGGGCGAUACACGCUCCACCACGCCCUACCCUUCUUCACCGACGCUAGGGGAAGGGUGUGGGAGUCGGGUGCUAACACCUCGACAGAGGACAUCGGAGGAGCUUGUCGCUUUCGGUGGGAUCGCGGAUCCCGUGACGGCUGGCAGGCCUAUCAGCAGCCAGAUCCAGGGACAGCCGAACGCGGACGACCUGCAGCUAGCGCGCGCCAAGAGGGCGGCCAUGCUUUGCGAUGUUGGCGCUACUACAAGUAUGUCAUUUGAUAAGAGUUGUUCAAUUUUGCAUUACACAGAGAAUGAUAUAAUUGAUAAGGCAAAUGACUUAGGAAUCUCUUUGGGGUCAAAUGAAACUGAGGUGGUGAAAUCCGUAAACAAUCUUUUAGACUUAGAAGCGGAGAGGGCUUCAGAAGUUAUUCGCAAUCUUGCAUCUGUCAAACCCAUGAAUGACAAUGACAUGGAAAAUUUAGGAAUGGUUACUCUUGAAAAUAUUUGUAACAAUCUCUUGCCUAGUACGGAGGCCAAUGAUGAGGAGGGGUCGGAGACUACAGACAUCGUAGAGCCUCUAAUGAUGGAAGGCACAGUCUCUUACGCCGACGAUCCGACAUUCCCAAAGGGUGAUGGGGAGAAGCCCAAACGACCCUGGAAGUGGAAAAUUUAUCCUACUUCGGCAGUUCGUAGAAGUGCUAGAGUUAAGCUUAAGAAAAAAAUUCAUGAUGACAUAUGAAAAUAAUCUUUUGGAAUAGCAGAGGUCUAGCUGACUUGGCUAAACAAAGGUUCUUGACGGAGACAAUGGUAGUACAACACUUAGACUUUAUGGCACUUUUGGAAACAAGACAUGAUAACUUUACAUCACAGUUCCUUCAAACUCUCUCCAAAGGUAUUGAUUUUGACUAGCAUAUCUUACCUCCUAGAGGAAGAUCUGGUGGGAUUUUACUAGGGGUCUGGUGUGAAACGCUUGAGGUGCUUAAUGUGGUUCGGGGUGAUUUUGUAGUUAAGUUUCGGGUGAGAUAAAAGUUCGAUGGUUUCCGAUGGUCUCUUCUUGCUGUAUAUGGGGCAACACAACCGGAACUCAAACCAGAUUUUUUAGCCGAGUUGGUGCGGAUUUGUGGAGAUGAAACCCUGCCAAUCUUAGUUGGGGGGAGGGUGAUUUUAAUAUAAUUCGGGGGAGAGAUGAGAAGAAUAAUGACAAUUUUGAUGGACGUUGGUCUAUGAUGUUUAACAUGAUUAUCGAGAGUCUUAAUUUGAGAGAAAUUGAGCUCACCGGUAGACAAUUUACAUGGGCCAAUUCGUUACCCACUCCAACUUAUGAAAAGUUGGAUAGGGUACUCGCUAGUGUGGAAUGGGAACAAAAGUACCCUUUGGUGGCGGUCCAUGCAAUGCAGAGAGCGAUCUCAGACCACACACCACUUCUAGUAGAAUCGGGAGAGGCUACCCAUGUACUCCCUCCGUUCCAAAUUACUCGUCGUGGUUUGAGGUCAAAUCCAAAUUACUCAUCGUGGUUUUAGUUCAAAUUUGAACUAAAACCACGAUGAGUAAUUUGGAACGGAGGGAGUAGUGAAUAAAAAUGCUUUCUCCUUUGAACUAGGCUGGUUCGAGAAAGAAGGCUUUUUGGAGAUCAUUGCACGAGAAUGGGCUAAGCCUACUAGGGGCCAGCCGUGUGCGGUGCCCCACUCCACAGUUUGCUCCUCCGGUCAUAUUGUCGUAGUGCUUAGGCGAAGCCCUGCGCGGAUCAAAUCACCAACACCGUCACCACGUCAUCGUGCUGAACGUGUGCUGAACACGGAGGUGCCGUACGUUCGGUACAUGGAUUGGUUGGAUCGUGAAGAUGUUCGACUACAUCAACCGUGUUACUAAACGCUUCCGCUUUCGGUCUACGAGGGUACAUGGACCCACUCUCCCCGCUCGUUGCUAUGCUUCUCCUAGACAGAUCUUGCGUGAUCGUAGGAUUUUUUUUUUGAAAUACUACGUUCCCCAAUAGUACCUGCAUGCGUUGCUUAUUUUGCUUUCCAUCAAGUAAAAAUGUGGUAUUGCAUAAGAUCAUCAAAAGAACAAAAUAAAAUAAUGCACAAAUAAGACACAUCCAACAAUCCCCCUCCCCUUCCCCAUACACACAGACUAUUCUAGCUGGUCUAGGGCAUGACUAGCAACUUAUUUCAAAUUAACUAUCUUGUGGUGUAUGUGAAGUUCAAGAAAAAGUUGGCUUUUUUCUUGAAAAGUAAGUUAAUGUGCAAAGAAUCAAUGAACGUAUUUGCAAAAAAAGCUAGCAAACUGAAUUAAUGAUGAAACCAGUUGUGGUGGUCAUGUAGGCAAUGGUAGUAGCAAACCAAUAAAAAAACAAGAUCUCAAAGCUCCAACCAUUAAAGAGUAGUAUGUUUGUCCAUGCUUGAGUUCAACCCAAAUUUCACAAUAACACUAUUAUAUUUAAAUCUAGAUUAUUGCAAGCAUGGUAAUACACCAGGUUGAGGUUGUGACCAGGCAAGAAGGACUUGUGAACCUGCAAGCAUGGUAGUCAGAUCGAUGUCCACACGACGCCGGUAUGAACAUUGUCUAGAGAAAACUUUAUUUGUAUUUUAUUCCAGAAUUUAACUACUAGUUUGGGUGGGUCACACAUGACAUUGUGUGACACUUUAUUUUUCACCGCUUCCUCAACAUGUCCAUCGAGAAAACGACGGUGAUCUUUUCUUAUCAGUAGGCACCAACUCCGCUGCCAACACCGAAUGGCACACUAGUGAUGGAGCUGUACAACGGCACAUUAACACUGCACAUCGUUGGCAGGGUACUGAGGGCAAUGGAAGUCAUCACCUCGAGGCGAGCUAUCUGGUGUGGCUGCAAGUACCCUAUUGUACAUGUUGUUGUUGAGGCUGUUGACCCAGUUGUUGUUGAGGUUGUUGGAAAGAACAUUGUCCGAGCUGCUGCUGCGACUGCUGUUGGGGUUGGUAGACACCUUGAACCGACUGUUGGGGUUGUUGCUGCUGAGGUUGGACAAAACCCUAUUGUUGUUCUUGCAGGAUGAUGGACAAGAUGAUAGCACGGAUUGCCACAUAGCGGGAUUGUUCAGGGAUUCGCGGCAAUUGUUGGCAACAUUGUUGCCGCAUCAC
rnacentral:lncRNA from 1 species